CAGAAUGGGUGAUGUAUACCUAUUUUGGAGGCGUCACAUCAUGAUAUACCAAUACAAAAUUUCUGGUCAUAAUCAUACCAAUUAAUAGUUCAUCUAUGCACUACGGGCUAAAGAUGACUUUGACCAGCAUAUAAGCAUGAGGAUGAUGACAAUGAUAUAAGGAAUCAAUCAAGUGAGAUCAAGGAUAAAUAUUAUAGAUUUAUAAUUCAAUUUAUUCAGAGUUCAAGAAUAUCCAAAUUGUCAAUAUGAUAAUUAAUUGUGGAGUAAAUUUCAAGAAUGAUAUUCAUGUAUCAAAAAUAAUUUGGACAUAAAAGAAACCAAAUUUUGUCGUGAAUAGUACCCGAAUGAAUAGUAUCAAAUAAAUAGUACCCCGUUAUGCAAAGUACCCCGAAAAUAGUACCUCGAAUGAAUAGUACCCGAAUGAAUAUUACCAAAUAAAUAGUAUCCCGUCAUGCAAAGUACCUUGAAUAAAUAGUACUCCGAGUGAAUAGUACCGGAAUGAAUAAUACCAAAUAAAUAGUACCCCGUCUGUGACGCCCCCAAAAUAGGUCCAAUCCAUCCAACCUAUUCUGAGCCGCCAAAUACAUGGUACAGAAAAUAACUACAACUUUAUUACUACAAUUGUCGUGUAAAAUACAACAACACAUAUACUAUGAGCUAUGAGUUUAAUACCAACUAUGACUCAUGUCCCAACUAUGGACAACACCUCACAUUGAUACAUUACAUAAAAGUACAGUCAAUAACUAUUUUAGAAAUUAAAAUCUUUGGGAAGUGCUCAAGGAAACCUUCGUACAUGGGAGGCUAUGCGUCUAGGUUAUGAUAGAUAUCAUAUGCCCACAGAAUUAUCUUUGGUUGGCCCAAUAGACCCCAAAGAAAAAUGAGAAGAUUACUAUCAUGUUCCUUCCAAUGGUGAGUCUUCUCUUGACAUAUAACUAUCUCCACCGUCUGUAAUUGAACAUUAUGUUUCAACCGAACUCCAAGAUUAUAUAGGUAGUGCUCGUAGAUAUACUCAGCAAGUGGAUGUGCACAAAUAUGUCUUAUGAUAACACGAGAUUGUAUGUCAUUAGACAUCUUGUAUGAUAGUGACAAAACACCCUUCCAAAGUUGGGUUCACCUCACCCUAUUCGGUUCACCAAAAUUAAAUAUCAAAUGACGUAUACAAUACGACACACUUAUCUAAAGUUCUCAAUAAAAUUAUUUCCAUACUAUUUAGGGAGAACCUCAACAGCUAUAGACCACCGUUCUAUUCCCCUGUUACCCCCGCUCGACCCAGCUACACUCUUAUUACCUGAAAGGAAUUGUGAAGCAAAAGGGUGAGCACAACUAGCUCAGUAAAGAAUAUCAUGACUAAAGAUAAUUAAAUUAUCAAUAGCCUUCAUCAGUAAUAAAUCAGAGAUUUAGAACAUAUGGUAGAUGAUAAAACUUUUCAACCAUAGUUGCAGCGGAACGAGCAAUCCAUUAGAAGAGUCAAAUAGACCAUAAAGUCUAUUAUCUUCUCCAUGUUAAAAGUCCACCAACAAUGUUUUAUCCCUGUAACAUCAAUCAACAGUUCCUUUCCACAAUCAUAUGAAUAACUCAUAAUCAUAAUUGUGAUUCUAAAUUCCUCUUCGCAUCCAGGACGAAGAUAAUUUUCAUCACCUGUCUUUACCUGAAACAUCAAAGAUCAUGGUUAUACCAAAUCAUAGUUCCUGUUCAUAAUCAUACUAAUAAAUUCAUCUUUGCACCACGGGCCAAAGAUAUUCAUCAACAGUUCAUCUUUGCACUACAUGCCAAAGAUAUUCAACAACAAGUCAUCUUUGCACUAUGGGCCAAAGAUAUUCAUCAAUAAUUGAUCUUUGCACUACAGGCCAAAGAUAUUCAUAUCUCAAAGAAAUACAUAAUCAUUUCAGAAUUUAUAUAAAGCAUAAUUAUAACCAUAUAUGUGACGCCCCCAAAAUAGGUCCACACGACCCAUUCUGAGUCGCCAGAUAUCACACUACAUAAAUCAAUUAUAAACUUCAUUUAUGCAACUAUCGUGCAAAAUACGACGACAUAUAUACUAUGAGUUUCAAUACAAAUAUUGUAGCGUAUAUAAUACGACAAUAUUCAUACUCGAAUUAUUACAUACCAUAUAAAGUACAGCAGCAAAUAUUUCAAGUCUCCAAAGGGACACGAGAAGAUUUCUGUUCUCUUCAUAUUAAUGUAGUGCACUUUUGACGCUUUCAAGGUUGGGUUCUCAUCACCCUAUUGUUGCUCACCAAAAUCAAUUAUUAAGUGACGUAUAAAAUACGACACACACAUCUUAGGUCCUCAAUGCAAUUAUAUAUUGCAUGUCAUAUCGGUUUAUAAUGUAUUGAGAAACUUCAACAGUCUCGGACCAUCUCACUAUUUAUCUAUUAUCCCCGCUCGACCCAGCUACACUCUUAUUACCUGAAAGGAAUUGUGAAUCAAAAAGGGUGAGCACAACUAGCCCAGUAAAGAAUAUCAUGACUAAAGAUAAUUAAAUUAUCAAUANNNNNNNNNNNNNNNNNNNNNNNNNNNNNNNNNNNNNNNNNNNNNNNNNNNNNNNNNNNNNNNNNNNNNNNNNNNNNNNNNNNNNNNNNNNNNNNNNNNNNNNNNNNNNNNNNNNNNNNNNNNNNNNNNNNNNNNNNNNNNNNNNNNNNNNNNNNNNNNNNNNNNNNNNNNNNNNNNNNNNNNNNNNNNNNNNNNNNNNNNNNNNNNNNNNNNNNNNNNNNNNNNNNNNNNNNNNNNNNNNNNNNNNNNNNNNNNNNNNNNNNNNNNNNNNNNNNNNNNNNNNNNNNNNNNNNNNNNNNNNNNNNNNNNNNNNNNNNNNNNNNNNNNNNNNNNNNNNNNNNNNNNNNNNNNNNNNNNNNNNNNNNNNNNNNNNNNNNNNNNNNNNNNNNNNNNNNNNNNNNNNNNNNNNNNNNNNNNNNNNNNNNNNNNNNNNNNNNNNNNNNNNNNNNNNNNNNNNNNNNNNNNNNNNNNNNNNNNNNNNNNNNNNNNNNNNNNNNNNNNNNNNNNNNNNNNNNNNNNNNNNNNNNNNNNNNNNNNNNNNNNNNNNNNNNNNNNNNNNNNNNNNNNNNNNNNNNNNNNNNNNNNNNNNNNNNNNNNNNNNNNNNNNNNNNNNNNNNNNNNNNNNNNNNNNNNNNNNNNNNNNNNNNNNNNNNNNNNNNNNNNNNNNNNNNNNNNNNNNNNNNNNNNNNNNNNNNNNNNNNNNNNNNNNNNNNNNNNNNNNNNNNNNNNNNNNNNNNNNNNNNNNNNNNNNNNNNNNNNNNNNNNNNNNNNNNNNNNNNNNNNNNNNNNNNNNNNNNNNNNNNNNNNNNNNNNNNNNNNNNNNNNAUUCCCCAAAAUAUUUCUUUUCUGGGAUUUAGCAGAAUAUAGUCCCAUAUUGAACGUAUAUUUUUCUCGGAAUUUUUAAAAUUCAUUUACUAUUUUUCAAAAAUCAAUUUCUAAUUAAUUCCUUAAGAAAUUAGCUACCUCAAGUUUAACUCCAGAAAUUCCCAAAUCUUGGCAGGAUCUUAUACAUGUUAACGUGAUCUUCCAGUUUAAAUUUCAUGGUCGUCGGAGUUAUAGAACUCCGGUUAUAUCAUUUUUCGUCGAAAAAACCUAAAUAUUGAAAUGGUCAUAACUUGCUCAUUUUAAGUUAGAAUGAGCUCAUUUUUGGACAGGAGGUACUUUAUACCAUAUAAUUUCAUGUCCCAAAAGGCCAGAAUUUUUCUCACAAAUUAAGUGGCCGAAAAUGCCCUUUUAAAAUUCUGCACAGUAGCUUUUUAAGCAUUUCCAGAUUUUUCAUCCUUUACUAAAAUCAUUCCACACGAAAAUUUAUAAAUCCUUUUUAAGUGAUUCUACUUGGAUAAGUUAGGACACUCAUAGAUCUAACUCUAAGACUUGACCACACUCAAAAAUUCGAAAUAUAAUAGGAGAUAUGGUCAAUUGAAUUUCAUGUUCCAUUUUCACCAAAAUCUGAUUUUCAACUCUUUGUUAUUUCUAAGAAACUUUCAUGUUUUCACAUAAUAACUAACAUAACUCAUCAUAACACUUACUAAUACUACAUAUACCCAUGAUUUUCAUCAGUCCAAUGCUUUUAUUAUGACUCUCAUCAUAAUCAACGUAAACAGAUCAUUUCCAUAAUUUAAUAAGGAAUGAAUACAAAUGAUCAUUCACCAUGCAUGUGGUAAUUCACAUAGACAGGUUAUUCCAACAGAAUAUUAAAGAAUGGAAUAAUAGAAGAAUUCACCAUGCGUACGAUAGACUGUACAGAUAGGUUAUUCCCAACAGAAUAAUAAAUAAUGGAACCAGGUCCGGUGUAAACGCAUAGACAGGAUAUUCCAACAGAAUAAUAAAGAACGGAACCAGGUCAGGCGAAAUUCGCACUGACAGGAUAUUUCAACAGAAUAAUAAAGAAUGGAAUAACAACAGAAAUCAUCAUGCAUGCGAUAGACCGCACAGACAAGUUAUUUCAACAGAAUAAUAAUUAAUGGAACUAGGUCAGGCGUAAUACGCACCGACAGGAUAUUCCGACAGAAUAAUAAAGAACAGAAUAAUAGAAGAAUUUCACCAUGUAUGUGGUACUUCGCAUAAACAGGUUAUUCCAACAUAAUAAUAAAGAAUGGAAUAUCAGAAGUUCUCUUCAUGAAUAUGAAAGAAAUAAUACCCCUUACGAGUACAACAAAUAAUAUCCCUUACCUCAAAAGAAGACUGGAUACUGGAAUAGUGAGGUAGCAGGCUUCUCUCCUUCUUUCUCUCUAUAGAUUUCUUUCUAUAAUAAUGGCUCUAAAGCUUUAGUGAAUUAGUCAGAAAUGAAAGAAGAAUGAGCUUCUAUUUAUAGAAAAACAUAGUUUUGAUAAUUGCACGUUUUGGGGCUCGAAAAAAUACAGUACAAUACCUCCAACUUUUCUUUCAUUUUUAAUUCAGUCCUAUAAGUAUUAUAAAACUUGCACCACCUCCCCUAAUAGUUAAUAAUGUGAUUCAAUAGUUCAAUCAUGUGAAUCAAUAGUUAUAAUCAUGUGAAAAUACGAAUUACAGUAUAAUACCUCCAUCUAUACCUCCAUUUUUAACUUAGUCAUGCAAGUAUUAUCAAUCUUGCACCAACACCCCUAAUAGUAAGUGAAUGUGACUCAAUAGUACAUACAUGUGAACAAAUAGUUAUAUAAGCAUAUGAAUUAGUAGCAAAUAAUUGCUCAUUUAUCCGAUUAAUUACCCGAUUUAUCAAUAUAACCCCCAGACAUCAAUUAUCAUCGGAAUAGAUGUCGAUUUCCACUAACACUAAUAAUCCCAACACAAUGGAACUAUCAAAUUCAUCUUUAAUUAACACGAACUUAUUCAUCAUUAAUAUCAUAACUCACAAUAUUUAACAACCAGGUCGUUCCCAGUAAAGAGGGGGCUUUUUGAUAAGGAUUUCUCCUUAUUGGCGCGCAAUUAGGUGACCAAACCUCUCCUUGACAGAACUUCUAGACAUUGUAAAUAUUGUAAUUUAAUAAAAUGAAUAACUUUGUCGUCUCAAUUAUUGAUUUAAUAAUAUAUCAUAUUAUGCAGAUGAUACUGUGACACUAAUCGAAUCAAUAAUAUGAAAGAUAUGAUGCAACAAUUACUAUAGCAAUCAUUGAGUAUAACUAGGUGACUUCUCACAUAAGCAUCAAUAAUCAAUACCGUGUGCUACUAUGCAACCACGUGUAUUACUGUACUUUUUACCAAUUUAACCAUUUACUAAAUAGAAUAAUAAUUAUAAAAAUUGAAUACUUUCAUUUCGUAAAAUUUAGGGUCUCACAAUAUAUGUUGAUCAAUUCACCUUUGCACUUAAGCUAAAGAUAUUCAAUUAUAAAUUCAAUGGUCAUGAUCGUAUCAGUCAACAAUUCAACUUUGCACUACUGACCAAAGAGAACCCAUAGUCACGAUCAUACCAAUAAUCUACCCAUCAUUACACUUAAGUCAAAGAGAAAUAUCAUCAUUAGGGUUAAAAGAAUGUUAUAUAUGAUAAUAAAAAUAAUAUAAUCAACAUAUAGAUUUAAUCUCAAGAGUAAGAUUCAUAAAUCAAUGAUUUCAUAACACCUUAAUCCAAAUGUUAUAAAUCACUUAAUAAUCUCAUACUCUAAUAUUAUUAAUACUACCACAAUAUUUUAAUCAUUUCUUAAAUUUAUAAAUAAUUUAUUUUAAUUGUUUACACUUUAGUAAUAAUUGUAUUUAAUCAUCCUAAAAUGCCAAACUCAUAAAAUUUCAUCACCAAUAACCAACACCCUCAUCAAAAAUCUGCAUAUACCUUAUAUAGGAUUCUCAAGCCAUAAAAUCCUAUUUUUCAAUUUUGUUACUUCACAUAACAUAUUUAAUUCAUUUAUUCAUAACUAGUCUAUUUUCAUAAAAAUACCAAAUCAGUCCCAAAAAUAUUUCUUUUCUGGGAUUUAGCAUAAUAUAGUCCCAUAUUGAACAUAUAUUUUUCUAGGAAUUUUUAAAAUUCAUUUACUAUUUUUCAUAUGGCCAAAACCACUGAAUAUUUAGACAUUUAUUAUAAAUUGUACUUUUAUCCAAAAAUUCUAAAAUUUACAAGGUAUACUGAUAUUAUAUAGAUGUACUCCCAAUAAAAAUUUCAUCAAUUUUGGAGUUAACCACAAGGAGUUAUAAGGGUUUACUUUUAAAAUAGUAUUUUCUCAUAAAAUUCAUAACUCCUAAUCUAUACAUCCAAAAAUUGCCAUUUUUGGACACCAUCGAGAAAACUCAUCAAAAUAUCAUUUCAGAAUUUUUCAGAAUUUUUGAAGGUCGGAAAAAUUACGAAACUGAAAAACAUAAUAACCCUUAAAAUCCUUUACCUCGAAAGAGCAGUAUUUCUAACCGGAAUGUAAAGUCGAAGGAACCUUGCACUGAAUAGCAACUCUCAAAGUAUCUAAAUACUCACAAAAUACGCUUGAUAAUAUAGAGAGAGAAAGCUUAUGUUUCUGGUGUGAUUUUAAAUUCUAACCUAAGCACCUAUUUAUAGGAAAAUGCUCAGAACACCAAAGAUGAAAAUUUAAUAAAAUAAUAAUAUUUAUAUUUAAAUUUCCUACGCACACCUUACAAUCUGAAUUCAACAAUUCACACAUUUUAGUGGGGCCCACCAACUCACCAAAAAUGAAAAACAUGUUUUAAACAAUUUUUGUAACAAAAUCAAUUUAGACCCAAUAUUCCAAAACUUCAAUAAUUCAUAAUAAAUAGCCCUUUUAUCAGAAAAAUUCAAAUCUUAUAUCCAUUCCAUAGGAAAUUUAAUUCUCUACAACUUUACAGAAGAAAGUUUUUCCAAAUUCCAAACAGAAAUUGACCGAAAUCCACAUACGGACGAUUUUGCGGGCUAUAUUCAAAUUUCAGUUAAAAAACUUGUCCACCAACAUGUUUAACAUGUGUUUAGCAUUUAUAGUAACAAAAAUACUCUUCCUCCUCAUUUAUUCAUAUAUCACACAUUCAUUAUAAAAAUAUCACAAUUAUUAUAUUAUUAAAAUAUAAUAAUAUAUUUAAAUGAAUUAUUUUAUCAGAAAAGAUAAAAUACCAAUUAUCAACAAUUGUCACAUUAAAAAUUUUCUCCAUCUAUAUCCACAUAAAUAAAUAUUUUCCUUAUCAUAUAAAUCAAUAAUUAAUUAUUGACAAAUAAUAUUACAGAAUUACAAUAAUGACAACCAGGCAGUUCUCAGCAAAGAGGGGGCUUUCCAAUAAGGAUUUCUCCUUACUAGCGCGCAAUUAGGUGACCAAACCUCUCCCUGAUAAAACUUUCUAGACAUUGCCAAUAAUGCUAUCUAAUAAUAUUAUUCAAAUAAUAUGAAUUAUUGAUCUGAUAAUGGGAAAUACUGUGCCAUGACAAUUAUUGAAACAAUAAUAAUAUAAAAUAUCAACGUAGUAAUUAUUGAAUCAAUAAAAUAAAAUAUUGAACAGUAAUUACUGUAACAAUUAUUGAGUAGUGCCUUCUUACGAAAAAAAAUUAUCAUGCUUCGUGAAUAGUACUCGUGAAUAGUAACUCGUGAAUAGUAACUUGUGAAUAGUAACUCAUGAAUAGUAAUUAUAAAAAAAUUGAAUACUUUUAUUUCAUAAAAUUUGGGGUCUUACAAUCUCCCCUCCUUAUGAAAUUUCGUCCCCGAAAUUUACGUACGUGGUAUUUCAAAGAGUUGAGAAUACCUUACUUUCAUUUCAAAUUCCAUCUUCCCUGUCCUCAUGAUUUCUCCAUUGCUUAUCUCCUGUAUUUCAGAUAUCAUUCUAGAAUACAGCUUCAAAAUAAGGGUCAAUUGACAUAUCACAAUUUGUCAACUUAAGUAAGAAAAUUCAGCUUAGGUAGGACACACACUAGAGAAGGAUUUACUCGUCUCUCCCCUCCUAGUUCUAUUCCCCGAUCUCCGCCAAAGAUCAUAUCCCUAAGCUCUGAUACCAAAUGUGACGCUCCUAAAUAUGGUACAAUCCAUCCAACCUAUUCUGAGUCGCCAAAUACAUGGUACAGAAAACAACUACAACUUUAUUACUACAAUUGUCGUGCAAAAUACAACAACACAUAUACUAUGAGUUUUAAUACCAACUGUGACUCAUGUCCCAACUAUGGACAACACCUCACAUUGAUACAUUACAUAAAAGUACAGUCAAUAACUGUUUUAGAAAUUAAAAUCUUUGGGAAGUGCUCAAGAAAACCUUCGUACAUGGGAGCCCAUGCGUCUAGGUUAUGAUAGAUAUCAUAUGCCCACAGAAUUAUCCUUGGUUGGCCCAAUAGACCCCAAAGAAAAAUGAGAUGAUUACUAUCAUGUUCCUUCCAAUGGUGAGUCUUCUCUUGACAUAUAACUAUCUCCACCGUCUGUAAUUGAACAUUAUGUUUCAACCAAACUCCAAGAUUAUAUAGGUAGUGCUCGUAGAUAUACUCAGCAAGUGGAUGUGCACAAACAUGUCUUAUGAUAACACGAGGUUGUAUGUCAUUAGACAUCUUGUAUGAUAGUGACAAAACACCCUUCCAAAGUUGGGUUCACCUCACCCUAUUCGGUUCACCAAAAUUAAAUAUCAAAUGACGUAUACAAUACGACACACUUAUUUAAAGUUCUCAAUAAAAUUAUAUCCAUACUAUUUAGGGAGAACUUCAACAGUUAUAGACCACCGUUCUAUUUCCCUGUUACCCCCGCUCGACCCAGCUACACUCUUGUUACCUGAAAGGAAUUGUGAAGCAAAAGGGUGAGCACAACUAGCNNNNNNNNNNNNNNNNNNNNNNNNNNNNNNNNNNNNNNNNNNNNNNNNNNNNNNNNNNNNNNNNNNNNNNNNNNNNNNNNNNNNNNNNNNNNNNNNNNNNUCAAAUAAAUACACAAUCAUUUCAGAAUUUAUAUAAACCAUAAUUAUAACCAUAUAUGUUGAUCAAUUCACCUUUAUACUUAAGCUAAAGAUAUUCAAUUAUAAAUUCAAUGGUCAUGAUCGUACCAGUCAACAAUUCAACUUUGCAAUACUGGCCAAAGAGAACCCAUAGUCACGAUCAUACCAAUAAUCUACCCAUCAUUACACUUAAGUCAAAGAGAAAUAUCAUCAUUAGGGUUAUAAGAAUGUUAUAUAUGAUAAUAAAAACAAUAUAAUCAACAUAUAGAUUUAAUCUCAAGAGUAAAAUUCAUAAAUCAAUGAUUUCAUAACACCUUAAUCCAAAUGUUAUAAAUCACUUAAUAAUCUCAUAAUCUAAUAUUAUUAAUACUACCACAAUAUUUAAUCAUUUCUAAAAUUUAUAAACAAUUUAUUUUAAUUGUUUACACUUUACUAAUAAAUGCAUUUAAUCAUCCUAAAAUGUCAAACUCAUAAAAUUUCAUCACCAAUAACCAACACCCUCAUCAAAAAUCUGCAUAUACCUUAUAUAGGAUUCUCAAGCCAUAAAAUCCUAUUUUUCAAUUUUGUUACUUCACAUAACAUAUUUAAUUCAUUUAUUCAUAACUAGUCUAUUUUCAUAAAAAUACCAAAUUAGUCCCAAAAAUAUUUCUUUUCUGGUAUUUAGCAUAAUAUAGACUCAUAUUGAACAUAUAUUUUUCUAGGAAUUUUUAAAAUUCAUUUACUAUUUUUCAUAUGGCCAAAUCCACCGAAUAUUUAGACAUUUAUCAUAAAUUGUACUUUUAUCCAAAAAUUCUAAAAUUUACAGGGUAUACUGAUAUUAUAUAGAUGUACUCCCAAUAAAAAGUUCAUCAAUUUUGGAGUUAACCACAAGGAGUUAUAAGGGUUUACUUUUAAAAUAGUCUUUUCUCAUAAAAUUCAGAACUCCUAAUCUAUACAUCCAAAAAUUGUCAUUUUUGGACACAAUCGAGAAAACUCAUCAAAAUAUCAUUUCAGAAUUUUUCAGAAUUUUUGAAGGUCGAAAAAAUUACGAAACUGAAAAACAUAAUAACCCUUAAAAUCCCUAACCUCGAAAGAGCAGUAUUUCUGACCGGAAUGUAAAGCUGAAGGAACCUUGCACUGAAUAGCAACUCUCAAAGUAUCUAAAUACUCACAAAAUACGCUUGAUAAUAUAGAGAGAGAAAGCUUAUGUUUCUGGUGUGAUUUUAAAUUCUAACAUAAGCACCUAUUUAUAGGAAAAUGCUCAGAACACCAAAGAUGAAAAUUUAAUAAAAUAAUAAUAUUUAUAUUUAAAUUUCCUACGCACACCUUACAAUCUGAAUUCAGCAAUUCAGACAUUUUAGUGGGGCCCACCAACUCACCAAAAAUGAAAAAUUUGUUUUAAACAAUUUUUGUAACAAAAUCAAUUCAGACCCAAUAUUCCAGAACUUCAAUAAUUCAUAAUAAAUAGCCCUUUUAUCAGAAAAAUUCAAAUCUUAUGUCCAUUCCAUAGGAAAUUUAAUUCUCUACAAUUUUGUAGAAAAAGUUUUUUCAAAUUCCAAACAGAAAUUGACCAAAAUCCACAUACGGACGAUUUUGCGGGCUAUAAUCAAAUUUCAGUUAAAAAACUUAUCCACCAAAAUGUUUAACAUGUGUUUAGCAUUUAUAAUAACAAAAAUACUCUUCCUCCUCAUUUAUUCAUAUAUCACACAUUCAUUAUAAAAAUAUCACCAUUAUUAUAUUAUUAAAAUAAAAUAAUAUAUUUAAAUAAAUUAUUUUAUCAGAAAAGAUAAAAUACCAAUUUUCAACAAUUGUCACAUUAAAAAUUUUCUCCAUCUAUAUCCACAUAAAUAAAUAUUUUUCUUAUCAUGUAAAUCAAUAAUUAAUUAUUCACAAAUAAUAUUACAGAAUCACAAUAAUGACAACCAGGCAGUUCUCAGGAAAGAGGGUGCUUUCCAAUAAGGAUAUCUCCUUACUGGCGCGCAAUUAGGUGACCAAACCUCUCCUUGACAGAAUUUUCUAGACAUUGCCAAUAAUGCUAUCUAAUAAUAUUAUUCAAAUAAUAUGAAUUAUUAAUCUGAUAAUGGGAAAUACUGUGCCAUGACAAUUAUUGAAACAAUAAUAAUAUAAAAUAACAACGUAGUAAUUAUUGAAUCAAUAAAAUAAAAUAUUGAACAGUAAUUACUGUAACAAUUAUUGAGUAGUGCCUUCUUACGAAAAAAAUUUAUCAUGCUUCGUGAAUAGUACUCGUGAAUAGUAACUCGUGAAUAGUAACUCAUGAAUAGUAACUUGUGAAUAGUAACUCAUGAUUAGUAACUCGUGAAUAAUAAUUAUAAAAAAAAUUGAAUACUUUUAUUUCAUAAAAUUCGUGGUCUUACACCGUCAUGUAAAGUACCCCGAAUAAAUAGUACCCAUGUGAAUAGUACCCCAAAUGAAAAUAUUAAAAUUUAAUAAGAAAGUUCAGACCAAUAUUCCAAUGAAACUAUACUAGAUGAAGCGCAAAACUCAAGGAUAUUAUACUAAUUUCAGGGAUUAUAGAAGUAAUACUUACCAUAGUAAGUUCAGAUUUAGGAAUAUGAAAACAAAUAAUAUACGAAACUGCAAAUGGAUUUUCACCCGCCAUGCGGUAAUCUGCAUAGACAAAUCUUUUCCACAAAUAAAGAAUGAGUAUGAAGGGUUAUUCACCAUGCAUGCUGUAAUCCGCGUAGACAGGUUAUUCCCACAGGCUAAAGAAUGAAAACGAAAAAUAAUAUCCCUUACGGGUUUGAAAGAAAUAAUAUCCCUUACUUUAGCAAGAGAUUGGAUACUUUAAUAGUAAAGUAGCAAAAUACUCUUCUUUUUUCUCUUUAUAGUUUCUCUCUCUAUAGAUUAUCUUUUGAGUCUUAGUGAAUUGGUGAGAAUGAAAGAAGAAAUAAGCUUCUAUUUAUAGGAGAAUGGACUAAAUAGUAACUGAUACACAGACGGUCCAGAUUGAUUUACUAUUAAAACGGACAGUCCAUAUUGAUUUAUUAUUAAAAUCACAAUCGACGAUCCAUAUUGAUUUACUAUUAAAACUAAAAUCGACGGUCCAUAUUGAUUUACUAUUAAAACCACAUCCGACGGUCCAUAUUGAUUUACUAUUAAAACCACAACGGACGGUCCAUAUUAAUUUACUAUUAAAACCACAACCGACAGUCUGAAAAAUUAGUACAUCUCCCCAUAGAAUAUUAAGUCAAACUUAUAACAAAUGUCUCAUGACGAACCCCUCUAUUUAUAUCAAAAAAUGAAUAAAUAUUUACUACAAAUCACUUAUCUUCAAUAAACACAUUUUUAACCUUUUAAAAAUUAUUCAUCAUUAAUAUUAUAACUCACAAUAUUGACAACCAGAUCAUUUCUAGGAAAGAGGGGGCUUUCCGAUAAGGAUUUCUCCUUAUUGGCGCGCAAUUAAAUUACCUAACCCCUUUCCUCGACAAAACUUUCUAGACAUUGUCAAUAAUGUAAAUAAUAAUAUGAAUAAAUGUGUCAUCUCAAUUAUUGAUUUAAUAAUAUAAAAUAUUGUGCAUAUGAUACUGUGACAAUAAUUGAAUCAAUAAUAUGAGCUACCAUGCAACAACUAUUGUAGCAAUUAUUGAAUAAAACUGAGUGACUUCUUACGUAAGCAUCAAUAAUCAUAGAUACUGUACAAUAUCGUGUGUUAUUGUGCAACCACGCGUAUUACUGUUCUUUUAUCACCGAUAUUUCAACAGUUAACGGUAAAAAUUGUCGUUAUUUUUAUAAAAAGGUUAUCUCUGUCGCUUUCUAUAUCCGACAGUCAUUCCAUUGUGGGGUCUACCAAUGAUUGUGUCGUCAUAUGUAUAUUCCUCGAUAAAAGAAUAUUCUCCGAUCAAACGAAUAUUUUAUGACAACUUGCUUACUUUGUAAAAUCACCCUUAACUUCAACCUUUUAUCAAUUUAAUCAUUUACUGAAUAGAAUAAUAAUUAUAAGAAAAAUUGAAAACUUUUAUUUCACAAAAUUCGGGGUCUUGCAUAAUACACUUGGUAAUUUAAGGUUACUAUAGAGGCUCUAUCUUUCAAAUAAUUAUUAACCAGGGAGACAUCUUCUCUUGAAUUGCAAUUCUUCACAUCUCUAACGAACUUCAGAUAGUUGGAAGGUUUAGAAUUAUCAGAUAACCAGCUGAAUGGCAUCCUCCCAACUUCAAUUGAAAAGACUAAAUAAUUUGGAACGUUUAAUACUUUCAAAUAAUAGACUGCAAGGACCCAUCCCAAAUGAGGUUUGUAAUUUACUAAGGAUGGGAGAAUUGUAUUUGAGUAAUACUAUGCUCUAUGGAAUCAUACCGGUGUGCUUUCGAUAUUUGCAAAAACCUUCAUUGGCUGUACUUAAACUCCAACAAGUUAACUUCAGGAAUACCUCUCGAAUUGUCGAGACUUGCAAAUCUUGUGAGUCUAAACUUAUCAUCAAAUUUGUGAAGUGGUGAUCUACCAUCAAGUUUUGGAAAUUUUAUGGAUAAAUUUAUCAUGCAAUCAACUAUCAGGUUUUAUCCCAAGUAGCAUUGGAAUUUGGAGGGGCACAAGAACUAAGUUAUUUGUCCUUGGCACAUAAUAAAUUGCAUGGAUCAAUUCCUGAAUCAUUUGGAAAUUUAAAAGGCUUUAAGUUCUUGGAUUUAUUAAAUAACGACGUGUCUGGCAAGAUUCUCAAAUCAUUAGAGACACUUAAGAAUCUCAAUUAUCUGAAUUUGUCUUUCAAUAUGUUGGAAGGAGAAAUUCCUACAGGUGGAAAUUUUGCAAACUUAACGCCUCAAUCAUUUAUGCAAAACCUUGCUAAUUGUGGCUCCCCUUGACUGCAAGUUCCAGAAUGCAAAACAUUAACUCUCACCAGGGGAUAAAAAAUUAUGCCUUUAUUAAAAUAUUUAUUACCCUGUAUCAUUUCAUCAAUCCUUUUAGGGGCCUCCUUAUAUGUAUUGAUAAGAUUCUGCAAACGGAACAAGAACGCACCAAACUGGACAGAUUAAUCACUCUUUGCAUGGAGAAGAAUUUCGUACUAUGAAUUUGUAAGAGUUACUGAAUCAUUUGGUGAAAUAAACUUACUUGGGACCGAAAGUUAUGGGUCUGUAUUUAAAGGAACACUUUCUGAUGGGAUAAAUGUUGUUGUAAAGGUUUUCAACAUGCAGUUAAAAGGAGCGAUCAAGAGUCUUGAUGUUGAAUGUAAGAUAUUGUCCAAAAUUCGUCAGAAGAAUCGAGUACGGAUCAUAGGUGGUUGUAUUAGCUCAGAUUUCAAAGCCUUGGUAAAUUAGUACAUGCCUAAUGGGAGUCUUGAGAAGUGGUUUUACUCCCACAACUAUUGUUUGGAUAUUUUAGCAAGGUUAAAACUUAAUGAAAGAUGUUCCAUUGGCCUUGGAAUAUUUGCAUAAUGGUCACCCCGACCCCAUUGUUCAUUGUGAUUUGAAGCCUAACAAUGUGUUGCUUGAUGAACAUAUGACGACACAUGUAUAUGAUUUUGGUAUUACCAAAUUGUUGGGAGAAGAAGAGUUUAUGGCACUAAGACCUUAGCAACAAUAGGGUAUAUGGCACCAGGUGAUGUUCCAUGUUUAUACUUCUAGUUUAUGUUGAAGUUUAUUAUUAUCUAGAACAAAAAGAAAAGUUGUGUUAUGUCAUUUACAAUUAAAAUUUCAUGAAAUUGAUUGACUUUAUAAGGAAAGCUUAUAUAUAUGUGAUGCACAGAAUACAGAAGCGAAGGAAUAUUAUCUACAAAAGGCGACGUCUACAUUUAUGGUGUUCUAUGUUAUAUUUUUUACAUAAUAAUAUAUUACAAAGUUAAAUAAAAAUAAAUAUAUUCAUUAAAAGAGUUUAAUGAGUAAUUGAAUGAGUUAUAAUUAAUAUUAAUUAUUGGAAUAUUAAUAAUAUUUUAUCGUUGCCAUAUAUAUAUGUUACCGUUGGCAUGUUGCUGUUGCCAUGUUACCGUUGCCUUCUUUUACUAAAGGAGAGAGAGGAAAUGCUAUCAUAUGGAUUAUGGACAUAUCAUCUUUAGCAAUUAGUUAAGGGAAAAAAAAAUCUAAUCACUUUCAUAUAGUAUAUAUAUAAAUCUUGUACUUGCUUAUAAUACAUAUAUACAUAUAAUAUUCUAUCACUUUCAUAUAGAAUAUAUAUAUUCUGUACUUGCUGCUAAUAUAUAUAUAUACAGAUUUCUCACAUAUUUAACAUACAUAAAAUAUUUAUAUAUAUAAAUAUAUGAUACAAUUUUUUGAGUUUGAGUAAGGAAAAUUAAAAGUUGUUCCUGGGUCAUUCAACUAUUUCAAGUGCUGGUUAGUUGGGUGAAGAGCCGUUGAAUCCUGGAGUAGGAUUUCGUCAGUGACCUUAGCACCGAGAAAAAAAAGUUCUCCGAGGGGCGAAAUUUCUACUUAAGGACAGUGCACUGCACGCCUCUGCUCAACAUAAUUUGCUCUACAUCGAUAAGUUUUAUUUCAGCCCUUCUUUUAUUUUAUAGUUGAAUCCUAUAUUUAUUCGUAUUUUUCCAACAAUCUUAAGUAGAAAUUUAAUACUUUUACAAUACAUACAUGUUUCACUAUAUAUGUUUGUGCAUAGGUGUAUUUUUAUGGUGAUUUUAAUCCUGUAAAUUGUUUUAGACUAUGGAUGGAAAAAUUGGGGGUACAAAAUUUAGGUCAGUCUUUAAACUUGUACUUUGACUAUGGUUGAGUCCAAAUUCAUCUUUGGGGCAAUUAUCUUUGGGUGUUUUGUGAGUAGGUCUAUAAAAUGAAUGAAGUUACUUCGUUUAAAGUUCUAGCUAUUGGUUAGUAAAAUAAAUGACUCAUGCUUUAUCAAAUUUUGAGGUAAAUAAUAUAAUUAGCUCGGUCGGUGUAACUAUAUACUUCUAAAACAAUGUAAAAUGUCUAGCUAUUUGAGCUAGUUGUGUUGAGGCUCAUUUAUACGUCAGGUGUGAUUUAGUGGAGUAAUCCGUGAAUGCAAUUUUUUUUUUUAUGCAUAAGAUUCUGGUAGUGCUGUUUAAUAAUAGUCAUUUGAGAUGGACACUGAGGGAUGGUCACUGUUAUCAGUUUGAGAAAUCAACUUAGAUAUGGAUAGAAGGUUAUUGUUUUUUAAAAGCAUUUUUAACAGUUUAAUGACAGCCAAAAUAGUAGUACUGGUGAAGUACAACUCUUUUUUACCUGAGCUCUUAUUGCGAUCUUAAACUUAGCUGAAUAUCUUGUGAUGAUGUAAUAACCAAGUGGAGACAUGGUGUAGUACCCUCAGAUGAUCAAUAAUCGUCUACUAAUUUUUGACUCCUAGAUUUUUUUUUUUUUUUUGAAACAAUUGAUAUUAAAAUACCAUGAAGGAUUCAAUAAUGAAUAUGAGGAAAAUUGGCAAUUCCCACUCGGAAAGGAUCUUUAGUGAUAGAAGGUGGAUUAUUCCAUUUUAAAGCAGUGUGGGUUUGAGUCUCAUCCUCUUGGCCAGUGAAUUUUUUUUUAAAUGAUAUUUUUAUUUAUAGCAUUGUGCUAGUCUUCGUAAGAUGAAAUUGAUCACUUGGGGUCUCGCACGAAACUUUGUUGGUUGGUUAGGGGAAAUGUCAAAUUACUUAAAAUAGAUUGUAACGUGUUUGACAAUGGUAAUCUCUAUUUUCUGCUAGAGGUUUUUGGCUUUAUGUUCUUUAAUCUAAGUUUAGUGACUCUUUAUUGGUGGGCUAAACUGAGAACAAAGGUCAAAAUUUCAAUUCCCAAUAUGAGUAGUCAAGUUUGAAUACUUGUGUAUAUAAUGUGUAUAUAAAGUUACCUGUUGGUGAAAACUGGAAAAACAAAUUUUGAGCUUUGGGAAAAUCAUUUACCUAACUUGAAAUACCUUUAAGUAUGGGGGUGUCUUACUAAGGUAUAGUUACUUGACCCUAAAAAAGGAAAAUUGGUUCUAAAACUGCUAAUAUGCAGUUAAUAGACUCAGCAGAUAUGCUCAUAAUCCUAAUAAGGAUAAUUGGACUGCUUUAUGUAGAAUACUCAAGUAUCUGUGAGAUACUAUUGGAUUUGAUUUGUAUUACUGCGGUAAUCCUGUAGUUCUUGAGGGCUAUAGUGAUGCCAACUGGAUCUCUGAUUCAGAUGAAAUCAAAUCCACGAGUGGCUACAUAUUUACCUUAGGAGGAGAAGCAGUUACUUGGAAGUCUUCUAAACAGACUUGUAUAGCUCGCUCUACUAUAGAGUCUGAGUUUAUUGCCUUAGAGAAGGCAGGUUCUGAAGCAGAGUGGCUCAGAAACCUUUUGAGAAAAUAUUCCUUUGUGGACGAGACCAGUUCCAUCUGUGUCUCUACAUUGUGAUUGCCAAGCUGCUAUAGGCAUAGCUAAGAAUAAAAGCUAUAAUGGCAAGAGUAGGCAUAUACGCCUAAGACAUAAUAUUGUGAGACAGCUGUUAUGUGACGGGAUUAUAUCCCUUAAUUUUGUUAGGUCAGAGUUAAAUCUUGCGGAUCCUCUGACAAAGCCACUAAGCAAGAGGCUAGUGAGCAAUACAUCGAGGGGGAUGAGACUACUGUCUAUUACAGAAAUCAACAGUGAUGGUAACCCAACCUAUAUGAAUGGUAAUCCCAGGAAGUAGGUUCAUAUGGGUAACAACAAAUCAUUGGUUGAUUGGUUGAGACACUAUCCAUUUUAUAAAUAUUUGAGUUCAUCCCUAUGGUGUAGGUUAUUGUAAUUCUACAGUGUUAGAGGUUGAGUUAUAUACUCUUAAUGUUUUCCAUAGUCCUAUUGGGUGAUGUGUUUAACUGUAGAACACAUUUGAUGGAAACACCUAUAUGAGUGUAGAGGUGUGGCCGCCUCUUAUGAAAACAAGACCGGUUUUCUAGAGCGCUCAUGAAUUCCAGGUAUGGCGCAAGGCCAAAAUGUGCUAAAUCGCGUAGAACAACUUCUAAUUAGAGUUUGUAGUGUGAGUAAUAUGAUUACUGAUUCAUAAUAAGGAAGAAGGUUCAUAAAAAUUUUCAUUUCACCAAAUUCCUGUGAAUCAAGUCCUAUUCACUCUAUACAUUGGUUUAUAGUCCAAAAGACACCAGUGUUUACGCACUGCAUUCUUAUAUUUCUUACUCAAUUUAUUUUAUUUUUUACUUUGCAAUAUGUGGGGGAUUGUUAUAUUUCUUACAUAAUAAUAUAUUACAAAGUUAAAAUAUAAAUAAAUAUAUUCAUUAAAAGAGUUUAAUCAGUAAUUGAAUGAGUUAUAAUUAAUAUUAAUUAUUGAAAUAUUAAUAAUAUUUUACCGUUGCCAUAUAUAUAUGUUACCGUUGGCAUGUUGCUGUUGCCAUGUUACCGUUGCCUUCUUUUACUAAAGGAGAGAGGAAAUGCUAUCAUAUGGAUUAUGGACAUAUCAUCUUUAGCAAUUAGUUAAGGAAAAAAAAAAAAAUCUAAUCACCUUGCUUAUAAUACAUAUAUACAUAUAAUAUUCUAUCACUUUCAUAUAGAAUAUAUAUAUUCUGUACUUGCUGCUAAUAUAUAUAUUUACAGAUUUCUCACAUAUUUAACAAACAUAAAAUAUUUAUAUAUAUAAAUAUAUGGUACAAUUUUUUGAGUUUGAGUAAGGAAAAUUAGAAGUUGUUCUUGGGUCAUUCAAUUAUUUCAAGUGCUGGUUAGUUGGGUGAAGAGCCGUUGAAUCAUGGAGUAGGAUUUCGUCAGUGACCUUAGCACCGAGAAAAAAAAAAUUCUCUGAGGGGCGAAAUUUCUACUUAAGGACAGUGCACUGCACGCCUCUGCUCAACAUAAUUUGCUCUAUAUCGAUAAGUUUUAUUUCUGCCCUUCUUUUAUUUUAUAGUUGAAUCCUAUAUUUAUUCGUAUUUUUCCAACAUUCUAUUGAUGGAAGUAGUCACAAGAAAGAAACCAACUUAUGAGCUUUUUUCUAGUGAAAUAAGCUUGAGGAGUUGGGUUAAUGAAGCAUUGCAUGGCUCGGUGCUUCAAGUUGUAGACAUCAAUUUGUUGGGAAGAUUUUCUAGAUUCUGGAAGUGUGGGUUUUCUCUAAACUAUCUGGAUUUUAAAAAAAUCACCAUAAAUAAUCUACUAAGAAUUUUUCGAUCAUUAUUAUCUUUACGUGUAGCUAACUUCCGGAGCUAUUUUUAGACAUAAAGAUCAUCUCUUAACUCAUUAUAUAUCAAGAGAUAUAGCUUUUACAAAAUCAGGACAACCUAGUCAUUUUUCUAGAAAUUGUUCUAGAUUUUGUUCUACAUUCUUCUUGUUUGAUUUCUUGAUUUCUCUUGUUUGAUUCUUGUUUAUAAAAGGUUAAUCCAUCACAAACAAGCAUAAACAUGCCCUCUUUCUAUAAACUUCAUAAAACAUUAACAACCAUACAUGAAAAUUAAAUGAUUAAUCAAGGUUUUAAAUAUACAUCAAUUAGGUGCUUAUUUUAAUUCUUUAUCCUUUCAUGACUUCCCUUUUCUUCCUCUUUUUCUCCUCUCCAUACUCAACUCAGCCGUCUCUCUUCCUCACCAUGUGACUGCCGAGAGUCUCAUAGAAAAAUGGCCUAUCUUACUUAUUUUACUUUCUUUUUAAUUAUAAGCAUGAGUUGAUAAGUCCAAACUAAAAAAUGAUCUUUAGUCAAAAAUGUCAAAUCUUCUCAAGGAAGCUACGUUCCCUUAACCAUAUCUCCAACCGGGACUCAACAUGUUGGAAAUUUCCAGAAUUAACUAUCUUUUUCCUUUUGUUCAAUUAUUUGAAAGUUUGAUCCACCUUUUGACUUUUUGACCUAAAAAAUCAACUUUUCAUGUUGACAAUCGUUUUCUACUAAAGUUGAUAUCCUAAUCAUCAUGACGAUGUCUGUUUCGUCAAAUUUAUCUCCAAACUCUAAGUUUAAUUUUUCCUCAUAAAAGUCAACUGUUGUCUUUUACCAAAAAAUCAAUGCCGACACCAUAUUGUGUUUUUAGUUUUCACCUACCAAAUUUGACGUUCUAGAUUCAAUUCAAAUUCCAUCUAGAACUCCAAUUUGAGUUUUAAACUAUAUAUCUUUCUUUGUUCCAUCCCCUUCUAACCAUAUAUAUAGCUCCCUCACAUACGUAUCCUUUUUUAUGCGUUACAGUUGGAUAUUUCUCACAUAUCGGUUGUUUUUUUUUUAUAUAACGUUUCCAAUUUAUGACUAGAAUAUGAUUUUCUAGAUUCUGGCAGUGUAGCUUUUCUCUAAACUAUCUGGAUUUUAAAAAAUCACCAUAAAUAAUCUACUAAGAAUUUUUGGAUCAUUAUUAUCUUUGCGUGUAGCUAACUUCCAGAGUUAUUUUUAGACAUAAAUAUCAUCUCUUAACUCAUUAUAUAUCAAGAGAUAUAGAUUUUACAAAAUCAGGACAACCUAGUCAUUUUUUUGGAAAUUAUUCUAGAUUUUGUUCUAUGUUUUUCUUGUUUGAUUUCUUGAUUUCUCUUGUCUGAUUCUUGUUUAUACAAGUUUAAUCCAUCACAAAUAAGCAUAAACAUGCCCUCUUUCUAUAAACUUCAUAAAACAUUAACAACCAUACAUGAAAAUCAAAUGAUUAAUCAAGAUUUUAAAUAUACAUCAACUAGGUGCUUAUUUUAAUUUUUUAUCCUUUCAUGACUUCCCUUUUCUUCCUCUUUUUCUCCUCUCCAUACUCAACUCAACCGUCUCUCUUAAUCACCAUGUGACUGCCGAGAGUCUCAUAGAGAAAUGGCCUAGCUUACUUACUUUACUUCCUUUUUAAUUAUAAGCAUGAGUUGAUAAGUCCAAACUAAAAAAUGAUCUUUAGUCAAAAAUGUCAAAGCUUCUCAAGGAAGCUACGUCCCCCUUAACCAUAUCUCCAACCGGGACUCAACAUGCUGGAAAUUUCCAGAAUAAGCUAUCUUUUUCCUUUUGUUCAAUUAUUUGAAAUUUUGAUCCACUUUUUGUCCUUUUGACAUAAAAAAUCAACUUUUCAUGUUUACAAUCGUUUCCUACUAAAGUUGAUAUCCUGAUCAUCAUGUCGAUGUCUGUUUCUUCAAAUUCAUCUCCAAACUCUAAAUUUGAUUUUUCCUCAUAAAUGUCAACUGUUGUCUUUUACCAAAAAAUAAAUCCCAACACCAUAUUGUGUUUGUUGUCUUCACCUACCAAAUUUGACGUUCUAGAUUCAACUCAAAUUCCAUCUAGAACUCUAAUUUGAGUUUUGAACUGUAUAUCUUUCUUUGUUCCAUCCCCUUCUAACCAUAUAUAUAGCUCCCUCACAUAUGUAUCCUUUUUUACGCGUUACAGUUGGAUAUUUCUCGCAUAUCAGUUGUUUUUCUUUGAUAUACCGUUUUCCAAUUUAUGACUUUAAAUGAAUUUCAAUUUUCAUUUCUUAUUGAACUUUAAAUUUUUCAUGCAUAAUUCUUAUUUUCAUUUGUAAUCGCAUUUAUAAUUAUUGAAACUUAUGUUACGUUUGGAUUGAAGGAAUAAAAUGGAGAGUGAAAUGAUUCAUUAUGUUCUAGUUGGAAUGAGUUAUUUCAUACUCUCCAUCUUCCAAAGAAUAAAAUUCAUAAAUUUGAGAGGAAUAAGAAUGGUUCAAUCGAUAAUUCCAAUCGCAACCAAACACAAAUUUUUUUCAUUCUAUUCUCACCUUCAUUUCUCCAAUCCAAACGUAGCAUUAGAGUAUUACAACCUUUCUUUAUUUUUAACGUUUUAGUUUUUCAAUAUAGUCAUUUAUGACACUAAAUAAAAUUAGAUUUUUAUUUCAUUGAAAUUUCAGUUACAAUGUUUUAUUCAUAUUUUUAAAUCUUGUUUACAUUUCUUGAAAACUUCGGGUAUUACAUACUAACAAAUCAAGGGUCUGAAUUAUGAAAUAGAUCGUUACAAAUAGAUCCAAAAUUAUGAAAAUUAGAAGGAUAGGCCGAAACGACAUUUUGAUGUGAAAUGAUCAAAAUGUCACUAAAAGAUUAAAAUUGUAAUUCAGUAAAUACGCACACCUAGAGGGAGGGGAGGGGAGGGGAGGGGGGGGGGGUGAAUAGGUGUUUAAAUUAAAAAUGAUAAACGGUGAAAACUUUUUUGAAAUUUUCUGCUACAGGUUAAAUUCAGACAGCUACACCUGUCUGCUUUAGUGUCUGCUUUAACUUAUGUUCUUUGUUCAAUAUUAUCAGAUAGCUAUACCUGUCUGCUUUAGUGUCUGGAUUCGUAUUAAUAAAGCAAAAUACCCAAAAAUUAAGCAACAGAAAGGAGAAGUGCAGAAACGUAAAGAUACCAAGAUUUUUUUACGUGUUUCAGCCCCUAUCCUCUAUCUAGUAGCCCAAUUCACGUCCAAUCUCAACUAGGAUUGGAGACUCUCUUUAUUAUAAUUUAAACCUCAAUACAAAAGAUAACUCCCUGUUACAAAGAAGCCUCAAAUCUGAUGUUGGACAGCUAUGCCCCCUUUUUGCACCUCUGCAACUUGUACACCUCUGCACCACUUCUCACCUCUGAGACCCUUGAAACCUUCUAUGAACAGACUAAUUAAAUAAGAAACCUCAAGCCAAAACUAUGCUUAAGUUCAGUUUAUAAAGAAUGAGUAAAAUAAAUUUCCAGCACAAAAGAAUAUAAUAGACUACAAUAAAUGGCUGAAAUAAAGCAAUUGAAGUGCUCUGAUGUAGUAUUUCAACUUGAUUGCAGGUUCAGGAGAUGUUCUUGUUCAGCUGAAGAGAAGGAGUAUAUAUAACGAGACAAGCAACGACUAUAAAAGAUGUUAGCUAAGAAAACUCAGUCCCGUUAGAAACCAUCCAUGAUUUCAGCAGCUUUGUAUAACCAAAAAGAUAAUAUGUUGUGACGCCCCCAAAUCCAGGUUCUCUAACCUCAGAUUCAGUGCUCAUGAUCCUAUCAUCAUCAUAAGCAUUCUAUAACUAUUUCGAAAUAAUAAACAUACAUUGUUCAUUAUACAAAAGUCUCAAAACAUGGUCCCAAGGUCUCUCUAACCUUAACUUUAAAUACACCAUUUAUAAUACAAAUAGUUUACUCAAGAAAUUCCAUUAGAUAAUAACUAAUUUAACAUUCAUUCUAAAAUUACUCCUGGAUCUUGCCCUUGCCCUUGUCCUUCGCAUUAGAUCCUUCGGGCUUAACUGAAAAUAGAGGUCAUGAUAUAGCAAGAGUAAGCAACUAAUUUGCUUCACAAGUUUAUAAAGACAAAGGAGAUAUAUCAUGACUUAGAAAGAAAUAUUGCCUUCAAUGUUCAACAAUAAUAUAAGAUUGUGAAGGAACAUGAAUUAAUAAUCAACAAUUGAAUAUUCGAUAAUUGAAUAACAUGAACUGAGUGGUUUUGAAUAACCAUGAACAUUUGCCAAGGUGCUCAGUGAUUUAAACUGGACCUUUUAAUAAGUUUUGGUAUUCAAGGGGAUCAGCCUUUCAUACCCCGUGAUUUAUGCAUAAACACUUAAUAAUCCGACAUUGAUAUCAUGCCUUAAUCAAAUUUGUUCAUUUCUCAGUCAAGAGUUCUUACCAUAUCAAUUAAUAAGAACAGUUAUUUAAAAUCCAUUUGAUUUAACAAAUUUAGACAUGCUUGAUCUAGCUGAUACAAUUAGCAUAGAUCUAUCCCAUAAACAGUUCAUAAAUGAAGAACUUUAAUUUAAUUCACAGUUCAAUGGCAGUAGAACGGAAUUCAAUUGCACAAAGUGCGAAUUUCAAUAAUCAAUAAAGACGUGAAUAAUCAUCAAUAAUUAUUCACUAAUAUGCUUUGAAAAUAAUAACUCAAGUUGAGUUAGGAAACUUGCCUCGAUCGUAGGUUACAGCUACGAAAUAAAUUUCUAUCCACUAUGUAGUUAAAUUAUCUUCCUUUGAGAGACCUAUAAUUAGUCUUUCAAUUAGUCAAUGCAUAACAUCAGAUUAUGUAAUCACAUAGAUAUCAUACAUUACAAUAAGUUCUUAUAAACAUUAUCAUGCCUAGAUAGUGUUAUUAUUAAUUAACGACUACCUUUAAUUCACAUAAUAUUAUUAACUUAGAUAAUAUUAAUUCACCUUCUAGUAUUAUUGGUUCACUAAUAAUACUUUAAAUCAUUUACCAACAUUUUAUUCACUUACUAAUAUUAUUAAUCAUUUAAUAAUAUUUUAUCCCUUUACUAAUAUUAUUAAUCAUUUAAUAAUAUUUUAUUCACUUACUAAUAUUAUUAAUCAUUUAAUAAUAUUUUAUUUAAUCUCGAAUAUUAUUAUUUAAUAAUAAUACUCUAAUCUAAUAUUUUUAUUUACAUAACAACAUCAUAUUAUAAUAUUAUUAGUAUUAUAAUAAUAUUCCAAUGAUUUAUUAAAUUAAUAAACAAUUUAUUCUAAUUGUUCAUCCUUUAAUAACCUCUUAUUUAAUAUCCAUAAAAGGUCAUAAGUAAUAUUUAUUAUUAUAAAUUACCAAAAUGCCCUAAGAUAGUCAUGAUAUAAUAUAUUAUGAGCAUUCAAGCAUAAAAAUCAUAUUUUUCUCAUUAAAGGCAUCAUUUAACUAUUUAUUUCCUUUUAUUCAUAACCUAAUCAUUUUUAGGAAAAAUAGCAAACUGAUUCCAAAAAUUCUCAGCUUCUGGAUUUUAACAGAAUAUGAACCAACAAUGAUCCUCUAAUUUUUCUAGAAUUUUAGAAAAUGAUUUACUAUUUUUAGAGUGUCCAAAACACUCGGAUCUUGCUCUAUUUUUCAUAAAUUGAGUUUUACUCAGAAAAAUCUGAAAUUUUCAGGGUAUGCUCUCUUAACAUAUAUGAAGCUACUGUAAAAAUUUUGGAAUUUUCCAGUGUAUACACAGUGAGAUAUUCGUAGGAUAAUAUUUAUGGAGUCCUUUACGGAAAUAGUCAUUACGCACAAUAUAUAACUCGAAACGUGUCCGUUCUUUUUCCUACGCGUAGAUAACUUCAUAAGGUACCUCUGUAAUAUUUUUCCAGAUUUUUACAAGACAAGGAACUGACCGAAACAGCCUCAUGAAAAACAAGUCAGUAGCUGAUUUAGAGUUUCAAAGCUUUAGCAUAUAAAGUGGACUGUUUUGGGAAAAAUAAUCUUAAAGGUUUCAAAACUUACUAGAUUUGUGAUCUACCACUUGGGUUUACUAGAUAACUCAUGUAUCUAGCACCCCCCUUCGACGGAUCAUAAUUCCAAGUUGUAGAACUUGAGUUACACAAGAUUUAGUGGAAGAAAAACAAGAGUUUUCACCCUUGGAGAACAUAUGCUCAUUUUCUUCCUCUAAGCCUUAGAUCCAACACUCAAGAUACUUAGUUCCAUGCAUGAUGGUAUGUAUAACUAGUGUAUCUUGAGUAGUUGUACAUAACCCCAUCAAAACUCAAGCUAUCAAAACAAGGUAAGAGAAGAAGAUGAAGGUACAUUAUACCUUGACUUAGUGGCUACCUUCCUUGAUUUUCCAAAGUAACUAAUAAACUUAGGGGGCAUAAACAACUAGCACUCCUAUAUUUUUUUCUUUCUAUGGAUGAAAUUCUCUCUUUCUUUUCUCUCUUUGAAGUUGGCUAGCUUGGGAGCAAGAGAUAGAAGAAGAAGAUGAAGAAGAUGGAGAGAAAAUGAAAUGUUGGAAUACGAAUGAAGUGUUGGAAGAAUGAGAUGUGCAUUCAAAAUGUAAUGGGCAAUUCAUUAUUAAUUCUCCCACAAUCAUUUUGUUGCCCAUUAGGUAAAACACUUUGUAUUAUUACUUACCUUAGGUUAAACAUGAUUAAAUGUGCAUAAUGGAGUGGCAACCAAUGGGAGCCUUACAACAUUGUCCUUAUGUUUAUUCAUGUCUACUAAUGGACAAGCUAGAUUAAUUAUUCCACUUAGGAUCCUCAUAAUAUCCACCAUUUAGCUUUUAUUUUAAAUGCCCAAUUUUGAUUAAUCAAAUGUCUAGAAUACCCCCAAUCAAGUGGGCUAAGUAUUGGAUUACAUUUUAUUUUCCUUGGGCUUUUCUUUUAAUUGAUUUGGGCUAGAUAAAAACAUAGUCCAACAAUUUUAAUAAUGUUACCCAAUUUGAUAAUUUAGGGCUUUCAUCUCCAAUCAUAUGAAGUUUAAUUACUUAUACAUAUGAUUUUAUCUCAUAACCUAAUUAGAUUUACAAGAAUUAGGUUUAAAAUUAUUAGUCACUUGAAAUACUAAGUUUACCCACUUAAGUUAGUAUACGUAUAAAAUACUAACUUUUUCGUGUUACCAUAACCCUUAGGUUAUUUAAUAUCCUUACCUAAUGUAUAAUUAGGUCACAAGGCUUUCAUUUUUAAUGAAAUCCAUAAAUGUAUGUAUCCAUAUAUAAUACAAAGUUUUUUAAAAAAUGUACAUACAUACAUGGUGACUUAAGAUUCACGGUUAUUACAUAUGUAAUCUGCAACAACUAUACGAUUUUGAAGUAGCUAAAAUAAAGGAAAGAAACUUUAUACGCAGUCAACUGUUGAGUAACAAAAGAGAUUAGAUAAGAUGAGACCUACCAACUCUAAAUAGCUUCUGUAAGACUCCUUUUUCAAAUAGAAUAUCAAUACAAAAUAUCACUAACUGUUAUGGGCCCCACUAAGCAAGAGAAUAUCCUUAAAUAAAUUUAGAACCCCCGAAAUACUCUGUAGAAUAGAUGAACCAAAUUUGGGCCAGUUGGAAAAACAAUUAAUGACAUAAAUCGAUUUAAUAAUAUUUGACAUCAUUAAAAUUAUAAAUACCAACAUUCUCUCCCUUUUUGAUGAUAACAAAAUAUUAUCCCAUUUAUAUGCUCCCCCUAAAUAUAUGUUCCCCCUAAAUUUAUGCGUAUAAGAUUUUCAUAACAAAUAGGGAAACAAAUAACAAAUAAAGAAGUCAGAUAUAAUAUCUAACAACAAACAAAUAAAUAAGCACAAAAUGAUAUUCAGCAUGCAACAAAUGGAUAUCAUAUCCAAACUAUCAUUUAAAUUAUAACAGAUAAUGUAACGACCCCAAAAUUCAUACAAUUUAAUUCUCAAUUUCGGUCAUUAUAUAUUCAACCUCUAAUUUUACAUCAUUAAACGAUAAUACAACCAUUAAAAUUUGUGGAAUAAUUAAAAUUUUCUAUUACAAACGAUCCUCGUUCCCAAAACCUUCAACCUUUACAUCUAAACCUCUCAGAAUCAUUUUAAUACUACAAUAGUUUACAUCGCAAAACGUUAUUACAAUUCAACAUUUAUACAUUGUUCGGAACCUUAAACAUGGUUCAAAUAAUCAUAACUCAGCCAAAGUAUAUAAUUCUUCAAGUAUCACAUCUGUUUCAUAUCUUUCAAGUAGCACAUACUUUACCUUAAAUCUUUAACCUGCAAAAGUGGUUAUUUUCAAGGUUGAGCUCGACAGCCCAACAAAAUCUAACAGUUUUCAUGCAUCAUAUAACACAUAAUAACAUGCUCAACAUAUAACAUACAUGCUACAGUUCAUAUAACAGGUAUAAAGAUUGAGUCCUUACUCAAUCAGCAUGCUUUAGUCAAUCAACAUAGUCAUAAAUUGACUUUACAAUUUCAUACUUUCAACAUAUAUAUAACACAUCAUGCUCUUUGCAAUAAAGAUUUAAAACUGUUAAUUAUCAAGUUCACAUAGCAAAUAAGAACUAAAAGACUUGCCAUGAUCGUUGUUUACCAAUAAUAGUUUAACAGCUUACGGUUAUCUGUACUGCACGUGCCCUACACAAUUAUAUAAUCAUUCACAUCAACUAUUAGUCACAUAGCAACGCAUAGUAGUUGUAAUGUAAACUUUAAUCUACAUCUUAUAACCCUUCCUAUUAAUCAAUACACAAUGUUCAAUUUGAUUAUGUUAACUUUAGACUUAUAACUCACUAUAUUUCAUAUUCGAAGUUCAUUCAAGUGCUUAAGUCUUGCUAGGACUACUUAUUAGUUUUAUAUUAAAUCCAUUACAUAUCUUAUAAUAUUCAUUUCAAUUGAAUUGAAAUAUUUUUUAAGUUUAUUUACACUUGGCAUGGCGUUUCGACGUUCAUUCGUCACACGCUCGAUUCGUCUCUCAUGUGUGUGCUUAGUAUGCUUAUACAACUUAUCUAAUACAUCAUUUAUCAAUGUUAAGCAUCAUUAUAUUUACUAAUAUUCAUGUUUUAUAACUUAGGACAACAUUUUUUAUUGUCAGGAGCACUACAUUUGCAUAUGUGCAUUCCCGACGCCCUCCGAUUGCCUCCUAAUACAUAUCAGUCCCAUAAAUGAGCAUUUUGACACCUGUUCCCGACCUCAAAUUGAAAAACUUAAAGAAUGAAAGUUGUAGGUCAAUUCGUCCUCGUUCCGGAUCAUCUUGAAUCACCUCAAUCGGAGUUCAUAUGAAAAAGUUAUGGCCAUUUUACUUCAGGAGGUCAAAACUGUCCAACCCAGACCACUUUUCUAGCGCUGGGGCGCGAGACAGUGGCGCUGGGGCAUGAAUUCCAGCAUUGGGGCGCGAACUUCAGCGCUGGGGCGUGAAGUUUUGGGCUAUUUUUGGCGCUGAGGCGCGAAAUUCAGAGCUGGGGCGCGAAACUUAGUGUUAAGGCUCCAAAUUACAGAACACCCCAAAACAAAAUACAGAACAAAGCCAUGUCUUAAUUUCUAACACCAAUUAACAUGUAUAACUUAUGCAAAUUACACAUAAACUUCACCAAGUAUACAAAAUCUAAAUUAACACAACUUAAACCAUAAUUCUAGAAAAAUUACAUACUAGAAUAGCAUAUUUUAAAACCAAAAACUCCAUUUUUGAUAUUUCUUGACAUAGUGAACACUGUAAUCAUAAUGAUACACCCAUUUGAUUAUUUUGAACUAAGUUCUCUUUAUUUCAUAUCCAAUUAACAAUUCACAGUUCAAUUCUACAAUUUAGCAUACAAUCAAAUACUAAUUUUGGUAUCCUACAAAACACGUUCAUACAUGUGUUCACUGUAAAACUAAUUUCUUUUCUUGUAGACUUAAUUUAGCAUACAAUCUUAUCUAUAUGUUAAGCAUACACUCAUAUAUAUGCUAGUAUAACAAUUAUAAUUACCAAUACACAUAAUUUCCAAUUAUAAAAAUAUGGUUUUACAAAAAGUUUGUAAAUAACUUUAUAUUACAGUCAAAUUCAGAAACACAGAGACUUAGAAAUUAUAGCGUAAAACCUAUAUGUUAAGAUUGUGUAACAUACCUUUUGUUGCUUAAGAAAUCCUUGAUAAUCACUUAGAAUCGCUUGACGAACUCAGAACUUUCUCUCUUGAUUCUCUCUCAGGCUCUCUCAAACUCCCUCAAAAUUCUCUGAACACUCCUUUCUUUUCUUUCUUCUUAGGCUCAGUCUUAGACCACACACAAUUGACGUAAAAUAAAGCUAACGUACUAUUUUCAAACGUUUUAAAAACUGACGUUAUAAUUAAUAUACUAAUAAGUUGUCAGUUACUAAAAAUAAUAUAUGUAUUAUUUAUAUUUUAUUUAUUUAAUUUAUUAUAAUUUAAAAUUCAAAAUAAAACCAAAAGCCAUAAGGCUCUGUUUGGCAAAACUCUUUAAAAAUUAAAGACUUAAUAUAUUUAAGCAUUCUUUGGCAAAACUAAAUUAAACUCCUUUAUUUAUUUUAAUAACUCCUUUAUAGUAUAGUUAUUUGCCACACUUUAUUUAAUUAAGUUUUCAUACUUAAUUUAAUUAAUUCUAAUAACAAUUUAUUGAAUAAUAUAAUAAUUCAUUUAAUCAUUAUAAAUUCUCUAACUUAAUUAUUAAAUUAAAUUAGAAUAUUAUCUCAUAACAAUUAAUUUCCUUAACUCAUUAAUUAUUUAUUAAACAAAUAAUUAACCAAAUCAAAUCAAAUCAAAUUAAACAAAUAUUUAUUCAACAACAAACAAAUAUUUAUUUAACAAUAAAUACAUCCAUUAAAUAUUUAUAUAAUUCAAUAAAUAUUUAUAAUUACAAUUAAAAUUUUGGAUUGUUACAUUAAUCACAUCGCAAUAAGAAUUUCAAUUAUUAAAUUCUUAUUUUAAUAACUUAUGAAAAAUUCGGGUUAUCACAUCUUCCCUCCUUAUAAGGAUUACGUCAUCGGAAUCAACGAAACCUCCCUUACUCGGUUUUCACCAAAUCUCUAUUAAAAAAAAAUUAUUGUUGAAUACACUACAAAAAAUAGGUCAUUCCCGACGGGCAAUGCCGUUGCCAAUGACCCCCUUGCCGUCGGCAAUGAGGUCAUUGGCGACGGCAUGAUCCGUCGGCCUUCCCGUCGUCGUAUGGGUCGUCGCCCCUGGCUCCCGUCGCUCGUCGUCGGCAAGAGGGUCAUUACCGACGGGGUCAUUGCCUACGGCUGGCAACGACAUUGGCGAUGAAAUAGACUUCUUCACGAAUGCAUAUCAAUAACAAUAAUAGCUUUUGCUAUAUCAACCAACAAAUAUGUAAACAACGUAAUGAUUUAUAGAUAAAGUCGUGCAAUGUAAAUACAAAAUGUAAUCAUAAACAAUUAAUAUAGUUAGAUACAUAUACCAUCAACCUAACUAGAUUCUAAACUCUAGUCUAUACAACUCAAAAGCUGGAUAAAUAUACAUAUAUGAAAGUUAAAAUAUAAACAUAAUGGGUACUACAACCCAAGAUCAGGAAUGUCAGUAUCACCAUCGCCACCGGUCCCAUCGCCAGUCCCACCGCUAGUCCCACCUACGGUUCCACCUCCGGUCUGACUGCCGGUCCCACCCUCAAUAAUUUUACCAGCAUCAGCCCGACAGUCAUCACCAUCUCCACCACAGGCAUCGCCUGUGCCGCAGCCUCCACCCGCCGAAGUCUCAUCAACAAGACCCUACAAUAUUAAAAUAUUAAUAACGAAUUCGAAAAUAGAGCAUAUUUAAAUUAGUUUUGUUUGUGUUCUUCAAGUGUUGUUGAGUUUUACAAACUAGACGAGAACUCGGUCUCCAUAGGUCAGAAUCGAGUCCCAUAAGUUCUAACACGUGUCUAAUACCUACGCGGUGCUAUGUGUGUGUUUGCGUGUUGUUUGGACGGCCGAGGCGGGUUUUGACCUCUUUUUUGGCUUUUUGCCUAAGUGUUGGCGAGUUUUGCAAACUGCGCGACAACUCGGAUUCAAUACAUCAGAAUUGAGUUCCGUAAGUUGUAACGCGUGUCUAAUACCUACGUGGUGCUAUAUGUCUGUUUGCGUGGCGUUCAGACGGUCGAGGCGGGUUUUGACCCCUUUUUCUGCCUUUUGCCUAAAUGUUGGAGAGUUUUGCAAACUGGGCGAUAACUCGGAUUCCGUACGUCGAAAUCGAGUUCUGUAUGUUCUAACACAUGUCUAAUACCUAUGCGGUGCUAUGUGUGUGUUUGCGUGUCGUUCGGACGGCCGAGGCGGGUUUUAACCUCUUUUUUCGGCUUUUUGCCUAAGUGUUGGCGAGUUUUACAAACUUGGCGAUAACUCGGAUUCUGUAUGUCGGAAUCGAGUUCCGUAAGUUCUAACACGUGUCUAAUACCUACGCGGUGCUAUGUGUGUGUUUGCGUGACGUUCGGACGGCCGAGGUGGGUUUUAACCACUUUUUCGGCCUUUUGCCUAAGUGUUGGCGAGUUUUGCAAACUGGGCGAAAACUCGAAUUCCGUACGUUGGAAUUGAGUCCCGUAAGUUGUAACGCGUGUCUAAUACCUACACGGUGCUAUGUGUGUCAUUCGGACGACCGAGGUGGGUUUUGACCUCUUUUUUGGCUUUUUGCCUAAGUGUUGGCGAGUUUUGCAAACUAGGGGAUAACUCAGAUUUCGUACGUUGGAAUCUAGUCCUGUAAGUUCUAACGCGUGUCUAAUACCUACGCGGUGAUAUGUAUGUGUUUACGUGGUAUUCGGACGGUCGAGGCGCGUUUUAACCUCUUUUUCGGCCUUUUGCCAAAGUGUUGGCGAGUUUUGCAAACUGGGCGAUAACUCGGAUUCCGUACGUCGGAAUCGAGUCCCGUAAGUUCUAACAUGUGUCUAAUACCUACGCGGUGCUAUGUGUGUGUUUGUGUGUUUGUGUGUCGUUCGGACGACCGAGGUGGGUUUUGACCUCUUUUUCGGCUUUUUGCCUAAGUGUUGGUGAGUUUUACAAACUGGGGGAUAACUCAGAUUUCGUACGUCAGAAUCGAGUCCAGUAAGUUCUAACGUGUGUCUAAUACCUACGCGGUGCUAUGUGUGUGUUUGCAUGGCGUUUGGACGGCCGAGGCUAGUUUUGACCUCUUUUUCGGUCUUUUGCCUAAGUGUUGGCGAGUUUUGCAAACUGGGCAAUAACUCAGAUUCUGUACAUUGGAAUCGAGUUCCCUAAGUUCUAACGCGUGUCUAAUACCUACGCGGUGCUGUGUAUGUGUUUGCGUGUCGUUCAGACGACCGAGGUGGAUUUUGACCUCUUUUUUGGCUUUUUGCCUAAGUGUUGGCGAGUUUUGCAAACUCGGGGAUAACUCAGAUUUCGUACGUUUUUAUCGAGUCCCGUAAGUUCUAACGCGUGUCUAAUAACCUACGCGGUGCUAUGUGUGUGUUUGCGUGGCGUUCGGACAGCUGAGGCGAGUUUUGACCUCAUUUUCGACCUUUUGCCUAAGUGUUGGUGAGUUUUGCAAACUGGGCGAUAACUUGAAUUUUAUACGGCGGAAUCGAGUCCCAUAAGUUCUAACGUGUGUCUAAUACCUACGCGGUGCUAUGUGUGUGUUUGCAUGCUGUUUGGACGACCGAGGCGGGUUUUGACCUCUUUUUUGACUUUUUGCCUAAGUGUUGGCGAGUUUUGCAAACUGGGCGAUAACUCGAAUUCCGUACGUCGGAAUCGAGUCCCGCAAGUUCUAACGCAUGCCUAAUACCUAUGCGGUGCUAUGUGUGUGUUUCCGUGGCAUUCGAACAGCCGAGGUGGGUUUUGUCCUCUUUUUCGACCUUUUGCCUAUGUGUUGGCGAGUUUUGCAAACUGGGCAAUAACUCGGAUUCCGUACGUCAGAAUCGAUUCCCGUAAGUUCUAACGCGUGUCUAAUACCUACGCGGUGCUAUGUGUGUGUUUGCGUGUCGUUCGGAUGACCAAGGUGGGUUUCGACCUCUUUUUUGGCUUUUUGCCUAAUUGUUGGCGAGUUUUGCAAACUGGGAGAUAACUCAGAUUCCAUACGUCGGAAUCGAGUCCCGUAAGUUCUAAUGCCUAUCUAAUACCUACGCGGUGCUAUGUGUGUGUUUGCUUGUCAUUCGGACGACCGAGGCGGGUUUUGACCUCUUUUUCGGCCUUUUGCCUAAGUGUUAGCGAGUUUUGCAAACUGGGCGAUAACUUGAAUUCCGUAUGUUAGAAUCGAGUCCGAUAAGUUCUAACGCGUGUCUAAUACCUACGCGGUGCUAUGUGUGUGUUUGCGUGGCGUUCGGACGGCCGAGGCGGGUUUUGACCUCUUUUUCGGCCUUUUGCCUAAGUGUUGGCGAGUUUUGCAAACUGGGCGAUAACUCGAAUUCCGUAUGUCGGAAUCGAGUCCCGUAAGUUCUAACGCGUGUCUAAUACCUACGUUGUGCUAUGUGUGUGUUUGCGUGUUAUAGCAAUACAAUUAAAAAUUACAAUUAUAAAUUAUAUAAAUUAAAUAAAGAAAUACAGAAUUGAAUUAUUUUUACCUAUCGAAUAUGUGGUGGGAAAAUGUUGGCCAAGAUAACAGCACAUACGGGGAUGGCCUCCUCCCGUACUACACCCAUGAGGUCGUCAACGACGGCUGUAGGAUCUAUAGAGUCGUGGACAACCUCCCGAGCCAGCUGGUAGAUCCGCUCGCGUGAUGGUGCACCUGACUGCACAACACUGCUCAAUAUGCACCCCUCUAUGAUCCGUCAGAAGAAGUCAUCGGAUAAUUAAGGGCCGACUCCCGAUCCACUAGAACCACUACCUCCAGUGGGUGGGCGCCGUCGAGAUCUCGCAGCAGGGACUAGGCUGUAAGCUGGGACAUGGGGAAUGCCCACAACUCUACCCUUCUUCGGUCCCUCUGUAGCCUGCAGCCAGUCCUCUAUCUCCUCGUCCGCACACAUAGACUCGUCUACUGGAGUGUCACCUCUCUGGCUGCUCCGGGCCACUGUAAGAUCCUCGAAUCGAUGCUGAAAAAAAACACAUUAGUAGAUGAUACAUAAAGAAUAUAAUGAAAUAAUACAAAAGAUAAUUACAUAACUAAAUAAGAUAAUUACAUAAAUUACAGCAAUGCGUUCUGCCUUAGGUGAGAUAUAACCACCGUCACCUUUCUUUUGGUGGGCGUGCCACCAAAACUCCAAGCGAGAGGGUGAAUGCUUUAAACUCACAUCGAGUCUCUCCCGGUACAGGUCGUACGACUGAGACCUAGUGCAGUGUGGGAGACGACUCUGCUGUUGGGCAGCUGAACGUUGUUCCGACAUCUUCUUGAAGGCCUCACCGUCCCAAAUGCUGCACAUCUGGUCCCACACCGCAACAGAUAUGAAAUCUGGCCGGACAACCUUAAGUGUCUGUCCAUAAGCCAUCUUCAUCUGGGCCUUCUUCUUCCAGUCGUAGACCCACUUGUGCCAAUUCAUCUCUAGGUAUCUGUGAAGAACAAUCAUGCCUUGGGCUUCCUGCCCGUCCUCAAAACGAUAAUAUCUCUGCACAUUACACAUUAAGAAGCUUAGUAGAUAACAUAAAUCAAAGAGGUAACAGUAUAUUCAAAUGGAAUAUAAAACUAGUAUAUGAAUGAUUGACAUCCUACCCUAAACUCAACAAUAAUCAGCUGCCGUGUGCGGUCAUCCACAUCCUCCCACCUCAUCCACGGGCUUGAGAAUCGGUUGCGGACGAUCCCAAGCAACGUGUUCCUUGGCGUGGCGUCAAGGAUACUAUAAUUGAAAUUAAUACAUUACAAAUUACAAAGAAUAUAUAAGAACUAAAUACUUAUGUUAUAGUAAUACUAUAUAGGAUUAUGAAAUUACCUAUAAGUCCCAACACGACAUACAAGUGGGGCCUGGGUGGGAUUCCCUAGCAAGCCACGUGCUAGUCCCUGCGGAGGCCUACGUCAAUCACCUAUGUAGUGAAAUACAUGAUCAAUAGUUAUAUAAACGAAUAUAAUGUUAAUACAAUAUAAAAUAAAAAAUAAUAAGAUGUAUCCCAAUAAAAUAUGUACUUAUAUGUAGAAUCGCCACGGCCCCCACGACCUACACGCCCACCACGAUCGCCGUGUGGUGUGCGCGCCAUAGGUAUGUAUACUGUCAAAUCAUAAAAAAAAUAUUAUUAAACAUUCGUAAAUACUAUAUUUGUGAACAGUAACAAAGAGGAUAACAUACAGAUACAACUAAAAGAAUAAUGCAACAUAAAUAGUAACCUAAAAGGAAACAACAUAAAUAGUAACCUAAAAUAACUAAUACCUUAUUUAGUAGAUUAAUAGAAGUUGAAGAUAAUGAUUGCACUACUACAAACUAUUACAUUUGAAUACAACUAAAAGGACACAAAGAGUACAUACUCCUAAUCAUUUAUAUCAUCAAAGCCAUCAAUAUCAGAAUCGUCAUCUUUGAAUAGUAGGUCUUCACUAUCGUUGUCAUCACCAUCUUCGUCGUCCUCAACUAUUUCUUCAAUGAUAUCUACCUCCUCAACAACAUCAUCUUCACCUUCGACAGCGAUAACAUCAUCCUCUUCUUCACUAGACUCACUAAUAAUUGUCACAUCAGCAGGUGUGACACUAGUAGACUCGACUUGUAAAGGUUCAUCAUCUGGACGAGGAGUUGUGCCUUGAAAACCACGGGCUUUGGUGGUUAUAACAGCAUGCCAUGGGCUUGCUGGAGUCUUAACACUCCGCGCGUAGUACACCUGUGUCGCUUGACUUGCUAAAAUAAAAGGCUCGUCCAUACCACUCAUCAGUCUUAGUUUUGACUUAACGUUAACAGUCACCCGUCUUGAUUUUUUAUCUACUUUAACUCCAUUAUCAACAUCAAACAAAUGACAAUUAAAGCAAACUAAUUCUUUAUGACCCCAAUAUUUGAGAACGACAACUUCUAGCAAUCGUCCAUACCAGUCAUCCCAAAUGUUAUCGUAGCAGCUACAUUUCACCACAACACCAGAAUCAGCAAAAACGACUUCCCCAAUAUCGGAACACUUAAAUCUGUAACUGUUGACAAUGCAACAUGUAUAAGUAUCUACAGAUCUUUCAGGGCCAUCGGCUAUAAGCUUUAGCCGAUUGUCAGCUAACUCAUCUGUGAGGACCUAAUGUACAUUAACACAACAUAUUCUAAAGUUAAUUAUGCCAUAAGAAUAAAUCUAUGAUGGUAGAUUCAUUGAACUUGUAAAGGUUAGACUUACAUGAUCUUUAAACCAUUGCACAAAUUCUCCAUUUCUCAAAUUUUGCAAAUCCCCAUUCGAUAUACUUAGAUUCUCUUCACGUACUUUAGCAUCAUAUUGACUGCAACACAUUUAUACACUCAAUGUGUUUGUAAAGGAACUUGACACAAUUACACCAGACAUAUAUAGUUAUGACUACUUACUUAAUGUAUGGCACUACUUCAUUCAUGUUAACAAGUGCAUACAAUGUAGCAGCUGCAUACUCACUAUCGGUCAAGAAUCGCCUUUUUUUACCGCCGAAUGGGCGUACAGGAUGACUAAAGGCCGUUAAUUCUCCAUUUUCCUCGUGCGCAACACCCUGAUUCUAACGUAAGCGAUUGUGCUUCGUCUGAACAUUCGGCUCAAAGUACAAUGAGCAGAAAUUAACAAGUUCCUCCAUAACAUAACUUUUAGCAAUCGACCCCUCUACACGGGCUCUAUUAUUCACCUUUUGCAUUAGACGUCGCAUAUACCUAUGUGAUAUAUAGAUUAGCAAAAAAGAAUGAACAUUUUACCGUAUUAAAAACAUUAAUGUCAUUACCUCUCGAAUGGAUACAUCCAUCUAUAUUGUACGGGACCGCCAAACUUAGCUUCGUAUUGCAAGUGAAUAGGCAAGUGCUCCAUUGAAUCAAAAAACGAUGGAGGGAAGAUCAUUUCUAACUUGCACAUUAUUUCCACUAUUUGCAUCUCCAUUUUAUCUAUGUCUUUGACCUAAAGCUCCGUCAAGCAUAGAUCUCUAAAGAAAUUAGAAAGCUAUGUCAGUGCUUCAACCACACGUUUUCGUAACAAGUCGAUAAAUGCCACAGGGAUCAACUUCUUCAUGAAUACGUGACAAUCAUGACUUUUAAGACCCCGAAACUUCAGCUCUUCGACUUUACAACACCUUGCUAUAUUCAAAGAAUAUCUAUCUGGGAGCUUCAGUCCACUGAUCCAAUUACAUAUCAAUAUCAACUGUUCCCUGGUCAAAGUAUAUUCAGCUUUAGGCGUUACCGUCUUACUACCCUCCUGAUACAGCCACAAAUCUUCCCUAAUGUUCAUUUCUACUAAAUCAAGCCUCGACUUAUUGUUGUCCUUUGUUCUACUAGUGGCAUACGUUCUUCUCAGUAUGCAUCGGAUCUAAACAAUGACAAAUGCAGAGUGUAGCCCAAUAAGGCAGGUCAAAGAACAUGGAUCUAUGUGUCCAGUUGUGAACCUUACCAUAACCAUAAGCUCACUCUAAUCUGUGAUUCUUCCCUGAAGGUGGAAACUUCAAAUGACUAAUCCAACUCAACACUGCUGACCCAGAAAGACGGCCAGGUACUUGACGUUUCUCUGUUUUUUGAUUGAAUUGUCUACUCAUCCGUCGAUAACGAUGUUCAAUCGACAAAAACUGUCUGGAUGUUGCAAAGAAACUCAUUUUCCCCCCAUGUUUGAGCCGCACAGCUUUAACUGACCCAAUGCACACGGGACAUGACAAGCCCCCGUGAGUUGACCAUCCACUGAUCAUUCCUAACACCGGGAAGUUAUUUAUUGUCCACAGUAAAGCUUCCCUCAUGUCAAAAUUCUACGUAAGAGAUACAUCAUAAGUUUGAACCCUUUUUCCCACAACAUCUUCAACUCAUCAACUAACGGCCUGAGGUAUACAUUGAUGUCUUUACUCGGACUCUUAUCACCCGGAAUCAGUAAAGGCCUGAACAUGUAGCGAUCUUUCAUGCACAUCGAAGGCGGGAGGUUAUACACCACAAUAAUCACCUGCCAAGUUGAGUAGGGCUUUGUGUAAGGCCCGUUAAACAGAUUAAACCCAUCUAUAGCAAGUCCAAGCCUAAUAUUGCUAACCUCUUCAGCAAACGAGGAGUGCUUGUUAUCAAAAUUUUUCCACUCAAGCCCAUCUGUCGGGUGCGUCAGUUGACCUUUGACUAUGUCCCAUGUAGAAUGCCACCUCAUAUCCUCGGCGGUAUAUGUUGACAUGAACAACUGCUGAAGCCUCGGGGCAAUGGGAAAGUAACCUAAGAUCUUUCUCGGCAUGUCUUUUCCCUUUUUCUUGCGCUAUUCACAGUAUCUACUUGUACCACAAAUAUCACAUGACCUCUUAUCUUUAUUGACAUCACCGUAAUACAACAUACAGUCAUUCUCACAAGCAUCAAUCUUCUCAUACCCUAGAUUGAGCCUUUUGACCAUUUUCUUCACAUCAUAGUACGACUCCGGUAACUUAUUGCCUACAGGUAAGCACUCCUUCACAAUGCUUAACAGUUCAUUAAAACCUCUCUCGCUACAGUCAUGCUCGUUCUUAAAGUGUAAAAACUUAGUCACGACAGAUAAGACGGUGUGCUUUUCGUGCCCGUCAUACAGUGGCGUCGUUGCUUCAUGCAAUAACUCAUAGAAAUCCUUAGCCCCGUCAUUCGGCUCUUGCUCGACGCUACUGUCAUCCUGGAAGUAUGAACAAGCAACUUCGACUAUCAUGUUAGUACAAUCAAAGGUUUCGUCACCUCUAGAUUCCAGUUCUGAUUUAUGUUCAUCCAACCAGGUUUCCCCAUGAUAGAUCCAUGUCGUAUAACCCUGCUUGAACCCAUACGCAAAUAAGUCGCACAUGACAUCACUCCUUUCCUUCCACACUUCAUUCACACACCUCUUACAAGGACAUUUGAUCUCAUCGUCGCUGACUUGCUCAAAGGCGAAAUUGAGAAAUUGCUCAACCCCACUACGGUACUCAGAGCUAAGCCCACUCUUAUCAGUGGCUACCCUACGUUCCAUCCAACUUCGAUCAACAGACAUCUUGGACAACUGUCUGCUAUAUAUAUGGAAAGUUAGACAAACACAAUAAAGUCUCCAAGUUAAUGUAUAUGCAAGCUUAUGAGUUUCCUAACUUCAUCUCCCACUCUAAUGGUUCAGGUUUCUAUCCCAUUCCCGGAUGUGUCGCCUCACUGAUGCCAACAACUUGAAUACAUCUUUAAAUUUUUCAGAAAUUUCUGCAGCACCUCCCCAUUAUCUUCAAGUACACGAAAUAGACUAACACAUCGUAGUCUAAAUAUGCACCCGAAGAACAUCAAGAGAUAUAUACUGACUAAAAAUUCAAAAAAUAUAAAGACGUGCUCAAGUCGUUAACACCGACCUAAGUGAGAUCGAAACAUACAAGAACAGUCCCAAAACGGGGACUAUUUGAGAUACACUCCUACUAAGUGAAUCUCAAACGGGUUUCUAAGCUUCCUAAACUAUAUGAAAAUACGCACAUGUCAAGAAAUUGAAGUAUUCACUGAAAAGUAAUGAUAAAUUAAGAAGAUUAUGUCAUUUUAUAAUUGUAAAAAAAUUGACAAUGUUAACUAUAAACGAAUGUGUUCCAACAUAUUUUACUGUUACUCAUAUUUUCUUAGAAACAUGUUGGAAGAAUGCAUAUUAUGAUUUGAUGUUUAAUGUAAAUGCUCAUGAUUAUGUGUAAAGUCCUUCGAGGAAUAUAUGUACAAGGACUUAGUGAUAGAUCAAAAUUGUUAGGUUGAUCUUAGCCUUUAAUGCUCACUUGUAUAGAUAAAGAGAUCAAAUAUGUUAGGUUGAUCUAUGGCUAGAAAGAAAUAGAUAGGCCUUGAAGAAAAUCAUAGUCUAUCUAGCUGAUCAACAAAAGGCAGAAGCUAAGGCAGGAUCGUAGUGCUAAUAUGAUCGUAGUGCAUCUGCCUUGAAGGGCCUCUUCAGAAAUCGUAGAGUGGUCCAGACGUUUGCCGAUGCUAACUCAGAGAUCAUUGUGUGCUCUCGGAAACGUUGAGUCUACAAGACGAGCAAGUGAUGAUUAUCGUGUGAAAAGAUCGUAGUGUGCAAAUCCUUGCGAGAAAUCGUAGUGUUCUCUUAAGAACAAGCACCAAUAUGAUAAGACACGACGAUAUGGAGAGUGUCAUCUGCCUUGUGUCAGAAGCAUCAAGCCCUACCUUUUGUUUGAAGAUAAAUUCCAACAAAUAUGGAAUGGGUUUUGAACAUUGAAGCACUCACCAGUUCCAACGGUACAAAAGAUAUCCUUAGUAUUGAUCAAAAGGAACGUAUUCAAGAAGCUAAGAAAAGGGACAUUGGGCAGAGUAAAACACCUUUUCAGGUGUUACGUGAGAAAGCAGUCUGGUGUGUUAGUAGGCCAGAGUGAAAUUCAGAAGAUGUGCAGAAAAGUCUCCAUCAAAGUUCAGAAAGGUCAAACGCAUUUAAUGCUUCUUCAAAAGGCUUCAACGGAUAGAUUUCAAGAUCACAUAUAUACAGAACACAAAUAGAUGAGAAAAAUAAGCAAGUAUUGAACAAAAAUGUGCAAGAACAAUCAACGCUCAACUCUACGAUCCGAGAAAGUUAGAAAGCUUGCUCAGCUACUCAGUUCUUUCAAACAAGUGCUUAAUAGCAACUGAGUAGCACCAAUCACGAUCUCAACAACAACCAAUCAACUGAAGUGAGAAGUUCCAAGUCUGAAGGACUUGAAGAGUUCUAAGUGAACUGUAAAGAACCAAGUCUGCUGGACUUGAAGAGUUCAAGAGUGAACUAAGAAGUGCCUAGACUGUUGGUCUAGAAGGAAUCUGUGAAAUUCAAGAAGUGUAACAGACAUCCUUAGUGGAUUUCCUACUUAAGGAGUAGAAGAGUGGAUUAGGAGCUUUUAGUGCUCUGAACCACUUAAAACUACUGUGUCCAUUAUAACUGAUAUAACUGUUAUAACUGUCAUAACUGCCUCACUCUCAUUAAUUCAAGAUAUCUCAAAGAAGGUUUAUCAUAUAUUCAUUCCACUGUGCAUUAAUCACAAUCAUACUAACGAGUUUAAAGAAAAGUUUUUAAUUAUCUAUUCAACCCCCCCUUUCUAGAUAUCUAUUGUGCCUCCGGGAACUAACAAUUGGUAUCAGAGCUACUUCUAUAAUACAGGUUACAAAGCUUGAGUAGAUCCAAUGUCACACUUACCAAGCGAAUCAAAGACUGGAGGAGGCAGCAAGCCACCUAUGUGCAACAAAGAUAAAUUUGAUAACUGGAAGGUUAGGAUACAAGCUUACAUGGAUUCAAUAGAUGAAGAUCUAUUUGAAACUAUUCAGAAUGGGCCCUAUGUUCCUACAAAGCUUGCACCAACUACAGAUGACCCAAACAGAGUACAUAUCAAGGUCAAAGAAGAAUGGACAGAGAAUGAGAAAGAGAGCUAUCCAGCUUGACAAAAAGGCCAAAAACAUCUUGUUCCAAUCUUUAGAAGAUGAUCUGUUUGAAAAUAUGGUCAACAACAAAACAACAAAAGAGGUUUGGGAAGCACUGCUCAUUAUGCAUGAAGGAACAGAAGUAGUCAGAGAAAACAAACAAUCUCUCUUGACUCAACAAUAUGAGAUAUUUGCUCACAUUCAAGGAGAGAAAGUCACUGCCACAUACGAGAGAUUCAAUAUUCUACUCAACUCUCUACGAGCCUAUAGAAAGAUCUAUCCAAAGAAAGAUAUGAUCAUAAAGUUUAUGAGAGCUUUACCAAGCAAGUGGGAUGCCAAAACCACUGCCAUAAGAGAAUCAAAGAAUCUACAUGAAAUGACUGUUCAACAGUUAUAUGGCAACCUCCUCACGUACAAACUAAAGCUAACACAACGAGCAGAAACGUUGUCUGAAGGAAGAAAGAAGGAUAAAUGUGUUGCUCUCAAAGUAACCGAAAACACCUCCAAAAUCAACACUGAAGUUGAUUCUGACUACGAUGAAGAUGAUGAUGAGGACUUUGUAAUGCUGGUUAAAAGACUAAGAAGAUUCAUGCGAAAAGGCAAAACCAGCAAGCCAAAGAAAGUUAGCAACUACAACAGCCAGGAGCAAAUGAAUGACCUAUGCUAUAACUGCAAGAAACCUGGUCACUUUAUUGCCAACUGCAACAAACCUCUCAAAGAAGAACUCAAGAAGAAAUCACAUGCAAGGAAGGAAUAUAAAGGCAACAAAAGGCAAGUAAAGAAAGACAAAGGCCUUGUAGCUGGAGGAUCGUGGAGUGACUCUGAUAAUGACUCAACUCCAGAAUCUGGAGACGAUGAAGAUCCUCAAAUGGCUAAUCUCUGUCUAAUGGCCAAAAAUGCAAGGGACAAACAGAAUUCCAAUAUACAUAAAGUAAGUAUCGAUGAUGUAUUUGACUUCAACUCUCCUGAUGUAGAUAUUGAUGACCUUAGAACUGCAUUACACGACAUAACAUCUGAUCUGCACCAAUACAUGAAGUGGUUUAGAGUUCUGUCUAAAGACUAUUUACUUCUUCAAAAGGAGAAAGAAAAAGUUCAAGAGGAACUGGAAAUAGCCCUUCUCAGUACUGACUCUCUCUCCAAGUUUGAAGCUGAGAAUAAGCUCUUGAGAUAGGCAAAUGAGCUCAGUGCACAAAGAGAGUCUAGUCUAACCUCCAAAAUUAAGGAUCUAGAAAAGACAGUCUCUACAUGGAAUAAAUCCUCUUCAUCCAUGGACUCCUUAAUCUCUAAUCAGAGAAGUGUCUCUGAUAGAACAUGGUAAGGCUUUGGGGAAUCUACCUCAUAGCCAUGUGUGGAAAAAGUAAAGGAGAAUAGCAUGAGUGAUGCCUCAAGUUUAAGUAGAGGCAGUAUAUUUAUGAAAUCCUCACAGAACGAUGAGCCUGUCAAACCCUGCCCAGCUCCCAGAAGUAAGGGAUCUCAUGCUGGUCUAGGUUUCAGAAAAGAGAAGAGUAAUCUAGUUACUACUUAUCAACCUCGAAGGAUCGUAGAGUCUAAUAAAAUUAACUCCACGAACCAACCAGGAAGAUAUAGUAGAAGUAAGAUACACUCCUCACAAAUAAUAAAACAAGAGAACACAUGGAAAAGGUAAUAUCAGCCUAGUAGGAGGAUGACCAAUAACCCACAAAAGUCUAAAUGGAGGAAGAACUUUCACACACACAAACAUGCAUCAUAUCAAAUGUUUUGUGUGCAACAGAGUUGGCCACAAGGCCGCAAAGUGUCAUUAUAAUUCCAUGCAUGUGAGACCCAAAAUCAAGCAGAUUUGGGUCCCCAAGGGUACUAACAUAAUAGGACCCAUGCAAGUAUGGGUACCAAAAUGAAGGUUUCAUGUUACCUCAGGAAAAGAGCUCCACGAACACAACCUGGUAUCUGGAUAGUGGAUGUUCAAGACACAUGACUAGGAACAAAGCCCUUCUAUCUAACUACAUAGAGAAGGAGGGUCCCUCGGUUAUCUUUGGAGAUAAUGGCUCUGGCAACAAGAGGCUAUAGCUCAGCUGGAAAUGGUGCAGUAUCCUUCAGCAAAGUGGCCUAUGUGGAAGGACUACAACACAAUCUUCUAAGCAUUAGCCAACUCUGCGACAAGGGUCAUCAAGUAAUGUUUUUCAACAAUUAAUGUUAUGUCCGAGACCUGAAGAUAUCUACUGUGAAGCUAACUGGAGCAAGAGAAGGAAAUGUCUACACAGUAAAUCUUGGAAAACUGAGCUCAGAUGAGACAAUAUGCUUUUUAGCUAAAGCAUCUGAAGAAAUAAGCUGGUUAUGGCAUCGAAGACUGUCUCAUCUCAACUUCAAAAGCAUGUCCAAAUUAGCUUCAAAAGAUCUAGUUGUAGGCUUACCCAAGUUCAACUUAAUUAAAGAAAGGCCGUGCAAUGCCUGUCAACUUGGAAAACAGACCAGAAGCACUUUCAAGAGCAAAACUGUCAAUUCAAUUGACAAGCCUUUGCAGCUACUACACAUGGAUCUUUUUGGGCCAAUUCCAACAACGAGCCUUGGAGGAAAGAGAUACUCUUUGGUCGUAGUCGAUGACUUCACCAGAUUUACAUGGGUGUUCUUUCUAACCUCAAAAGAUGAGACAAGUUCCCAGCUGAUCAAAAUGUUCAAGCUUGUGAUGAACGAGAAAGGAGGGAAAAUUAAGGCUAUAAGGAGUGAUCAUGGUAGAGAAUUCGACUUCUCAGAAAUUGACCAAUUCUGCACAGACAAUGGCAUUAGUCACAACUUCUUAGCUCCACGAACUCCUCAACAAAAUGGAGUUACUGAGAGAAAGAACAGGAUAUGAAUAGAGGAUGGAAGGACUCUACUAGCAGUAGCUCAUCUGCCUGAGUACUUUUGGGCAGCAGUGGUCAACACUGCUUGUUAUACUCAGAACAGAUCACUCAUACACUCUACGAUUAAGAAGACUCCCUAUGAACUGUAGAAAGGAAGAAAUCCUAGUGUCAGCUAAUUUCAUGUCUUCAGUUGUGUAUGCUACAUUCUUAACAAUGGAAAGAAAUACUUGACAAAGUUUCAACCAAAAUCAGAUGAAGGAAUCUUUCUUGGAUAUGCAACAGACAACAAGGCCUACAGAGUGUUCAACAAGAACACACUGAGUGUUGAAGUCUCGAUUCACAUCAUCUUUGAUGAAAUAGACAUAGACAAAACAAUGCCUCAAGAUACUGCGACUAACAGUUUAGACACUACGAACGAGGUCGUCGAGCUUAACACUACGAUCGUAGUACCAGACAGUGAAAUUGUUGAGUAAGGGAAUGAGAUCGUAGAGAGGCCUAUGCCAGACAACGAACCUCCACCUUAAGAAGAAGAAAUAGAUCUUGACGAUUUAAGACAAGAAGGCAUAAGAACUGAUGUCCCAACAGGAAGCAGAUGGGCAAGAGAUCACACUCAAGAUCUAAUCAUUGGAGAUCCGAAUGCAAGAGUCAAAACAAGAGCUGCUACUCAAAAUGAAUGCUUCUAUCUAAGCUUCUUAUCUCAAAUAGAACCAAAGAAGAUAGAGGAUGCUAUGGAAGACUCCAGCUGGAUAGAGGCCAUGCAAGAAGAACUUAAUCAGUUCGAGAGAAGCAAAGUAUGGAGAUUGGUUCCAAGACCAAAGAACCAUCCUGCAAUUGGAACCAAGUGGGUUUUCAGAAACAAGAUGGAUGAAGAUGGAGUCAUCACCAGGAAUAAGGCAAGACUAGUGGCCAAGGGCUACUCUCAGGAAGAAGGCAUUGAUUACGAUGAAACAUUUUCACCUGUUGCCAGAUUGGAAGCCAUCAGAAUAUUUCUUGCCUUUGCUGCUCACAUGAAAUUCAAGGUCUUUCAGAUGGAUGUCAAGAGUGCAUUUUUGAAUGGAGAACUUCAAGAAGAAGUUUAUGUAGAGCAGCCUCCAGGUUUCAUAAAUCCAUCUCUUUCUAAUUAUGUCUUUAGAUUAGAAAAAGCCUUAUAUGGUCUUAAACAAGCACCUAGAGUAUGGUAUGAAACACUGACUAACUUUCUUAUUGAAAAUGGAUUCACUAGAGGUAGAGUAGAUACCACACUAUUUCUUAGAAAGCAUAAAGAUAAAGUCUUAUUAGUUCAAAUAUAUGUUGAUGAUAUUAUCUUUGGGUCUACUGAUGAAAAGUUAUGCAAGAGAUUCUCCAAGCUUAUGCAGAGCAAGUUUGAAAUGAGCAUGAUGGGUGAGCUGAACUUCUUCCUUGGACUACAAGUAAAGAAGACUUGUAACGCCCCCAAAAUAGGUCCAAUCCAUCCAACCUAUUCUGAGUCGCCAAAUACAUGGUACAGAAAACAACUACAACUUUAUUACUACAACUAUCGUGCAAAAUACAACGACAUAUAUACUGUGAGUUUCAAUACAAAUAUUGUAACGUAUAUAAUACGACAAUAUUCAUACUCAAAUUAUUACAUGCCAUAUAAAGUACAGUAGAAAAUAUUUCAAGUCUCCAAAGGAACAUGAGAAGAUUUCUGUUCUCUUCAUUAUAACACGGUGCACUUUUGACGCUUUCAAGGUCGGGUUCUCAUCACCCUAUUGUUGUUCACCAAAAUAAAUUAUUAAGUGACGUAUAAAAUACGACACACACAUCUUAGGUCGUCAAUACAAUUAUAUAUUGCAUGUCAUGUCGUUUUAUAAUGUAUUGAGAAACUUCGACAGUCUCGGAGCAUCCACUAUUUCCUUGUUAUCCCCGCUCGACCCAGCUACACUCUUAUUACCUGAAAGGAAUUGUGAAGCAAAAGGGUGAGCACAACUUGCCCAGUAAAGAAUAUCGUGACUAAAGAUAAUUAAAUUAUUAAUUGCCUUCAUCAGUAAUAAAUCAGAGAUUUAGAAAAUAUGGUAGAUGAUAAAACUUUUCAACCAUAGUUGUAGCGGAACGAGCAAUCCAUUAGAAGAGUCAAAUAGACCAUAAUGUCUAUUAGCUUCUCUAUGUUAAAAGGCCACCAACAAUGUUUUAUCCCUAUAAUAUCAAUCAACAGUUCAUGUCCACAAUCAUAUAAAUAACUCAUAAUCAUAUUUGUGGUUCCAAAUUCCUUUUCUCAUCCAGGACAAAGAUAAUUUUCAUCACCUGUCUUUACCUGAACCAUCAAAGAUCAUGGUUAUACCAAAUCACAGUUCCUGUUCAUAAUCCUACUAACAAGUUCAUCUUUGCACUACAUGUCAAAGAUAUUCAACAACAGGUCAUCUUUGCACUACGGGCCAAAGAUAUUCAACAAUAGGUCAUCUUUGCACUACGGGCCAAAGAUAUUCAUCAACAGGUCAUCUUUGCACUACAGGCCAAAGAUAUUCAUCAAUAAUUCAUCUUUGCACUACAGGCCAAAGAUAUUAAUAUCUUAAAGAAAUACUUAAUCAUUUCAGAAUUUAUAUAAACCAUAAUUAUAACCAUGUUGAUCAGUUCACCUUUGCACUUAAGCUAAAAAUAUUUAAUUGUAAAUUCAAUGGUUAUGAUCAUAUCAGUCAACGAUUCAACUUUGUACUACUGGCCAAAGAGAACCCAUAGUCACGAUCAUACCAAUAAUCUACCAAUCUUUACACUCAAGUCAAAGAGAAAUUUCUUCACCAGGAUUAUUAAAAUAUUAUAUAUGAUAAUAAAAACAAUAUGAUCAAAACAUGAAUUUAAUUUCAAGAGUAAGAUUCAUAAAUCAACGAUAAUUUGGUCAAAAAAAAGAAACCAAUUUUGUCAUGAAUAGUACCCCAUGAAUAGUAACUCGUGAAUAGUAACUCAUGAAUAGUAACUCGUGAAUAGUAACCCCGACACAAAAAGAUAAACUUUCACAAUAAAAUCCAUAUCAAUAUUUAUAACACCUUAAUCCAAAUGUUAUAAAUCACUUAAUAAUCUCAUAAUCUAAUUGUUAAUAUUACAACAAUAUUUUAAUCAUUUUUUAAACUUAUAAACAAUUUAUUUAAAUUGUUUACACUUUAUUAAUUAAUGCAUUUAAUCAUCCUAAAAUGCCAAACUCAUAAGAUUUCAUCACCAAUAACCAAAACCCUCAUCAAAAAUCUGCAUAUACCAUAUAUAGGAUUCCCAAGCCAUAAAAUCCUAUUUUCCAAUUUUUUUACUUCACAUAGCAUAUUUAAUUCAUUUACUCAUAACUAGUCCAUUUUCAUGAAAAAUACCAAAUCAGUACAAACAAAUUUUCUUUUCUGGGAUUUAGCAGAACAUAGUCCCAUAUUGAACAUAUAUUUUUCUCGGAAUUUUUAAAAUUCAUUUACUAUUUUUCAUAUGGCCAAAACUGCCGAAUAUUUAGACAUUUAUCAUAUAUUAAACUUUUAUCUAAAAAUUCUGAAAUUUACAGGGUAUACUGAUAUUAUAUAGAUGUACUCCCAAUAAAAAUUUCAUCAAUGUUGGAGUUAACCAUAAGGAGUUAUAAGGGUUUACUUUUAAAAUAGUCUUUUCUCAUAAAAUCAACAUUUUGGACACAAUCUAGAAAACUCAUCAAAUUAUCAUUUCAAAUUUUUUCAGAAUUUUUGAAGGUCAGAAAAAUUACAAAAAUGAAGAAACAUAAUAACCCUUAAAAUUCCUUACCUCAAAAGAGUAGUACUUCUGACCGGAACAUCGGAUGUAAAGGCGAAGGAAACUUACACUGAAUAACAACUCUCAAAGUAUCUAAAUACUCACAGAAAUACGCUCGAUAAUAUAAAGAGAAAGAAAACUUAUUUCUGGUGUGAUUUUCAAUUCUAACCAAAGCGCCUAUUUAUAGGAAAAUGCUAGAACGCCAAAGGAGACUAAAUUAAUAAAAUAAUAUAUUUUUAUUAAUCUUCCUUCUACACCACCUUUGAAUUCAGCCCACCAUAAUUGAAAGAAUAAUUUAGCACAUAUUCUCUACACCAACCAAAAAGUGGGGCCCUCCUUCUAGAAAUCUCCACCAAAAUCAUUUAUAAAAAUAAUUUCUGAAUCAGUCACCUCUUAAAAUUCAUAGCAAAUCAUAUGUUAAUUUUUAACGGUUCAAAAUUUGUGGAUAUAUACUCAACUUAUAUAUGUAUAACAUAUCCAAAAAUCACAACGAUCCAACGGUCGGAUCAAAAUUUAUAACCCACGCAAUAUAUCUCAAGAACACUGAUUUUUUGGAUUCUGAGUCCUUCAGACCAGUUACAUUCAAAACUUCACCACGAUAAAUCUACAAUGUAUUUUUGGCUGAUUCAAAUUUCUAAGUUUAGCUUACUUCCAGGGCUUUCUUUUGAUAUAUGGCUCAUCUCCUAACUCAUUAUACACAAAGAGUUAUAGAUUUUACAAAAUCAAGUAAUAAACUAAUUUUCUGAAAAUUUCCAAAUUUUGUUCUUUAUUUCAACAAAAUACUAAUAAAACACCUCAACAUUAAUUCCUUCAUUUAUAUCCACAUAAAUAUAUCCAUCAUUUAUAUCCACAUAAAAUAAAUAUUUCCUUAUCAUAUAAAUCAAUAAAUAAUUAUUCACAAAUAAUAUUACAGAAUCACAAUUAUGACAAUCAGGCAGUUCCCAGGAAAGAGAGGGCUUUCUAAUAAGGAUUUCUCCUUACUGGCGCGCAAUUAGGUUACCAAACCUCUCCUUGACUGAAAUUUCUAGACAUUGCCAAUAAUUUUAUCUAAUAAUAUUAUUCAAAUAAUAUGAAUUAUUGAUCUGAUAAUGAGAAAUAUUGUGCAGUGAUAAUUAUUGAAACAACAAUAAUAUAAAAUAUCAACGCAGCAAUUAUUGAAUCAAUAAAAUAAAAUAUUGAACAGUAAUUACUAUAACAAUUAUUGAGUAGUGCCUUCUUACGUAAGAAUCAAUAAUUCAAAAUUACUGUGCAAUACCGUGUGCUACUAUGCAACCACGCGUAUUACUGUAUUUUAACCACCAGGUAAUCCAACAGUGUUAACAGUAACAAUUACGUCAUUAUAUAUAAAAACUCAAACUUGUCAUUUUCUUCAUCCGAUAGUUAUUAUGUUAUGGGGCCCACAAAUGGCUGUGUCGUCGUACGAAUAUUCCCCGACAACAAGAAUAUUCCACGACCGAACGAAUAUUCCCCGACAACAACAAGUAUUUUAUAGCCACUUGCGUAUUUUGAAAAUUUUAUAUAUAUCACCCUUAACUUUAAACUUUUAUCAAUUUAACCAUUUACUGAAUAAUAAUUAUAAGAAAAAUUGAAUACUUUUAUUUCAUAAAAUUCGGGGUCUUACAAGACUGAUGAAGGAAUCUUUAUCAACCAAGCCAAGUACAUUAAAGACUUACUUAAGAAGUAUGGCAUGGAAUCAGCCUCUACCAUGAAAAUCCCAAUUGCUCCUGCAACCAAGCUUGACAAAGAUGAAAAAGGUAAAAGUAUUGAUAUAACUCAAUACAGAGGUAUGAUAGGCUCUCUUUUAUAUCUAGAUUUCAAGCUAGUCCUAAAGAAUCUCAUUUAACUGCUGUAAAGAGGAUUUUCAGGUAUCUCAAACGUACACCCCACUUAGGGCUUUGGUAUCCCAAGGAGUCCUCAUUUGAGCUAACAGGAUACACAAAUGCUGAUUUUGCAGGCAGCAAAAUUGAUAGAAAAAGUACUAGUGGCACCUAUCAAUUGCUAGGAAAUAGACUUGUGUCCUGGUUUAGCAAGAAAUAAAAUUCAGUAUCCACUUCAACUGCAGAAGCUGAAUACAUUGCUGCUGGCAGUUGCUGUGCUCAAAUCUUAUGGAUGAAAAAUCAGCUAGCAGAUUAUGGGUUUGAAUUUAAAUCCAUACCUAUUCACUGUGAUAACAUAAGUGCAAUUGCUAUAACUCAUAAUCUUGUCAUGCAUUUUAAGACUUAGCAUAUAGAAAUAAGGUAUCACUUCAUUAGGGAUCAUGUGCAAAAUGGGACUAUAUCUUUACAAUAUAUCCCUAUUGAAAAUCAACUUGUUGAUGUCUUUACAAAGCCCCUAGAUGAAUCCAGAUUUAACAAGUUAAUAAGUGAGCUAGGCAUGCUUAACUUACAACCUUGAAAAAUAUGCUCUAGUAUGUGCUAAAUAUAUAGGUUUAAAGGCUAUGCUCAAAAUCAUAAACAUGAUCAAAGGAAGUACACAAUUGUAGAACCAAAGUGUCACAAAAUGACAACGAUCGCAGUAAAGAUUCAAUGAUCGUGGUGCAGACUCAACGAUAGCAGAGCUACAUCAACAAAACCAAAGGAGCACCCUAUGAUGAUCAAGCAUAAAACAAAGCAAUCUCUCUGUUAAGUACCUUAGGGACAAACCUAACCCUUAAUUCAAUCAAUGAGGUUGGCCCUUCCUGAGCUACCUUAAACUAAGAAGAAUGCUAAGUCAAAAAGGUUCAUCACGAGGACUUGAUCAGACUCUACGAUUGAUAGUCAGACUCAACGAUCGCAGUUCAGACUCUAAAGCUCAGACACGACGACUGCUACACAGACUCAAUGAUGGUAGAAUAGACUCAAUGAUUCCAAGGACCAUCUCAACGAUCGUAGUCCUACUAAAAAAUACAUUAACUCAGAAGGAGUUAAGGGCAAUUCAGUACAAUCCUUCUCUGUCAAAUUCGUAGAGCCAAGCAAAAUUUGACACCUGUCCCACUAAGCAAAAUGGAGAGAGGGAAGUUACAAGUACAAAUUAAAAUCAUCUUUUUGAAAUCUAAAGUUCAAAAGAUCAUCUCUCUCUUCCUCUCUCAAGCAGAAACCCUAAAUCAGUAGAAAGCUCAGUCAGUCCCACUUCCUGUAAAGAAAUCAAUGGCAGCUUCCAGUGUUAUCUCCAGCUACAGACUUUGCUUUGACGAGUUCAAAACAGCUGAACCCAAAUUUCACAAGACUCUAUCGCUACUGAAGAAAGCGGGUCUCGAAGAAGCUUUGGGUACAGACACAUUGAUCUACCCGAAGCUGGUAAAAGAAUUCUACAACAAUGGUGUAUUUGAAAACAACACCAUCUCUGCGAAAGUCAGGAACGUGGAAAUCAGACUAAAGGCUGAAGACAUCAAUCUAGCCAUAGGUCUCAAACCUGAAGGGUAUACGUCCAUAGAUGGUAUAGACUUCCAUAAGGGACUCAAAAAGAUGCACCACAAGAAAUCUCCCUCUAUCAAAGGAUACAAGAAGAAGGAGUUUCCACAGAGGUACGAAUUUCUAGCUGAUAUUGUUGGAAAAUGCAUAUGUUGCAAAAGUUCUGUCAUGACUCCGUGAAUGAGGUACAACUCAAACUCAUGACUGCCAUAUGUUAUGGAAUACAACUUAACUAUGGGGAUCUAGUGCUUGAAUGGAUUGAGAAGUGGUUAAUCAGCUCAAAGAAGACAAAGAGAUCUCAAAAGAUGUUCUGUGGGCGAUUUAUAAGCAUCUUCUUACAGGCUGCUUUGGGUGACUUAAUUGAGGAUGAUGAAGGAGAAGCUAUUAAUCCAAAUCGUCGAAUGACCCAUCAACUGUUCGAGAAUUAGAAAAGGAAUCCAGCUGAAAACGUGCGAAUGAAGUCUGAAUCCACUGGAAGAACUGGUGAAAUAAAGGACUCAAUAAUGCCAGAAAAUAUGUCAGUUAUCAGAGAAACUGAAGAAGAAGAAGAAGCUAACAAAGGAGAACCCAUUGCUUUGGUCAGAAAAAGCCAGGGCAAAAGAAAGCUGAAAGCCAGAUCUAUAGAAGAACCUCAGGGAUCCACUACCGAUAAGCCUGUAGAGUCCUCAGACAUUGAGACUCUAAGGAUCCUAAGAAGGAAGGAACAACAGGCUGAGGCAGAAGAAGAUAGAGCAACCAUAUCUCAGUUGCUGAAGAAAAAUAAAAUCAGCCACAAGACCAAAAGGCCAUCAAUCUCUUCAAUCGUAGAGUCUCUACCGAUUGUAGAGACCAGACCAAAUAAGGAAGUAGCUGCAACAAACAUUUUGGCUGAUCAGAAGUAUAAAACUGAAGAGAGUCCUAAGGCUGUGGCUCAGCCUAAAAAGUCAAGAAGGAAACUGAUUCAGAAAUAUAUUCUUGUCAAUGAGAAAGCACUAAAGAAGGAAAAAAAAGAAUUGGCUGCUGAAAAGGAACUAGCUAAAGAAAGCCAAAAAGACAAAGCUCAAGAUGAGGAGGAGAUGCCUGAAACUCCCAUUAUAGAAAGUGCCCUAGUUGAGGGGGAGCUAUUGAUAGUACAAGAAGAUGAUCAUGGUGAGGGGGAGGCUCAUGACAUCUCUAUGACAGAAGAAGAGGUUCUGGAAAGAAAUGAAGAAGAACCAGUGCAAGAACAUCAUGAGGCCAUUAAGAUAACGGAAUCCUCCAACGAAAGCAGAAAGAGGAUGAAGGUGAUGAGGUAGAGAUUAUAGCUAUGGGCAUUGAUGGGCACAGAAGAGCCAACUAUGAGCAACUAUUUGCAUAUCUACCUAUGAUGCCUUUCCACCAAGCUCAAAUUCUGAACUCUUGGGAUCACAUGUUCUGGAGUUUCAAAGAGUAUCCGGCCAUCUCAGUACUAGCUAAUGGAUUUCCAGGAAGACUCAACUUUGCCAAGAAGUUACUCACAAACAAAUCUUCCUCAAAGAAUAAACCUGAGGUACUGUCUAUCCCAAUCCUCUUCAGAGUUAAUCAUUUACCAUCAUCCUCAUUCAAUCAAUUUUAUGAAUUACCACGAUGGUUGGAAGUGAUUUUACAUCCACUAAAUCAAUUUCCAGUUGCAGAAUCCUAAAAUUCUAUAACUGAGGAACCAAAUAAGAUCAACUCCCUAAUGCUCUCACAUCCCAUCAACUCUACGAUCCCUGACUCUAGCCCCAUUGUAGAGUCUCCACCUCAAAUCGUAGAGUCACCAAACUUCAACAUUCAAACCCAGACCCCUACAUCAGAUAUUCCCUCCUCAUCCAACGAUUAAUAUUUCAAUCUUGAUCUUGCCCUCUACUCAUUGCAAGAUCAAUUCAAGAGCACAUCACCUCCCUCCCAAAAAUUUCCCCAACUGGAUGAAAUUCUAUCAGAGUUGUCCACAAAGGCUGAUCUAUCAGCAAUGUCUGCGAAAGUGGUCAAGGAACUCAAUGAGAGUCUUGAAGAUCAUACUGCACUUAUUCAGCUGAGAUUAACAUCAAUGAUUAAUGCUGUAAACAAUCUCCCAAGCUCCCUAAGCUCUGAGCUCUCUAAAACGCUCAAAGAAAUCAUCAAAGAAAUACUUCAAAGCAUAAAAGACAUGAACGAUAUUCACUUUCUUGCAGCUAAAAAGCAUCGGGAUGCUGUCUUGAUCUUAAAGAAAACUCAAGAAUCUUAGAACAAUCUAAUGAUACAGAGCAUCAAAAGUCUUCAAACUGCAGUCAAAGAAUUUCAAGACUUCUCCAUGGGUCAAAUGCAGCAGACAGAAACUGUUCUCAACAUUCUUCAACGACGUGAAACUCGUUCUGAUGCCUUGAUCCAAGAAAAUCGUCAGGACAUUGCUCAAACUUAGAGUCAACUCAACGAGCUUGUCCAAGGAGUUACUCGCCUCUCAGAAGACAUUCGAACCCUUGAUGCUGACAUAAAGGGGGAGAAUAAAAGAAAAGGAGAUCAGGGAGGUCAGGGAGGCAAGGGCAGAGGCAAAGGAUAAUUCCAAACUCAAGCCUCGAGGAACCCACCUGCAAGGCAAAUCACCCAGUAGACUCCACGAUCCAGCCAUCAGGCUCAACGAGCUAAUCAACAGGAAGUUUUAAUGGCUCAACCAUUAAGGAGUCUAGGGCCAACUACCAACUCUCAUGAGGUGACAACAAUAGGCCUAAGAAUGCCAAUUGGAGAUCCUGCAUUCAUGAAUAGGCAUGAUCACAAUCCUAAACUAAGCCCAAGUUAACUGGAAGAUUUGGCCAGAAGAGAUGAAGCAAGCAGAAAGAGGAGAGCUGAGAAAUAUGCAAAUCCUCCAAGAAGCAAAAAGCCGAAAAAAUAGAGAUAAGUUGAGUUUUAAGUUGUAAUGAUGUAGUCAAACUUAAAUGUAAUAUCUGUCUUCAUACAUCAAUAAAUUCAUGCUUACUCUCUAGAAAUUUUAGCUGCUAACUGAAAUACUAAGUCAUGUUUACUUUGCUAUAACUGCAUAUAAAAUUUAAUAAUCAUGACAACAAAUCUCCUUGGUUAUGUCAACAUCAAAUAGGGCGAGAUUGUUGGAAGAAUGCAUAUUGUGAUUUGAUGUUUAAUGUAAAUGCCCAUGAUUAUGUGUAAAGUCCUUCGAGGAAAAUAUGUACAAGGACUUAGUGAUAGAUCAAAAUUGUUAGGUUGAUCUUAGCCUUUAAUGCUCACUUGUAUUGAUAAAGAGAUCAAAUAUGUUAGGUUGAUCUAUGGCUAGAAAGAAAUAGAUAGGCCUUGAAGAAAAUGGUAGUCUAUCCGGCUGAUCAACAGAAGGUAGAAGCUAAUGCACGAUCAUAGUGCUGAUAUGAUCAUAGUGCAUCUCCCUUGAAGGGACUCUUCAAAAAUCGUAGAGUGGUCCAGACGUUUGCCGAAGCUAACUCAGAUAUCGUAGUGUGCUCUUAGAAACUUCGAGUCUGCAAGACGAGCAAGUGAUGAUCAUCGUGUGAAAAGAUCGUAUUGUGCAAAUCCUUGCGAGAAAUUGUAGUAUUCUCUUAAGAACAAGCACCAAUAUGACAAGACACGACGAUAUGGAUAGUAGAGUGUCAUCUGCCUUAUGUCAAAAGCAUCAAGCCCUACCUUUUGUUUGAAGAUGAAUUCCAAAAAAUAUGGAAUGGGUUUUGAACGUUGAAGCACUCACCAGUCCCAAUGGUACAAAAGAUAUCUUUAGUAUUGAUCAAAAGGAACGUAUUCAAGAAGCUAAGAAAAGGACCAUUGGGCAGAGGAAAACACCUUUUCAGGUGUUAGGUGAGAUAGCAGUCUGAUGUGUCAGUAGGCCAGAGUGAAAUUUAGAAGAUGUGUAGAAAAGUCUCCAUCAAAGUUCAGAAAGGUCAAACGCAUUUAAUGCUUCUUCAAAAGGCUUCAACGAUACAUUUCAAGACCACAUAUAUACAGAACACAGAUAGAUGAGAAAAAUAAGCAAGUAUUGAAUAAAAACGUGCAAGAACAAUCAACGCUUAACUCUACGAUCUGAGAAAGAUAGAAAGCUUGCUCAGCUACUCAGUUCUUUCAAACAAGUGCUUAAUAGCAAAAGAGUAGCACCAAUCAUGAUCUCAACAACAACCAAUCAACUGAAGUGAGAAGUUCCAAGUCUGAAGGACUUGAAGAGUUCUAAGUGAACUAUAAAGAACCAAGUCUGCUGGACUUGAAGAGUUCAAGAGUGAACUAAGAAGUGCCUAGACUGCUGGUCUAGAAGGAAUCUAUGAGAUUCAAGAAGUGUAACAGACAUCCUUAGUGGAUUUCCUACUCAAGGAGUAGAAGAGUGGAUUAGGAGCUUUUAGUGCUCUGAACCACUUAAAACUACUGUGUCCAUUAUAACUGCUAUAACUGCUAUAACUGUCAUAACUGCCUCACUCUCAUUAAUUCAAGAUAUCUUAAAGAAGGUUUAUCAUAUACUCAUUUUACUGUGCAUUAAUCACAAUCAUACUAAUGAGUUUAAAAGAAAAGUUUUUAAUUAUCUAUUCAACCCCCCCCUUCUAGAUAUCUAUUGUGCCUUUGGGAACUAACACAACAUACUCAAAAAUAUUGACAACUAUAAACAAAUGUUUUAUAGGUUUUCAAUGCAUUGUGUUUUCAAUUCCAAUUUGUUUUGGUGUUUUUAAUGCCAACUAGUUUUUGAAAACAGAUUUAAAAAGGCUAUCCAAAUUCCAAACAACCCUUUAAUUUCCCCCAUAUCUCCCUCAUAUAUAUACAAACUAAGCACCAAACUUUUGGUUGAGAUAAAUACUGAGUUCAAGGACAUAAUUAUAUAAUACAGCCUCUAUACAUUGAUCCUAUGUUUAUAACUGAGGAUAAAAAUUUAUAAGAACCUUUAUACAUUUAGGCUAACACUUUUACCAAGUGUAUGCAACUUCACCUAAUGUCUACAUUCUCAUCCCUUUCUGCUUCUAAACUUGGUCUUCUUAAAUAAUUCUCACAUGCCAGAUUACUCAUGUUUCUGAAAGAUCUACUUCACUAGAUAAUAAUACUAUAUAUUAAAUAAUACAUAAAACUAUUAGUCACUAAUUUAUGGUAUGAUAUUCUCAACGAGUCUAUUCCCUAUAUGCAGGAUACUACAAUAAGACUUGGCUAUAUAUUUAGAGUAUUCUAACAUUUUGUUUUUGAUAAGUAUGAUUAUUCAAUUUAGAGUAUUCUAAGAUCAAAUAAGGAAAUCAGAUUUGCACCUGGCCAAACAUAAUAGUGAAGACUAGAUAAUUCUUUUUUUGGGUAAUUUAUCCUUUUCAUAUCGGGAAAUGAAAUACAAUAGUCGGAUUAAUCUGGUAAGGUUUUAGGUGCCAAAUAGCAUUUACCCACUUGUUAAAAAAUCCAUUUCAGAAACCAUACCCACUGAACUUAUUAUGCAUUUAUGUUCAUGUAUAUCAGCACUUUCCUCUGUCCAGUAAUUAAUCCAGCAUUUUCUAAUGUUAGGUCAUUUGACUGUGAGAAGUGAACAUAUAUACACCUUCUGAACAUAUAAAGUCUGACAUAUAUACACCUUCUGAACAUAUAUACACAUUCAAAAAAGGUAAAAUAAAAAAUAGAGGAUAUAUAUCAUACCUUGUAAUUUGGGGAAAAAAAGAGUAAAGAAGGACAAGGCAGCAGAGGGGGAGUUUUAGUCGGCCGGAGUAUCAGGCACCGGUACCGGCGCAGGGAGAGGCGCAGUAGCUGUUUCGACGAUUGAGAUGAUGAUGGGUGAACUAUAAUCUCUUAAUGGGGCAAACUGUGAUGAUUUAUUAGGCAAAAUGCGUACUAAUUGAGCAAAUGGGUCACUUGGCAUAAAGAAUUGAGAGGGAAAAAUGAAAUUCAGAAGAGAGGGGAAAAAAUAAGAGUCCUUGCCGUCGGAACAAGGGUUUUAAUGUAAGACUCAUUCUCGACGGCGGAGCCGUCGCUAGUAGUACCGUCGAUAUUGACCUAUUCCCGACGGCAGGCCCAUCGCCUAUAUCACUAUUUCCCGUUGCCAGUGUCUUUUCCCUCCACCGCGAAAACCUGGUGCCAAAUCUUUUCCAUUACCGACGACACUCAAGUUAUUACCGACGACGAACCAUCGACCACCAAUGUAGGAUAGCUGGCAAAAGGUUAUAGGCGACGGGGAUCAUAGGCGACGGCAUCACCGUCGGUAAUGAUGUCAUUGGCGACUAUUAAUUAUCCAUCGACAAUGAUGCCGUCGGCAUUGACCUUUUUUUUGUAGUGAUAUCUUCAACUCAUUAUCUUAGUAUAGAUUUUAUAUUUCCUACUACAUUCAUUACUUCAACAAAUUCUAGGUUUUAUUUCAUAACUUUCAUUUGAACUCAAUUAUAUUUUGAGUAUUAUAUACUCUUUAACCCAUUCAUUUCCUUUGCUAAGGAUCGUUAUCAUAAACACUCAGGAUAUUACAUUCACCCAUUCUUCUAAGAAUUUCAUCCUCAAAAUUUUAUCUAUUAAUCUUUAUUCAUUCAAUCUAUCAAAAUAGAUUUUACGUUAAUACUUUAUUCAUUCAUUGGGUUCUACAACCAAAUUCUUUCUCUAAGAAUCUUUCUAAGAUCAUCAUAUUCCUCACCUCUUCCUCUUCUAAGAGUUUCAUAUUUCUCCCCUUUCUGGAGUUUCAAUUUUUUUUUUUGAAAUUAUUAUGUUUUGCUUAAUUUUCUCAUCUUUUCCACUUUCACCUUUCAGAAUAAUAAGAAUCUUCCACAAUUGCUCAAUAAUUGGGAAGCAAUAUGAAUAACAGGAAUUUAAAAGAUUCUAAAUCAUGCUGAGGGGUCACAAGACCGUGAACUCUAUUCUCGGUUUACUAGUUCUUCAACUCAAUCCUUCACACUGCAAACCAAAGUGUUUAUCAAUCACAAAGACUGAAAACACCCUCCACACAUACACUAGGUGGCCAACCUAUUGUACCACUACGUUGGGCCGCAAUGUAGUGUUUUGUAAAGACUAUAUGCAUUACGCUCGGAACCAUUGUCCCCGAAAACAUGUCCCCUUAUAGGGUUGUUCACCUCAACUUUUUAACAUCUAAAUCCGCACAAAAAUAAUUUGGUUUGGCAUAACUUUUUAAUAAACGCUUGAAUUUCAUGAACAUCUUUCAUUAUUCAUCUAGCUGAAUCAAAUAGCAUAGACUUCUAUAAUAAUUUGGACAUCAAUCUAAAUAUACAUAUACAUAUGUAUAUAUAUAUAUAUAUAUACAUAUUCUCAUAUCUUAAAGAAAUCUCAAAAAUCCUUUUAUGGAGUCAUGAUUAUAACGUUGUCAUACAACAUCUCACCAUAGUGGGUUGACGAUCAUAUGAUCACAUCCAACACCCGGUUCCAUUGUAUUGAUGACUUCAUCGUUUAUCAUAUCACCCGAUACAUAUAAUUAAAAUAUAUUUUGAAAAUUUAAAAAUCAUUUUUUUCUAGCCGAAACAAACGGCAUAGAUACGCGAAUAAUAACACUGUUUUAAAAAAAUUCUCUGGUUCACUAGUGUGACCCAACAUUUUUUUCAAAAAUCAAAAGUAUAACCAUCGGCACGAAGUCAAUAAAUUUCAAAAAUCUAGAAAAGCUAAAAGAUUUGGAAUAUCCAGGUAUCCAUCAACUUCAAUCUUUACUUCAUUACUUCAUUACUUAACUAUUCUAUCAAUCUUCAACUUUAUCAAUGCUCUUUAUAGUAUAACAGUUUUCUACCCAAAAUAGUUCAUCAAACUUAUCGCACAUUGGAAGUUCAGAAACUUGCCACAAUAAUAUGAGUUUAAGAACGUAUCCUAGUCAGACCAUAGGCGUCCAUUCGCUGAGGGGUUUAAAAAAUACCAUAUUAUUAUGAGUCACGAACUUACCAUAUGCAUUAGUUUUAAGAACCGCACUUAAUCAAAUAAUAUCUGACUAAUCUUAAUAGUUUCUAACUAUCAAAUAUACACAUGAGAAAAGAAUCACCUUUUCGCCACAUAUACAUUGAUAGCGCAACACCAACAUUCUAAUGAUUAUCAAUAUGAUAAACUGAGUGCAAGAACAAAACCCUCGCCCAUACAAAGGUUUGUACAACUCAGCCAUCACAUGAGUCCUCAAUUGAAAUCCCACCUAACUCUAUCUUACUCUUAAUUUGCUCUUUACUCGAUACGAAUUUCUCGUAUCACAUUAUCUAUAACUCCUCGUGAGUUUACCUCGUACUAUUUCAUAGCACAUCUUCUUCAUAGCAUCAAGCUAUAAUUAUUCAAACAUUACAGACCAUCUUUCCUUUUAUAACUUAAACAGAUCACGUUGUGAUCUUAUUCUAUAAUCAUCUCCCUUAAAAUUAUUUUCUUCACUCGUGAUCGUUUUGUUUUACGAUCCUUUUUCUUUCCCUUUUUCAUCAUUUACGAUUUCAUUUAUGCUUUUAAUCUUACAGACUUUGUCCAUUCAUCAUUAUUCGUUAUCUUGGCUAUUGGAGUUAGGCAACUCCCAUAUCUUACCUUUAUAUCACUUCAAGAUUCUUCUUUGAAUUCUAUUAUUUAUAUAACAAUUCUUCUUUUAAGAAUUUCUAACUUCAUUUACAUUGCUCAACAUUUCAUUUAAGUUCCACAUUUUCAUCAUACGUAUCCACUUUCUAUACUUGGUACACAUCGAGUCUCUAAUAGUUUCAAUAUGGUACGCUGAGUGGUUUCCCACAAACAACCAACAAACUAGGUUCCGAGUUGCUAGUUCGUAUAUACCUCCGCUCUAUGAAGGAAUCGUUUAGCCCAGAUACCACACAUCAACUAUUAAAUAGUACAAUUGUAGCAUACUUAAAUCUAACUUUUUAUUCUUAACUUCUUUAUCAUUCUCUUCUUACAGACAUUGUCUAUUUAUUAUCACCUUACAUCCUUAUUAUUGGAGUUGGGUAACCCCACUUUCAUAUUCCUUAUAACUCCGCGAGAUUCUUCUUUGAAUCCUCUCACGCAUGUUUUAAUCCCGUCUUUAUAUAUUUCUUAAAUUACUUCUUAUUGUUCAAACUCUACUUGAGCUUAUUCGUUCAUUAUCUUAACCUCUCUUCUCUAAGGUUAUAGCCUAAGGUACUCUUACCUAAGGUUUCUAACCUAUCANNNNNNNNNNNNNNNNNNNNNNNNNNNNNNNNNNNNNNNNNNNNNNNNNNNNNNNNNNNNNNNNNNNNNNNNNNNNNNNNNNNNNNNNNNNNNNNNNNNNNNNNNNNNNNNNNNNNNNNNNNNNNNNNNNNNNNNNNNNNNACUUCGGUCGUUAAUAAUACAUUCAACCUCUAAUUUUACAUCAUUAAACGAUAAUACAACCAUUGAAAUUUGUGGAAUAAUUAAAAUUUUCUAUUACAAACGAUCCUCGUUCCCAAAACCUUCAACCUUUACAUCUAAACCUCUCAGAAUCAUUUUAAUACUACAAUAGUUUACAUCACAAAACGUUAUUACAAUUCAACAUUUAUACAUUGUUCGGAACCUUAAACAUGGUUCAAAUAAUCAUAACUCAGCCAAAGUAUAUAAUUCUUCAAGUAUCACAUAUGUUUCAUAUCUUUCAAGUAGCACAUACUUUACCUUAAAUUUUUAACCUGCAAAAGUGGUUAUUUGCAAGGUUGAGCUCGACAGCCCAGCAAAAUCUAAUAGUUUUCAUGCAUCACAUAGCACAUAAUAACAUGCUCAACAUAUAACAUACAUGUACAAUUCAUAUAACAGGUAUAAAGAUUGAGUCCUUACUCAAUCAGCAUGCUUUAGUCAAUCAACAUAGUCAUAAAUUGACUUUACAAUUUCAUACUUUCAACAUAUAUAUAACACAUCAUGCUCUUUGCAAUAAAGAUUUAAAACAGUUAAUCAUCAAGUUUACAUAGCAAAUAGGAACUGAAAGACUUGCCUUGAUCGUUGUUUACCAAUAAUAGUUUAACAGCUUACAGUUAUCUGUACUGCACGUGCCCUACACAAUUAUAUAAUCAUUCACAUUAACUAUUAGUCAUAUAGCAACGCAUAGUAGUUGUAAUGUAAACUUUAAUCUACAUCCUAUAACCCUUCUUAUUAAUCAAUACAUAAUGUUCAAUUUGAUUGUGUUAACUUUAGACUUAUAACUCACUAUAUUUCAUAUUCGAAGUUUAUUCAAGUGCUGAAGUCUUGUUAGGACUACUUAUUGGUUUUAUAUUAAAUCCAUUCCAUAUCUUAUAAUAUUCAUUUCAAUUGAAUUGAAACACUUUUUAAGUUUAUUUACACUUGGCACGGCAUUUCGACGUUCAUUAUUCACACGCCCGAUUCGUCUCUAAUGUGUGUGCUUAGUAUGCUUAUACAACUUAUCUAAUACAUUAUUUAUUAAUAUUAAGCAUCAUUAUAUUUACUAAUAUUCAUGUUUUAUAACUUAGGAUAACAUCUUUUAUCAUCAGGAGCACUACAUUUGCAUAUGUGCAUUCUCGACGACCUCCGAUUGCCUCCUAAUACAUAUCAGUCCCACAAAUUACCAUUUUGACCCCAGUUCCCAACCUCAAAUUGAAAAACUUAAAGAACGAAAGUUAUAGGUCUAUUCGUCCUCGUUCUGGAUCAUCUUUAAUCACCUCAACCGGAGUUAGUAUGAAAACGUUAUGGACAUUAUGCUACAGGAGGUUAAAAUUGUCCGACCCAGACCACUUUUCCAGCGCUGGGGCGAGAGACAGUGACGCAGGGGCGCGAAUUCCAGUGCUGGGGCGCAAAUUUCAGUGCUGGGGCAUGAAUUCAGCGCUGGGGCGCGAAGUUUUGGGCUAUUUUUGGGGCUGAGGCGCGAAAUUCAGAGCUGGGGCGCGAAACUUGGCGCUGAAGCUCCGAAUUACAGAACACCCCGAAACAAAAAACAGAACAAAGCUAUGUCUUAAUUAAUAACACCAAUUAACAUGUAUAACUUAUGCAAAUUAUACAUAAACUUCACCAAGCGUACAAAUACUAAAUUAACACAACUUAAACCAUAAUUCUAGAAAAAUUACAUACUGGAAUAGCAUAUUUUAAAACCAAAAACUCCAUUUUUGAUAUUUCUUGACACAGUGAACACUGUAAUCAUAAUGAUACACCAAUUUGAUUCUUUUGAACUAAGUUCUCUUUAUUUCAUACCCAAUUAACAAUUCACAGUUCAAUUUUACAAUUUAGCAUACAAUCAAAUACUAAUUUUGGUAUCCUACAAAACAUGUUCAUACAUGUGUUCACUGUAAAACUAAUUUCUUUUCUUAUAGACUUAGUUUAGCGUACAAUCUUAUCUAUAUGUUAAGCAUACACUCAUAUAUAUGCUAGUAUAACAAUUAUAAUUACCAAUACACAUAAUUUCCUAACCAAUUAUAAAAACAUGGUUUUACAGAAAAUUUGUAAAUAACUUUAUAUUACAGUCAAAUUCAGAAACACAGAGACUUAGAAAUUAUAGCGUAAAACCUAUAUGUUAAGGUUGUGUAACAUACCUUUUGUUGCUUAAGAAAUCAAUGAUAUUCACUGAGAAUCGCUUGACGAACUCAGAACUUUCUCUCUUGAUUCUCUCUCAGGCUCUCUCAAAAUUCUCUGAACAAUCUAUAGACACUCGAAAUUUUCUACACGCCUGUUACUAACAUUGAAGGUGGGAAGAUUCGUCUUUCGGAGAUAACCAUGAAAGACAGCUUACAUCAAUUCUGGAUACUACCAGAAGUUCAGUUCCAACCCAGAACACAAACCGGGAACUUCAUCUUAAACCCGAAACACACACCGAGAAUGUUAGUUCCAAUCUCGGAGAUAACCCCGAGGUGCGCAGAUCAAAAGACCGGCAACAACACCGGAGAAGACAGUUCUGUCUCGACGAUAACACCGCGACGCUCAGUUCCAGUCCCAAAAACAACACUGGGAGUAACGACUCAAUCCUUGGUGAUAGCCCCAAGGGAUGCCAUUGCAGUUCCGGCGAUAACUCCGAAAAUGCUUGUUUCAAAUACAUGCGAUCAGCUUCAAGCUCAGACCUCCUGUCGAGGCACUCAUACCUCAGACCCGGAGCUAACAACGGGCAGACAGGUACACCCACAGAUGACAGUGAGGCAUACAAAUAAGCAGUCCACUCUCAGAUAUAACCCUGAGCAACGUCUUCUUUCAGCUCAAACCGGUGAUAACCCCGGUGAAGAGUUGAAACGUCAUUAUACCACCUUAACAUUUUCUCUCACAAGAUGAUAUCGCGGCAUACAAACAAGUAGUCCAAUCUUAGAUGUAACCCUGAGCAACGUCUACUUUUAACUCAAACCAGCGAUAACCCUGGCGAAGAUUCAAACGUCAUCUUUCCCCUUCAACACUUGCGCGUCAUCUCAAUACUUCAUACAUUCAUACAUACAACAAUGUCCUAUAAGAACCGAGGAGUAACAAUCCCGAGUGACUAUUGCGCAUGACAGUACUUUGGAUAGAAUUUGAAGCUUGAAGACCAUGGGCAAGGACCCCUCUUCCUGACUUCGUACAACCUCUAAUCCAUGUCAUUGCGUAACUCUCGACACAAGCGGUCCGAAGAAGGUUAGAUAUACCUCGUUCGGAUGCUCGAAUUGAAGUUCUGCAAGUUCGAGCGGACAUUAUAGUGCAUGAGUGCACGUAAUUUAAGGCGACGAGACCCGCGAGGCACAGAUGCACCACGACCAGCUGCAGGUAUAACUGUGGCUGCUGCAGGUGUACCUGUGGCCAUCAGUCUAUAAAUAUGAGCCUUGGGGUCAGCCAUUUGAGGAGGAGAAGGAGAGAAAAAGGAGAGGAAGCCCUGUCCAUUUUACUCUGUAUACACCCCUAUUGAGUGUUUCCUCUUCCAUAAACAUCUGUUAGCUCACAUAUAGCUAUCUUUUUAUCUGGCGGGAGCUGAGUGUUUAUCCAUAUAAAAUCAUAGAAGUCUACUUUGGCAGCCCACUGUAAGCCUUCUCACAUUUUAUAAAGCCUUCUUCUCAUAUUAGCACACACUGUUAUACACAUUGAGAGUCGUGUUGUGUGCGUUUGCCUGGAUUUCGGUCCGUAGUUUUCAUUUCUGUCUGUAUAUAUAAAUAUAUAUAUAUAUAUAUACUUAUAUAUGUAUAUAUUUCAUAUAUGGACUAACAUUAUCGAGUUAUGCCUCGAUUGAGCCUAGACUUUGGUCUGGAGCGUUUAUCUGCUUUUGUAUAUAUAUAUAUAUAUAUAUAUUUACAGCUUUUAUAUAUAUAACUACUUAUUGCUUUUCAUACAAACUGCAGUAUCAUGUGAGCCUAGGAAUAAUAUGAUCACAGAUUCAGUCUACUAAAUCUAGAUUCGGUUCCCAUGAUGGACAUUUUUCAGCUGUGAGCAGCUUGUACAUUACUUUACAGUGUCUGAAUUUCCUUGGAUGACUGUCAUGCCCGUGAGGAGUUUGACACUGCUGUAUAUUAUUUUCUUGAGAAUGCUUCGCAUCUCGAAAAUAAAAGCAAACAAGCCGAACCUUUAAUAAUAAAAUGGAAGUAUCAAAGGCCUUAAUUACUAUUGAGCACAGGGUUUGAAAAACAUCUUUUUUAUAAAACUUCAUUGCUAUAUCUUGUUUAAAACUGAAUUUUUCUAUAAAUUCAAACCCUAUGUACAUAGGUGCGAACGAGGUACAACACUACUUCUAAAUAAUUACACAUUGAUCCACACACACAUACACACAUUCAUAUAACAGUUUCUUUAAAAAGUGGCGGUCACCGUGGUAACACGGAUGUCGAGGGGUGCCUAACACAUUCCCUCCGCUUAAUCAAGCCCCCGGAGCCAAAAUGAAUCUCGAUUUCAUAGACCCAUUUAGCAGUGUCAAAUCACUAGGUCAUUGUGUAAACCUUUUUCGGUUGCGUUGGUGCAACCAGUUAAAUACACCAACUGGCGACUCUUAAAGUCAAAUCGUCGACAUUAUACAUGUCAAACCUUUUUCACUUGUUUUUUCAAAAAAAUCUCACAUUAACAUGAGAACACCAAAAAACAAGUAAUGAAAAGGGACACUCAAAAAUUCUGACGUUGACAGGUGGUGACUCUACUGGGGACUCCAGUAAGAGGGCUUAAGCCGCUAUUAUAAGCUUUUUAAAACUGUUAUAUGCUUGUGUGUGAAUGUUGCAUUUACAUUUCUGAUGAAUGUGUACAAAUGCAUUUUACUUACUGCACUAUACUAUAUCUAUCUAUGAUAUUAGUGCUUCGUACAUGUGAUCAUUUUCAUAAACAGUGAGACACAUUGUAUGUGAAUGUAUGUUAUGUAGUUCCUCCACCAGGAGGCUAUCCUGUCGGUGUUUGAUUACUGGACUCGCAGGAAGAAUAAUUCCAGCGAGGCUCGGGAAAGGCACCACCCAGAUUCGCUCCAGUUGAAAGACCGGAUUAACUUCCCGUCAAGUAAAUUGCGAUGAUCUGGGAACCUUCAUGCCAAAAAGCCGUGAGAGUAACCCUAAGAUAGGUCAACCUCUGAUAAACUAAACGCGGAGGAAAGUCUCUUCGUACUUUCCAUUUUCAAUUACUUGUAAAAGCAUUUACUUGUAAUUUUAUUCCAUGUUCAUCUAUAUGUAAUGGAAAAUAUGAAGAAUAUCUGUGCAUGCAUGAUAUGUUAUCAAUUAACAACCAGUUUUGCAGGACAAAAUUCCUAAAACAGACAUGUUAUGAUAACAUUCACAUUACCCUAAGACUAAACUACGUAAGUCUUUUGUAGGGAAGCAAUUGGGCCUGUUACCCGCUCAAAAUCCAAAAAGGCCAUGGCCCUACAGCCAAUCAUGUCUUCUUCUGACUAGUCUAAUGUUGUUUCUCGAGAAGAAUUUGAUGGAUUGAGUAAACAAUUUACAAACUUGGCUGUUCUAAUCAAAGAAUUGUACCAGUCCACUCAGGGUAUGAAGAUACCUACACAUACAGAAUCCUCUACACAAGGAGGAGUUCAAGGUCUGAAAAAAACAAUUCCAGAACCUCAGUUGGAUAUGACCAACAAAGACCGUGAAAACACCCAUCUCAGAGGAGAUCCAGACAUCGGUGAUAUCAGGAAAAAGGUCCUUCAAAUGGAGGAAACUAUUCGUGUUCUUAAAGGGAUUGGAACACAUGGCAGUGUUUCAUAUGCAGACCUUUGCAUAUUUCCUGGUGUUCAUUAUCCAGAGAAAUUCAAAACCACUGAUUUUGAAAAGUAUGAUGGAUUAGGGGAUCCCUAUACACAUUUAAAAGUGUUCAUUGGAGAACUUGGAUCUUAUGCGGAAAAUGAAAAGCUCAGAAUGCAGCUGUUUUAGAAAAGUCUGACUGGAGAAGCCCGUUCAUGGUAUACCAGAUUAGACAACUCAAAGAUCUAUAACUGGGAAGAGCUGGCUCAUGCCUUCCUCACUCAAUAAAGUUUUCAAUCUCAGAUGGCUCCUAAUCGGUAUCAAAUUACCAAGGUCAAGAAACAGUCUAAUGAGUCUUUCAGAGAGUACGCUCAAAGGUGGAGGCGCCUUGCUGCUCAAGUUAUUCCUUCCAUGACGGAAUCAGAAAUGGUCAUGACAUUCAUAGAUGUAUAGGAAGCUCCUUUCUAUGAAAGAGUCUUAGCUGGUAUUGGCAAACCAUUCUCUGAAAUAAUUAAGCACGGAGAAAUGGCUGAAAUGGGAUUGAAGUCUGGUAAAAUUCAAGACCUAGCCGCUCUUAAAGCUGUUGCUGAGCACAUCCAGUCCGGAUCUUAUGAAACAACCCUCGGAGGGUCCAUAAAAAGAAAGAGGAGGAUGUUUCCUUGAUACUACAAGGUCAAAAAGGCAAUCAAAGCAUGCCUAUGCAGAGGAGAAAUUACUCUCCUUUUCAAUCACAAUCUUUAAAUCCUCCAUUACCUAAAGGUGGAGAUGCAAAGCGUCCUCGAACGUUCACACCCUUAGGGGAUUCGCUCGUGAAUAUUCUUGCUCUUCUGACUGCUCUGAAGAAAAUUACACAUCUUCUUCCACCAGCCAACCCUAAUAGGAGGGGUUUUAAUGCUACUCGGAAGUGUGCUUAUCAUGCCGGAGCACCUGGACAUGAUACUCAAGAUUGUUAGGUCUUGAAACACAAGAUCCAAGAUUUAAUAGACAAUGGUGAGAUCGUGGUCACAAAACUAGAUCAACCUCACGUGCAAGACAACCCUCUUCUUCAACACAAAGAAGAAGAGGUCAACAUGAUCAGUUGGAGCACUGGACAGGGUUCCAAUUCUAAUGGCGAGUCAUCCUAAACCAUCAAAGACGGUGUUGAUAGAUGGGAUUAUGAAAAGUUCCAGUUUAUAAUGGAACGAAAGAUGAAAGCUCUUUGCAAACAAAUUGAGCAACUGACAGAACUGGUGACCCACCGUCAUCAAGUCAUACGCCAAUUAAUCAGGCAGGAGCAUGCCUAUCUCCUUCCUUUUGUUAUGAAUGCAUCCUCACCACCUUCAGAAAGCGAAGUUAUGGAGGAUAAGGUUGCGAAGAGAGCAAAUGCUAAAGCCCGUCGGGAUUUUGCUAAUCAGAGGGAAUUUACCUAUUUGGGCCAAUCUAUGGAGGAGAUACUGCAGAUGUUGAUCAACGAAGGAAGAAUUAUUUUCCUUCUCCCUCCAAUCAAUCCUUGCUCAGGAUGUUUCAAUUCUGAUGAAGUGUGUUAAUAUCAUUCACAUUCUCGCGGUCAUAACACAGAAUAUUGCUGGGCACUCCGCCAUCUCAUUCAGAAUAUUAUUGAUAGCGGUGUCCGGCAAAUAGCAGAUGAUUACACUGUGCAACUCAAGGGUGGGAAUACAUAUCCUACCAAAUGGAAGGGAUCAGUAGAAGUUAUAUCCGAAGUGGAUGAUGAGACUGUCAAAGUAUUUCUCAUACAACCAAUUCAACUCAAAAGAGCUAACAAUCCUUUGAAAGUGGUCGCACCAGAGCCAAUAUCUUUACCUUUCAGACCACAAUAUCCUAUUGUCAGCUUACACAAAGUUCCAUGGAAUUAUGGAGAAGCUGAAGGAUCCACGUCUCAUACCACUGCCACAGUGUUGAAGGACAAUCCACUGUAUCUUCCUCAAUAGGUUAUGAAACCUAUCUGUGAAGCAAAAAAGAAGUUUGCCAUCGAGAAGAUUGAAAAAUUCCUCCACACUAUGGGUCAUAAUGAAGCCAAAGUGGUUUUAAGCUUGCGAGAAGCUCCACACCAGAUAUCUAUACUGGACUUGGUUUUUUCUUCCGAGGAUCAUCGGAAAAUCUUACUGAAGGUUUUGGAAGAAGCCUAUUUGCCAAAAUCAGUGGAUGUGGAAAAAUUUCAACAUUUGGUUGAUCAUAUUUUCAACAACAAUGUGAUAUCCUUCACUGAUGACGAUAUACCGCCCGAAGGGACCGGUCAUUGCAAGCCAUUGCAUAUUACAGUUUUGUCUUCCAGAUACAUGCUAGCUGGAGUUUUGAUAGAUGAAGGCUCAUCUCUAAAUAUCUGUCCAUAUGCCACCUUGGUAAAGAUGAAUGUCAAUCUCAGGUGGAUGCAAAGUAGCCAUACGGUUAUCAGAGCUUUUGAUGGAUCCUGACGAAAUGCCAUCGGAAAGAUUGAAUUGCCAAUUGAGAUUGGUCUAAAUACAUUCAAUGUAUCCUUCCACGUCCUCAAGAUAGAUUCAGGAUAUAACCUGCUAUUGGGGAGACCAUGGAUACACAUGGUUGGAGCCGUUCCCUCCACACUACAUCAACAGCUCAAAUACAUUAUCAACAACAGUCUAGUCACUGUCAACGCUGAGCCGGAAUGUCCUGAACAAGGAACUCUACCAAUCAUCAGCUUCAAUUCAGAAGUUGAACCGACCAGUUUUCAUACUCUGGAAGUGAGUACCACGCAAUACCAUUCUAUUGGAGCGCCACUUCCCAUACCCAGGAUUUCUGUCGAGGUUAUGUCGGCCACUCAAGAAAUGAUAUCAUUGGGUCAUCAACCUGGACAAGGUCUUGGUAAAGAUAAGCAGGGUAUUAAGCUCCCUAUUCAAAUGUCCAGUCAAAUUGGAACAGCCGGACUAGGCUAUUCUAUCAGUUUCAAUCACAGGAAUCCUCAUAAGCACAAGCAGGUUCCUCAAGCUUCCGCCGCAUGACAAUUUUUUAUACCUUUACCUCAUGAGUUGAUACAGUCUCCAGUAAAGGUGUCAGCCCUUGUUAUGGCCAUGCGAUUUCCUGAACCAGUACCAAUCAAAGCAAAAGAGGUGCUGAUUCCUGAUCCCGAAAUGGAAGAAAAGGAAUGGAAACGUAAACAUGACAUUGCCUUGAUGAUGGCAGGAAUACGCGUCAUUGUUCAUAAUGAACAUACAAACAGAUACACCCCAGACGAUGAUUGCCCAGAUGUCAUGGUUAUCAUUCGGGAGAAGGAGGACAAUGACGAUCCUUCCAUCACUGCAGUCCAUCAGGUCUUUGCCCUCGACAAUUGGAGCAGCACUCCAUGCAUUGGUCGACGAGAGUAAAAUGGGCAGAAAAAUCCCUCUACCCUGUAGAUAACUUUAAUUGCUUAAUUUCCUUUAUAGUACUAGCAGUUAUUUUAUCGAGUACAUGGUAACACUUUUGUAUGAUCAAACAGUUGGAUAUAUUAAGUGAAAGCAUAUUUUGUUUCAGGACUCCGAAUUUAGAUGUGCUUGUACUUGCUGAUGAGGUGCCAUCUCUCCAUAAGGGCUGUAACUUUGAUGCAAAGUUGGACUCAGACUUGAUGGACAUCCAAGAGGACAUUGAGACACCUCAGGAGAUUAAGGAAUGGGUCGCAGACAAACUCAAACCCAUUCUUGAUCAAACCACUUCUUUCAAUCUUGUAACCUUAGACAACCCUAAGCUUAUCCAAAUUGGUUUAGACCUUACCAUAAAUCAACAGAAUGACAUGGUUGCACUAUUAACCCAAUUCUAGGAUGUGUUUGCAUGGUCUCAUGAAGACAUGGUGGGUUUGUCCACUGACAUUGUUCUUCAUCGCCUUCCCAUUAAAGAAGGAUUCAAGCCAGUUAGGCAAAAGCUCAGGCGAUUGAAACCUGAGUGGAGUUUAAAGGUUAAAGAAGAAAUUGUGAAACAAUUUCAAGCUGGCAUCAUCACGGUGUCUACAUAUCCGGAGUGGAUAUCCAAUAUUGUUCUCGUGCCUAAACCAGGAGGAAAGGUGCGAGUCUGCGUGGAUUACCGGGAUUUGAACAAAGAUUGCCUUAAAGAUAGCUUUCUCGUGCCAUUUAUCCACAUUCUUAUUGAUAAUACUGCUCAAUACGACAUGUACUCCUUUGCUGAUUGCUUUGCGGGGUACCAUCAAAUUAUGGUCGCUGAGGAAGACCGUGAGAAAACUGCUUUCAUCACGCCUUGGGGAACCUUUUGCUACAGACGGUUGUCAUUCGGCCUCAUCGAUGUCGGGGCAACCUAUCAGCGAGCUAUGAUGGCUCUUUUCCAUGAUUUAAUGCACAAGGAGAUAGAGAUCUACGUGGAUGACAUCAUUGUCAAAUCCCGAAAGGAGGAGGACCACUUAGACCAUCUCAAAAAUCCUUUCAACAGGUUGCAUAAGUAUAACUUGAAGUUGAAUCCAGCCAAGUGCGCCUUUGGUGUUAAGUCAGGCAAGUUGCUAGGUUUCCUAGUCAGCCAUAAAGGGAUUGAACUAGAUCCUACCAAAAUUCAGGCCAUCAAGGAAAUGCCCAUUCCUCAGAUAGAAGGAAAUACGGGGAUUUUUGGGAAGAAUCAACUUCAUUAGCAGAUUCAUUUCUUAACUCACAGCAAUCUGUGAGCCUAUCUUCAAGCUGUUAAGGAAGAACUCCUCCAUGAAAUGGAACGAUGAGUGUCAGAAAGCCUUCCUUACCAUUACAGAGCAACUGAUUAACGCUCCUAUUUUGGUACCUCCCAGGGAUGAUGUUCCUAUGUUCAUGUACAUUUCCAUAAAUGACAAUGCCAUGGGCUGUAUGCUAGGGAAAAAAUGCGAUAGAGGCCAAGAACGAGCUAUCUAUUACCUCAGCAAAAGAUUCAGCAUCAGUGAACACAAGUACACUCUGAUUGAGAAGCCUUGUUGUGCUUUAGCACGGGCUUCCAUGAGGUUACAACAUUACCUCCAUGGUCAUACAACCUAUCUCAUAUCCCGCGUGGAUCCUCUCAAGUAUGUGUUCAGUAAGCCCAUACUGAAUUGCCGACUGUCCAGAUGGCAGUUGAUCAUACAUCAAUUUGAUAUCGUCUACGUGACGCAAAAGUUUGUCAAAGGUCAAGGAAUUGCGGAUCAACUGGCCGCCGCACCUACAGGGGACUACAAACCCUUGGAAAAAUACUUCCCCGAUGAGGGGGUAAUGACAGUUCAGCUACAACAUCAGUACGAUACAUGCCUUACAUGGAAAAUGUAUUUUGAUAGAGCUGUUAACAUAAAAGGUUCUGGAGCUGGAGCAGUUCUAAUAUCCGGUAUGGGAGAGCAGUAUCCUGUCGCCGUCAAAUUGCAGUUUGUCAGCACCAAUAACACAGCUGAGUAUGAAGGUUGUAUCAUGGGGCUAAAACUUGCCCAUUUAAUGGGCGUCAGGCAGUUAACUGUCUUUGGGGAUUCCAAAUUGGUAAUCAAACAAACCACGGGAAUCUAUCAAACCAAAGAAUUACAUUUGCUGCCUUACCAUCAACAAGUUUUAAAGAUGGCUUUAGAGUUCGAAGAAAUCUCCUUUCUACACAUUCCUCAUAAUAAGAAUGAUUUUGCAGAUGCAUUAGCAACGUUGGCCUCCUUGGUUUGCAUACCUGAUAAGGAAAACAUGCCAAGCAUCACGUUUACUCUGCAAAAAGCCCAAGUCUAUGGGAACUAUAUUGGAGAAGUAUCGGAUGAACUACCUCCCAUCCAUAACCCUUGGUAUCAAUACAUCAAGGAGUAUCUACGAGAUGGAUCUACACCCGCUGAGGCGAGCCUAACUGAGAAGAGGCGGAUUCAUCGACUUGCUAUGAAAUUCUACCUGAGCAGAGAUGCACUCUACAAAAGAGAUACUAGAUUAGGUCUCCUCAAAUGUCUAGAUAAAGACCAAGCUCAGAGACUCAUGGAUGAGAUCCAUGGUGGAGUAUGUGGCCCUCACAUGAGCGGACCCCUACUUGUCAAGAAGAUCCUUAGGACAGGGCAUUAUUGGCUUACACUCAAAGCUGACUGUGAAUAUCACGUUAAGAGGUGCUAUCAAUGCCAAAUUCAUGGAAAUUCCAUCCACGCCCCUCCAAGGGAACUCCACCAUAUGAAUUCGCCAUGGCCCUUCUCAAUGUGGGGAAUGGACGUGAUCGGGCCCAUCGAGUCCAAAGCCAGUAAUGGACAUCGAUUCAUAUUCACCAUGAUCGACUACUUCACUAAAUGGGUAGAAGCAGCCUCCUUCCCCAGGGUUACUAAAGAAGUUAUCAUUGCUUUCAUCAGAAACAAUGUCGUAUGUCGAUAUGGACAACCAGAUGUCAUUGUGUCAGACAAUGCUAAGAACCUCAACAACAAAAUGAUGGAGGAGUUCUGCAGAAAAUUCCACAUCAAACAACUCAACUCCGUCAUCUACCGUCCAAAGAUGAAUGGUGCUGUUGAAGCGGCUAAUAAAAACAUCAAAAAGAUCAUACAGAAAAUGUCCGCUAAUCAUAAAGGAUGGCCUGGCCUCUUGCCUCUGACAUUAUUAGCCUACAGAACUUCCAUGCGAACUUCCACUGGGGCAACCCCCUACUCAUUAGCCUAUGGGAUGGAAGCAGUGCUCCCCAUAGAGGUGGAAAUGGAAUCCCUCAGAGUAUUGAUGGAUGCUCAGUUGAGUGAAGACCAAUGGGUACAAGACAGGUAUCACCAAUUGUCUAUAAUAGACGAAAGGCGAAAUGCGGCUAUCUUCCACGGUCAGUUAUAUCAGCAAAGGAUCGCACGAUCCUACAACAGAAAAGUCCGACUACGGCAGUUCAAAUAACAUAACUUGGUUUUGAAGAAGAUCAAUGACAACCAAGAUCAAUCUAAGGGAAAAUUCGCUCCUAACUGGGAAGGCCCAUUUGUUGUCAAGGAGAUAUUGACAGGAGGUGGUCUUAGAUUACAGGAAAUGGAUGGCAAUGAAUUUCCACAGCUUAUCAACUCGGACACCAUGAAGUGGUACUAUGUCUAAAGUUACCAUCAAACAAACAUCCUGGUUUUGAUCAUCAAAUCACCAGUCAUUCCGGUUUUGAACCCUCUCCUUUUUAUAUACUCUUCUGCCCCUCAGGGAAACAUACACUUCAAGCCAGCAGCCUGGUUUUACCUCAGUUCAAACCUUUCACAAUUUUGGUUAUCCUGAAGACGGGAUUGAACCUUUCACCUGCAGUUUAUCCUGAAGAUGGGAUCAAACUUUUUCACCUGCAGUUUAUCCUGAAGACGGGAUUAAACUUUUCUACGCUUGUAGUUUAUCCUGAAGACGGGAUCAAACUUUUUCCACACCUGCAGUUUAUCCCCAUUAUGGGAUCAAACUUUCUUCUCCCCGCAGUUUAGCCUGCACAUGGGAUUCACGUUUCUCUUUAUCUGCGAUUCGUCCUGAGGGGCGAACUACGUCGACCUGAUCUCCUCUUCAAUAGGAGUACGUAGGAAUCCAUAUGCUAUAUGGCCUAGUCGCAAUAAAAAAAAACAAAAACAUUUUUACCCUUUCUUCACAAAAAUAACAAAAACAUUUCUACACCUAUCUACCUUUCACAUUUAGCAUUGAACCUCUUACACCAGGUUCGAACUACGCAGACUUGAUCUCCUCUUCAAUAUGAGUACGUAGGCAACCAUUUAUGGUUCAGUCUAGCCCCUACCAGAACAAAAAUUCUUGUCACACGGUACUGGGAUCAACCUUCAAUUCAUCACAUUUCAUCGGUUUUAGAUCAAAGGAAUGGAAUUACCCAACCUCUUCUCACAAAUAGAAGAUUCGGUAACCAUCUAAGCUACAAUCGUACCUCAAAGAGAAAUACCAACCCAUAAGAGAUGGAAUUAACUAGGCUUCUCACAAAUAGAAGUACUGGCGACCAUCUAUGGUGCGGUCAAUCUUAGAGAGGAAGAAACCACCUUCCUCUCCACUUUUCCAUACAGAUACCAGUCCCAAGACACCAAAGAUGGUAGGGAUAUACAGAAAUCAAUGAUCCAUUCUGAGAGAUCCACCUAUUAUGGAUAAGUUCAGAAUGCAUUAAGAUCACAAGGCCCUGAAGAAAUAGGCAAAUAUCAAGCAAGUAUCAAGGCAUACCUAAAAGGGAAGUGAAUCAAAAUAUAUUUCCCUGCCAUAUAUAAUACUGUUUGAUAUAUACAUAUGUGUUGUACAUGACAAAAUGGCUAAGCUAGUCUGUGCUGGAAAAUACAAAGCUAUCUACAGAUCUGUAUAUAUGCGGACUAUCAGAUCUAACAUAGCAUCCCUCUCUGAAGACGGAGGUAGCACUUCAAGCUCCUGCCCAAGGGUAUCUACACGAGCUAACAAAUCAGAGGCUAACUGUAUAGUGGCAUAAUGCUCAUCAAUGUAAACCCUCAUGUCGGCAAGACUGACAGUCAUCUGGGAUCUAACUGAAGUACUAUCUGCAAUGGCCAUAUCCCUAGCAGAUAAGGCGGAAUCCCGCUCCGCAAUCAAUGCAUCCCUAGCUGAUCUAACCUCAUCCCUCUUUAAUAGAGCGGUAUCUCUCUCAUCAAGAGCUGCCAACAUCGCGGCCCUAGCCUGAUCUCUAUCAUAGGUCAUCAGAUGUAAGCUCUGCUCCAAAUGUUGUGCUGAAUACUGGGUAACAGUGGCACUCAGGGUGGGAAAAUCCAUCACAAAUGCUGGCAGCCCAGCAGUCAAGUCAUCAGUGGGAAUAUCAGCCUCCUCUAUACGCUCCUCAUCAUCAGAAUUAGUCUCCUGCACUGUGGAUACUACCGCAGGCAAUGCAGUCUCUGUCUCCAUCCAUGCGGAAUACUCUGCAGAACAACCCGAAUGACUGACAGAAAAUCCAGCCAGCUCUCGCUAAUCCCAACAGGCAUACAACCUGGAUCUAUCCUCCGCUGAUAAAUGAUGUGAAGCGAAGCGCUGACUCACUGCCCCCUCAAAAAGGAUUAAAAUCCUGAAACUGGUCAAACUGACACAUCACGGCCAGUGGGUGGUAAGUAAUCAUACCCCUCAAUCCAGCCAGAGGGAGAUAAUCCAUGCCCGGAGCAUGAGUAAUGAAGCUGUAGGGUGAACUAAGCCCUGAACACGACAAUAUAGCAAACGGGUCUCUAAUCCCUGCCAGAAAAGCUGACCACGAUGCAGCAUAUAUACACUCCGCAGGCUGAAAGGAGUACGACAUGGCUAUAUCAUGGGUGAAACAAAACCCCUGCCAUCUAAAUGUGCCAAUCGGUCUCAAGUGUGACAUAAACCACACAUACAUCAUGACCGAACUACCUGUGAACACUCCUGCCGGAUAAGUGCAACAGUAUAUAGCUGACCUCAGAGUCUCUGCGAUGAUCAUCAGUACAAUGGUAUGACCCUCCCUGAGAGCUCUCACUACCUUAAUGACGCCGAUAUCCAGCUCAUCCAUGUACCGCGACAUAAAGAUGUAUGACAAUGAUCCUCCGGUGUGGUGAAAUCCCCGGAAUGCCGUGCAUAACUAUCCUCAUAGCCAAAUCUGUCAAACAGAAAAUGCCAAUGAUCCUCCGGUGUGGUGAAAUCCCCGGAAUGCCGUGCAUAACUAUCCUCAUAGCCAAAUCUGUCAAAUAGAAAACGCUGGGAUAUCACGUGGCCGGAUGUAAUCUCGUCCUGUACAACUCUACGCCUCAAUCCGGUGAGGGUUAUGAACUGUCUGCUCGUGUCUCCAAUAGCCAUAUGCACACAAGGUCUGUCCAACGGCAACAUCAUCAACUGUACAUACUCCUCCAAAGUAGGAGUCAACUCCUGGGUCCCAAAUCAGAAAAUCUACCUCUCCGAUACCCAAUGCUCUAGCAUACCCUCUACAAAUCAUGUGGGAACCUGAAACAUCAACAAGGUCAUAGUAUGUUGUAGCAAAUCAUUUACGAUCACCAUAUCUGAUGGUGAUAUACUAUCAUACCAUGAGCGCAUACCAGAUACCACCAAAAAUGGUGGGGUAUGAUCAAUACGACUAACUGUCGAAGAAGACAUCUGUACGGGCCGUGUCAUAAGACCAUCCAUGGUUCAAUGCUGAAUAUCUCUGGACAUACAUACAUAUGCAUAACAUAAUAACAUGCAUGAUACAAUAGCUAGCAAUAUGAUAUAGGUAAUAAAAAUUGUACAUACAUUCCUAAGUAUAUCAUCCUCUAAUACAUCUCUGUAUAGCUAAAAUACAGGGAAAUGAGGCGAAGCUACCCAACAUCUAACAGAGGCCUAUCAAAAGAUAUAGCGAGAAUGGGGCGAAGCUACCCAGCAGCUAACAGAGGCCUAUCAAAAGAGAUAACGAGAAAUACAUCAGAAAAAGUCAAUGGUGUCGAUGUCUACAUCAUUGAUCCUGUCCACCUGAUGUAACUCCUCCUGAGUCACUGGAUCUCUAUCUACAGGGAUGUCAGGCUGAUACAAUAGAGGAUCUGCACCGAUAAAGCCAUAUGGGUCACCUGAGGGGCCAGCGCCAGAGCUAGAAGGAUCAAAAGUAUCUACCUAUGAAGGAUUUCUACCCAAAUAUUGAAUAAAAAAUUUGUCCGGUCCAACUGCCGAGUCAAUCUAUCAAUCUAUGUCACAUGAGUCGGAUCUCUGACAUAGGCUAGCCAAUUCGUCAUCAUCACGGAUCCUGGAACCAUAUCCCCCAUGAACUAUGUGGCGCGGGUCUGAGCUCCAAUAGUAUGAGGGAUCCACCAAUGCUGGAACAUCUCCUUAGACCAGGGGCCCUCUGACAAUGUAAAAUUGUCAAUCCCCAAUAAUGGGAUGUCAAUGACUGGUGACUGCGAAACAAGCCAAUAACACCUGGCAGGAGGCAAGAUCGGCAUACGGAUCUCUCCUGUAGUGCUCCUGAUAGCACGCUCUCCUAAAUAGAGUUCCCAUCCUCCAUUUGUAAAGAGAGGAAUCCUGCGGGUGGAAAUGACGCACUCUACUCCAGUCGGGUACCCAUCCUCAAAUCCAAUUCCCAAAUGCUCUCCAAAGUAGGGAACCCAUGUGAUGACAUCGGCUGUCAACAACUCCAGCUGUAGGCGACAAUGAGUGAAACCCUCAGCAACAGGGACCUCCGCCAGUAUGGAAUGAUGUCAUCUCCGUCCUCGUGGAUAGGUGUCUAAACCUAACACGCUCACAGGACGCAAACAUGGAAGCCUCUCAUAGGCCUAAAACUGACAACGCAAAGAUAACAUCUGCUGUCAGUCAAUACUCUUAACCUAUACAUGGGAAAAGACAAGAGAAACACUCACCAGCAGAAACGGGUAGAAUCCUAACCACGCCUCGGUCAAGCGCUGCGAUCACAUACGCAUUCCCCUGAGGAAGUAGGCAAAGUUGUAGGAACCCCAAUCAUACUCUCCUAUACGGUCCACGUGUCGAGUGGCGCUGAUCAAAGCGAAGGACACCGUAGAGGAAUUAUUUGCUAUGAAGCAGCCCCUAAUGAUCAUCAGGAAUAAUCGCCGAAGAAUGUGAUCCCUGACUCUCACAUCAUCGGGUAUGGGCUCACUCAACAGCCCACUCAUAGCAUGUACGCUCAAAGGACCCGUAUGAAUAGUCCUGCCCUUGAGCGCCUACGCCGAAACUCCCAACAAGGAUCUGACGGCAGUAGGGGUGAUAUUCACCGUGCAAGGCACCGACGCCCCUCCAAACUCCAUACCUGUGAUAAACCGCCAAUCCAUCGGCAUCAUCAUCACCUCACAGUCCAGCAAAUAGAGUAACUGAGUCUGGUGAAACCACCGCUCAAACAAUGCCUUGAGGUAACCCCAGGGACAGUGACGGGGUAGAAUGAAGAAGAACAUCCCAAAUCCCUAGCCAUGGACGAUCGCUCUGUAGUCAUCAUGUAAAUCUUGAUACAUAGAGUGGAUGCUAAACCAGUUCCCUCGAGGCUGCGUGAAGCCGGGAACCUACAUCAAAUGCAGAUCAACAUCAGAAUCCUUGACUCCUCAUCAAUAGGAAAUAAGGAAGAUUAAAGAUCUAACUUCAUACCUCAUUUGCGUGCAGGUAUGCUGAAGGAUGCCUACUCAAGUCACCAAGAAGAUCUGGGUUCACCACUUGAAUACCUGGCAAUUCCCUAUAGGGAACACAUACAACAGGAGCAGGAACCUCGAUCGAUACAUCCUCCUCCUCGUCCUCGACAUUCGGUACUUCAACCCAAAUAGGACGUAUCACCGCCUCCACUAAACGACGAGGCUGUCUGACAGAAUGGCGUUGAGGCUCUUCAGAAGCUCUCCUCUGUACACCAGAAGUGGUUCUGCGGGAACUGCUCGGCUGAUCCGGAUCCAUAAUAUCUGGACAACAAGUCUCUAAAUCACCUCAAAAAGGGUGUGGUAAAUUCUUACCUGAAGCUUUUCAAAAUGCAUUGUUUUAACAUACAUCCAUAGUAGAGUUAAAAAUGCAUGACUACCCAAUACCUACAUUUUGGGAAAAUUUUGCCAUAGCCCUCUUUGUAAAUGGGACUAUCCACAUGCACAUAGGCAUGACUAGGUGGCCAUUCAGUAGCACACCUAUACACAGUCAUAUACAUCCUACAUGCAAUAAUCACAUCACAGUAAAAAAAUUUGUAAGUGUAGUCUAAUUAUCAGGAUUAUUUUGCUUUUCUACCUUUACUCAUUUGUCCUCAGAUAGGAUAAGAAAUGACAGUAAAAGGUGCCAAUUUGACUGUUUUAAAAGUCAAAUUUUUUCACAUCAUUAUGUUCAGCAUGGUUUAAUACUAACAUUUGCUAUGUUGAAUAUUUUUUAUCAAGUCAUAUCAGCAUGCAUAUUUACUACUAUAUGUCUAAAUGCAUUUCAUGUGAUAAGUCAUUUUCCAACGAAUAGAAAUUGGAAAAAAAUACAUGCAUACGUUACCAGGACAGUGAAGAACGCUUGUACAAUGGCAGAAUAUGCAGAAAGUUGCCCGAACUCAGCAGAUCUAAAGAAGAGCUCUCAGAUUUCCUUCGCUGCGCAACUUGAAAAUGACUUAUGAAAGCAACCAUUCGCCUAUAAAUAGGUACGGUUGGCCGCAGGCUCACCUGCGGCUCCUGCAGGUGUACCUGCGGCACUUCUACAUGGGUCCCACACCUCCGGCUCACUCCAGUUAGAGUUGUAAAGGAGGUCUCAUAAGCUGAAAAGGCCAAAUCAGGAAUAAAAGUGCUACGCGAUUAAGCGGAAUAGCCAGAAAUUCUGGUUUCUUGUCGGUCAAAGUUAAACUCCCGUCGUCUCAAUGGUAUUCACCUGAAUGCAGGGUAUACUAUAUCAAUGAGGUCAACUUUCACAGAUCAUGCUCGGUAAUACCCCACAAUGUUUCGAUGCAGUCAUUUGCAGGGUCACAACCCUAAACAUCCCUGGCGGGGGUUACAACACAAAACCACGAAAUAUUAAACAUCCCCGGCGAGGGUUACAAUGCAAAACCAUGAAAUAUCAAACCUCCCCGGCGGGGGUUACAACACUGAAGUUAUCAACUGAUGAAAUAUCCCCGGCGAGGGUCACAACGUACAUCCACGUAUCCCCGACGGGGGUUACAACGCAAUGCAACCAUUGACACAUACAUCAAUGAAGGUCAAGCAACCUUGACAAUGCACCCAGCAGGGAUCUAUUCGGUGCUACACACAUCAACGAAGGUCAGGCAACCUUGACAUCGACAAAAUUGUUGGCAGUAACUCCGACAGAAUGAUGGAAUAUGUUAUACACAUCCUCAAACAAACAAAGCUUUAUCCUCACAGAUCUCUUACACACAAGAGGUACCUCUAUGGAAUAUAAGCCAAUGUCUAGGAUUCAAGACUUUGGUGAUAGCCCCAACGCCAACAUCUUUGAAGACUUGGAUCGCAUGUCCAAGCCAUCACUGAUUGUCAUCCCAACAGGAUUACCUGGCAAUCAUGCUACAUACAUUUGCAUCAUGUUUCUGCAUAUAGCAUCAUGUUUAUCUUGCUUGCAUUUCAAGUGUCUAGGAUUCUUUAUCCUAUCCAUGCCUUGCAUUGCAUGAAUAUGAUAAAGAGGGGCAUCUGUAGACACUCAAAAUUUUCUGCACGCCUGUUACUAACAUUGCAGGAGGGCAGAUUCAUCUUUCGGAGAUAACCCUAGAAGACAGCUUACAUCUAUUCCGGAUACUACCGAAAGUUCAGUUCCAACCCGGAACACAAACUGGGAACUUCAUCUCAAAUCCAGAACACACAGCGGGAAUGUCAUUUCCAAUAUCGGAGAUAACCCUGAGGUGCACAGAUCAAUAGACCGACAACAACAACGGAGAUGACAGUUCUGUCUCAGGGAUAACACCGCGACGCUCAGUUCCAGUCCCAGAAACAACACUGGGAGUAGCGACUCCAUCCUUGGUGAUAGCCCCAAGGGAUGCCAUUGCAGUUCCGGUGAUAACUCCGGAAAUGUUUGUUUCAAAUACAUGCGAUCAACUUCAAGCUCAGACCUCCUGCCGAGGCACUCAUACCUCAGACUCGGAGCUAACAACGGGCAGACAGGCACACCCACAGAUGACAGUGAGGCAUACAAAUAAACAGUCCACUCUCAGAUAUAACCCUAAGCAACGUCUUCUUUCAGCUCAAACCGACGAUAACCCUGGUGAAGACUCGAAACGUCAUCUUACCGCCUCAAUGUUUUCUUUCACAAGAUGAUAUCGUGGCAUACAAACAAGUAGUCCAAUCUCAGAUGUAACCCUAAGCAACGUCUACUUUCAACUCAAACCGACGAUAACCCCAACAAAGAGUCAAACAUCAUCUUGCCCCUUCAACACUUGCGCAUCGUCUCAACACUUCAUACAUACAUACAUAUAACAAUGUCCCACAAGAACUGAGGAGUAACAAUCCCGAGUGACUAUUGCGCAUGACAGUACUUUGGAUAGAAUUUGAAGCUUGAAGACCAUGGGCAUGGACCCCUCUUACUGACUUCGUAUAACCUCUAAUCCAUGUCAUUGCGUAACUCUCAACACAAGUGGUCCGAAGAAGGUCAGAUAUACCUCGUUUGGAUGCUUGGAUUGAAGUUCUGCAAGUUCGAGCGAAUAUUACAGUGCAUGAGUGCACGUACUUUGAGAAGACGGGACCCGCGAGGCCCAGAUGCACCACGACUAGCCGUAGGUAUAACUGUGGCUACCGCAGGUGUAACUACGGCCAUCAGUCUAUAAAUAUAAGCCUUGGGGUCAGCCAUUUGAGGAAGAGAAGGAGAGAAAAAGGCGAGCAAGCCCUGUCCAUUUUACUCUGUAUACACCCCUAUUGAGUGUUUCCUCUUCUAUAAAUAUCUAUUAGCUCACAUAUAGCUAUAUUUUUAUCCGGAGGGAGCUGGGUGUUUAUCCAUAUAAAGUCAUAGAAGUCUACUUUGGCAGCCCACUUUAAGCCUUCUCACAUUUUAUAAAGCCUUCUCACAUUUUAUAAAGCCUUCUUCUCAUAUUAGCACACACUGUUAUACACAUUGAGAGUCGUGUUGUGUGCGUUUGCUCGGACUUCGGUCUGUGGUUUUUAUUUUUGUCUGUAUAUAUAUAUAUAUAUAUANNNNNNNNNNNNNNNNNNNNNNNNNNNNNNNNNNNNNNNNNNNNNNNNNNNNNNNNNNNNNNNNNNNNNNNNNNNNNNNNNNNNNNNNNNNNNNNNNNNNUAUGGACUAACAUUAUCGCCUCGAUUGAGCCUAGACUUUGGUCUGGAGCGUUUAUCUACUUUUGUAUAUAUAUAUAUAUAUACUUAUAUAUAUAAUUGUUGUCAGACAUAUCUGAUGAGCCUGAAUUUUACAUCUGGUGCAUUUACUCGCUUAUAUAUAUAUAUAUAUAUAUACUUAUAUAUAUAAUUGUUGUCGGACAUAUCUAAUGAGCCUGGAUUCACAUCCAGUGCGUUUACUGCUUUUAUAUAUAUUUGUACAUAUAUAUAUUUACAUUUCUGUUAGGCCUGGAGUUUCCUCCGUGGCCUUCUACAACUUUAUUUACAUUUUGUCCUGCCUAGAGUUUACUUCGUGGCAGUUGAUUGCUUUUCCAGCUUUAUUUACAUUUCGUCUCGCCUAGAGUUUACUUCGUGGAAGUUGAUUGCUUUUACAGCUUUAUUUACAUUUUGUCCUGCCUGGAGUUUACUUCGUAGCAGUUGAUUGCUUUUACAUCUUUAUUUACAUUUCAUCCCACCUAGAGUUUACUUCGUGGUGGUUUAUUAUGUCCAUAUAUAUAUAUAUAUUUACAACUUUUAUAUAUUUACAUUUCCAAUCCCCCAUGGAGUUGCUUCGUGGUGGUUGAUCAAGUCUGUAUAUAUAUAUAUAUAUAUAUAUAUUUACAGCUUUUAUAUAUAUAACUGCUUACUGCUUUUCAUACAAACUGCAGUAUCAUGUGAGCCUAGGAAUCAUGUGAUCACAGAUUCAGUCUACUGAAUCUAGAUUCGGUUCCCAUGAUGGACAUUUUUCAGCUGUGAGCAGCUUGUUCCCGUGAGGAGUUUGGCACUGCUGUAUAUUAUUUUCUCGAGAAUGCUUCGCAUCUCGAAAAUAAAAGCAAACAAGCCGAACCUUUAAUAAUAAAAUUGAAGUAUCAAAGGCCUUAAUUACUAUUGAGCACAGGGUUUGAAAAACCUCUUUUUUAUAAAACUUCAUUGCUAUAUCUUGUUUAAAACUGAAUUUUUCUAAAAAUUCAAACCCUAUGUAUAUAGGUGCGAACGAGGUACAACACUACUUCUAAAUAAUUACACAUUGAUCCACACACACAUACACACAUUCAUAUAACAGUUUCUUUAAAAAGUGGCGGUCACCAUGGUAACACGGAUGUCGGGGGGUGCCUAACACCUUCCCUCCGUAUAAUUAAGCCCCCAGACCCAAAAUGAAUCUCGGUUUCACAGACCCGUUUAGCAGUGUCAAAUCACUGGGUCAAUGUGCAAACCUUUUUCGGUUGCGUUGGUGCAUCCAGUUAAAUACACCAACUGGCGACUCUUAAAGUCAAAUCGUCGACAUUAUACAUGUCGGACCUUUUUCACUUGUUUUUUCAAACAAAUCUCACAUUAAUAUGAGAACACCAAAGAACAAGUAAUGAAAAGGGACACUCAAAAAUCCCGACGUUGACACACUCUUUUCUUUUCUUUCUUCUCAGGCUCAGUCUUAGACCACACACAAUUGACGUAAAAUAAAGCUAACGUACUAUUUUCAAACGUUUUAAAAACUGACGUUAUAAUUAAUAUACUAAUAAGUUGUCAGUUGCUAAAAAUAAUAUAUAUUAUUUAUAUUUUAUUUAUUAUAAUUCAAAAUUCAAAAUAAAACCAAAAUCCAUAAGGCUCCGUUUGGCAAAAAUCUUUAAAAAUUAAAGACUUAAUAUAUUGAAGCAUUGUUUGGCAAAACUAAAUUAAACUCCUUUAUUUAUUUUAAUAACUCCUUUAUAGUAUAGUUAUUUGCCACGCUUUAUUUAAUUAAGUUUUCAUACUUAAUUUAAUUAAUUCUAAUAACAAUUUAUUGAAUAAUAUAAUAAUUCAUUUAAUCAUUAUAAAUUCUCUAACUUAAUUAUUAAAUUAAAUUAAAUUAGAAUAUUAUUUCAUAACAAUUAAUUUCCUUAACUCAUUAAUUAUUUAUUAAACAAAUAAUUAUACAAAUCAAAUCAAAUUAAACAAAUAUUUAUUCAACAACAAAUAAAUAUUUAUUCAACAAUAAACACAUCCAUUAAAUAUUUAUAUUAUUCAAUAAAUAUUUAAAAUUACAAUUAAAAUUUUGGAUUGUUACAUUAAUCACAUCGCAAUAAGAAUUUCAAUUAUUAAAUUCUUAUUUUAAUAACUUAUGAAAAAUUCGGGUUGUCAUAGAUAACAUCCACAUAACUAUCAUUUGAAUUAUAAUAGAUGACUUCCAAGUAUAAUAUAUCCCAAAAUAAUAUCAUAUCCCAAAAUAGUCAGUAACCAAUAGUAUCAAACAGAAUCACAGUAGUAGCAUCUUCACACUCAUCUUAAAACCUUAAAACCUUAAAACCUUAUCCCUCCCCAUACACUUCUCCCCCUUUGGCAUUAUUAAAAAGGAAGGGAGGUAGUUAUGCAGCUUCAUCAUUGAUAGAUUCAAAGAGAACGUCAUCAAGCUUCUUGUCAAAUUCUUGGAUUUUAACCACAUAAUCAUUGUGAUGAAAUACUAAAACUUUCAUCCUUCCUGAAACAUUAUCAACUUUUUCGUGAAACUCUUGAAUUUUUUUUGAAACUGAUUGAAGAGCAGAGUCAAACCGAGAUCCCAUAUCUUGUACUAUUUGAUAAAGAGUAGAAAAUUGAACAUUUGAAGGAGGAUUAAGAUCAGAUGAUUCUGGUAAAGUAGAAUUAUGAAUAGGAGAAGAAUUUGGAGAUAUAGGAGUUGAAGUAAGAAGAAUAGAACAUUGAGUAGGAAACUUCUCAACAUCCCAACAUAAGAUUCCAUCAGAAUUCACUUUCAAUUUUGAUUGCAACAAGAUAUAUCAAUGUUAUCAUAAAUUUGCACAACAUCUUCAUUGACAAAAGAAAUCCCAAAGUGUGAAAGAAUUUUGGUUAUGAAACCCCCAUAAGGAAAACACUUUGUUUUGUUUGUCAAACAACUUUCCAUGUGCUUAAUCAUAAGCAAGGCAAAAUUAAACUUAGUACCAAAGAUGAUUAAAGCAGAAUCAAGUUUUGAUAAGUCAGAUUGGACCUACCCCCAUUCCUAGGUACUAAAUUAGCAUAAAUGAGUUUAUGAAUAACAUUAUUCAAAGGAGUAGUUUCAACAAUAGUUGGUAACCCAAUAACUUCAGCAGAAGAACACUCUUUCACAAUACUUAACUGUUCAAGGACAGUUAAAUUUUCAAACUCUAAAGGUCCCUUGAGUGUGAAAGGACAAAAACCAGAGCAAGGGAUAUUAAGAAUAGAGCCCAAUAUAGCAGAAUCAAUGACUAAGGUUUUGUUUUUAACAAAAUUUUUUAUGACAUCAUCCUAGACAGACAUAUUUCCAAAAAAUUGUUUAAUGAAAGUUGGAUAUACAGAUUUGGGAGGAAACAACAUAGCAGAGAUGAACUGAUUUAACCCCAAUUUGUUGAAAUCGAACUUGAUCAACUGAUUUCCCAAAUAUAAUUGUUUUAUUCAUCUUAAGAUUCUCGAAUUGCAUAACAUAUGUAGAAGAUGUAAAGAUUAGAGGAGUACCACGUGAUUGAGGAAGAGAUGAAAUCAGUAGGUCAGAGGAAGAAGAAUCGGGGAUGAUGACGGGUUCGGUUGACUUCCCCUUCAAAUGUGAAGAAUUGCCUUUCCUCUUCAUAGAUUGCUUCGACAAUACCCCAAAAUCAGUUGAGGUUCGCUUAAUAAGCUGAUUCGUGCGCCUAGUAGCUCAUGAGGAGUGACUAGGGAUAUCCUUCUUGCUUUGAAUUACUUCCCUUCAAGUGUUAAACAUAUGCCCUCCACGAGUUUUAGCCAUUACAAUCUCCUUGAAAACUCUAGAUUGUAAGAGGGAAGAUGGAGUACGAAGAGAGAGAAAUAGAUGGAAAAAAAAUACACUGAGAGAGAAAGAAGAAAUUAGCAAAGUAGCUGUGGGAGAUAAAACUCUGAAGAGUCCUUUGGUAUAACUAGUUUGCGCUAAAAAUAUUUCAGCAAGUUUCCAAUAUUACCCCUCCUUACCUUAUUUUUUGAUUUAAUAUAUUGAUAAGAUAUAAUAUGCCACAUAAGAUCAGAUUUGUAUAAGCUUAAUUAAAUAAUUAUUUAUAUGUUAUGAAUAUAUAAUUAAGCUAAAUAUAUAAUUAAGCUACAACUUUUUAUACUAAUAUAAUCAUUAGAUGUCUAUGAGCAGAAUACUUACAUUCAUAUAUGAAUUUAGUCCCAAUAUGGUCUUCAUCAAAUGAAAAAAUCAAAAUAAAUAAAUUUAAUUUUUUUCUUAUAUAUAUAUAUAUAUUAUUUUUAUUUAUUAUAAUUAUUAAAAUUAAUUUCAAGAAGCACAUAAAAAUAAUUAAGCACAGACAGAUAUUCUAAGUUCUUUUCUCAAGGUACAAAAACAUUCCUCACUUAAAGGUUUUGUAAAAAUUUCAGCCAAUUGAUGUUUAGUAGGGACAAAUACGAACUUAAUUAAUCCUUUAGCAACAUUAUCUCUUAAAAAUGAUGUCUCACUUCAAUAUGCUUAGUACGAGAAUGAAUCACAUGAUUUUUAGAAAUAUCAAUAGCACUAGAAUUGUCACACAUAAUAGGCAUAUUUUCACAAAUAACAUUAAAAUCAUGUAACGUUUGUAUCAUCCACAGAAUUUGUGAACAACAACUACCUACCGCCAAAUAUUCAUCUUCUGUAGUAAACAAGGCAACAAAUGUUUGUUUCUUGCUGUGCCAAGCUACAAGGCUUUGACCUAAAUAUUCACAAGCACCACUUGUGCUUUUUCUAUCAAUUUGGCACCCUGCAUAAUCUGCAUCUGAGUAUCCAAUUAGUUCAAAACUUGGAGAUACAGGAUAGUAUAAGCCUAAAUUAAUUAAGCCAGAUAAAUAUUUAAAUAUUCUUUUUACUGCUUUAAGAUGAGAUUCUUUUGGUAGAGCUUGAAAUCUAGCACAUAAGCAUAUACUAUACAUAAUAUCCGGCCUUGAUGCAGUUAAAUAAAGUAACCUGUAGCACCCCAGUCCCACAUCGGAAGAUAGGGGAAAAAUUUGUCUGCAUAUAAGAAAAUAAGUUACUACUAAUAGUACCUUCAAGUCAUGACCUUUUGGGAGCCUGUGGUGGGCUAAGUUGACCCAAUAAGAUACUAUUGGGCCAGUAGUUUGAGGCCUUAUUUUGAUGGAUUUGAUUCAAUUCGAACUUGGGAUUUGACCCGAGAUUUAUUUUGGACUCGGGAUUUUACCCGGGUUGUUUCAUAUGGUAUCAGAGCCGACUCUCGAAAGCUCGGGUCGGGUCAUCCGAUUGGAUUAUCGGAGGUGGGGACACAAAGGCUGGUGGUAUUAUCCCACAAUGGAGAGAUGGAGGUCCGAAGGUGGGGACACGGAGCCAGCCGGUAUUAUCCCACAAUGGCUAGAGAGGCAAAGAUCUUUGGGCCCGUGUGUGUGAUCGGUUCUGACGGGGACGUCAGAAAUUUAAGUGGGGGAGUUUGUAACACUCCAGUCCCACAUCGGAAGAUAGGGGAAAAAUUUAUCUGCAUAUAAGGAAAUAAGUUACUACCAAUAGUACCUUCAAGUCAUAACCUUUUGGGAGCCUGUGGUGGGCUAAAUUGACCCAAGAAGAUACUAUUGGGCCAGUAGGCUGAGGCCUUAUUUUGAUGGAUUUGAUUUGAUUCGGACUUGGGAUUUGACCUGAGAUUUGUUCUGGAGUCAGGAUUUGACCCGGGUUAUUUCAUAAACAACCAAUCAUACCUCGACACAUUGUUACUUCGACAUCUUUACCUUUCGCAUCUGCAGUAAGCUUGACAGUAGUGCUCAUUGGUGUUGACUUUGGUUUGGUAUUUUUGAAACCAAAUCUCUUCAAUAUCUCCUUCACAUACUUUAAUUGGUGAGUACGAAUUCCUUCAUUGGAUUGUUUGAUUUGAAGCCCCAAGAAAUAAUUUAAUUCGCCCAUAAGGCUCAUAUCAAACUCAUUAUGUAUACAUUGGGAAAACCACUCACAUAAAGAGUUAGUAGUAGCUCCAAAAAGUAUAUCAUCCACAUAAAUUUGAACAAUUAAUAAGUCCUUAUUUUUUGUUUUAAUAAAAAGAGUAGAAUUAAUUUUACCACGAUUAAAACCAUUGUCUAAUAAAAGCUUGCUUAAUCUUUCAUACCAGGCUCUUGGAGCCUGUUUUAAUCCAUACAAAGCCUUUUUCAAUUUAAACACAUGAUGUGGAUAUUUUUCAUGUUUAAAUCCCGGUUGUUGAUUAACAUACACUUCAUCAUUUAAAUAGCCAUUUAAAAAUGCACUUUUCACAUCCAUUUAAUAUAAUUUGAAUUGUCUAAAACAUGCAUAGGCUAACAAAAUUUGUAUGGCUUCCAACCUUGCAACAGGGGAAAAGGUUUCUUCAUAAUCUAUACCUUCCUGUUGAUUAUAAUCCCGGUGGUUGCUUGACAUACACUUCUUCAUUUAAAUAGCCAUUUCAAAAUGCACUUUUCACAUCCAUUUGAUAUAAUUUAAAUUGUUUAAAACAUACAUAGGCUAACAAAAUUCGUAUGGCUUCCAACCUUGCAACAAGGGCAAAGGUUUCUUCAUAAUCUAUACUGUGACGCCCCCAAAAUAGGUAUACAACACCCAUUCUGAGUCGCCAGAUACAUGGUACAGAAAGCAAACUACAACUUCAAUAAUAUAAUUGUCGUGCAAAAUAUGACAACACAUACUGUGAGUUUAAAUACAAAUAUUGUCUUCUAGACAAUAUCCACACUCAAAUAAGUCCUAAUUACAAUUAUUCAAACACUAUUUUAAAUAAAUAGUGAGGAUUGCUAAAACAUCUUUCUAGAACCAUCACUCCAUACCCCGACUAGAUCCUGCUAUGUUCUCACCUCCUGAGAAGAAAAAUGGAACAGAAAUGAAAAGGGUGAGCUCAACUAGCCCAGUAAAGAAUAUUAUGACUAAAAUAAUAUACAACAAAUUAUCAUUAGUCUUCAACAGGAAAAAAUCUGAUAAAACAUAAUAGACAACAAGUUUUAGAUCAAAACUGCAGCGAAAACAUCAAUCCAUUAGAAGAGUCAAGUAGAGAAUGAUUUCUACUAUCUUCUAAGAUUUAAAAGUCCAUCAUCAAUAUUUUAUCCCUGUAACAACAAUCAAUAUACAUCUUUAAUCAAAUACUCAUCUUUGCAGUACAGGCCAAAGAUAUUCAUUUGUAUCACCAGUUGGUCAUGUUCAUGUCAACACCUAUUCAUCUUUGCACUACGGGCCAAAGAUAUUCAUCAGUUAAUCAUUCAUCUUUGCACUACAGACCAAAGAUAUUCAGUAAUAUCAUUAUUUAGGACUGAGGAUGAUGAAAAAUAUUUUAAAGAAAACGAAUCCAGUGAGACAGAUGGACAAAUAUUAGGAAUUCGUAUUACAGUUUAUUCAAGAUCAAUAAUACUCCAUAAUAACCAAUUUAGAAGCAGAAUUCAAAAAUAAAGAUCAAAUACAAUCAAAGAUAGUAACCAUAAUAGACAUCUUGGACAAAAAGGAAAAAUUUCAUUUUUUGGUGAAUAGUGUCGUAUUCGUGAAUAGUGACGUAUACGUGAAUAGUGUCGUAUACGUGAAUAGUAACUCCGACACAAAAAGGUAGAAACUCCACAAUAAAAUUCAUACCAAUAUUUCGGUAUAAUGAUAUUGAAAGAAUAACAUCAUUACGAAAAAAAAUAACAUCCCUUACCUCAAAGAAAUAGUACUUCAGAAUGAAAGGUCGAAAGUGAUGCUGAAUGAAACUUGUACUGAACAGCAACUCUCAAAGUAUCUAAAUACUCACAAAAUACGCUCGAUAAUAUUGAGAGAGAAAGAGAGAAAGCUUAUGUUUCUGGUGUGACUUUCAAUUCUAACUUAGCCCUCUAUUUAUAGGAAAAUAUUAGCACGCCGAAGUAGACUUGACCUGCUACCUAAUGGCUUUACCUGCUACUAUUGCCACCCACCACAUUUGAAAUAAAAUUCAGUACAUUUCUUCACCAACCACAAGUGGGGCCCACUCAAUUCUAGAAUUUUCUACCAAAAUCAUUUAUUAACCUAAAUUCCGAACCAGUCACCUCUUAAAAUUCAUAACAAAUCAUACGUUUAUUUUUAACGGUUCAAAAUUUGUGGACAUAUACUCAACUUAUAUAUGUAUAACAUAUCCAAUAAUCACAACGAUCCAACGGUCGGAUUAAAAAUUAUAACUCACGCAAUAUAUCGUAAAAAUACUGAUUUGAUUUUUAAUACCUCCAUUCCGACAAAAAAAAUGAUAAAACACCUCAACAUUAAUUCCUUCAAUUAUAACCACAUAAAAUGAAUAAAUCCAUCAUUUAUAUCCGCAUCAAAUAAAUAUUUCCUUAUUAAUAAUUAAUUAUUCACAAAUAAUAUUACAGAAUCACAAUAAUGACAACUAGGCAGUUCCCAGGAAAGAGGGGGCUUUCCAAUAAGGAUUUCUCCUUACUGGCGCGCAAUUAAGUGACCAAAUAUCUAUUUAGACAGAACUUUCUUGACAUUGCCAAUAAUGCUAUCUAAUAAUAUUAUUCAAAUAAUAUGAAUUAUUGAUCUGAUAAUGGGAAAUAUUGUGCAGUGACAAUUACUGAAACAAUAAUAAUAUAAAAUAUCAACACAACAAUUAUUGAAUCAAUAAAAUAAAAUAUUGAACAGUAACUACUGUAACAAUUAUUGAGUAGUGCCUUCUUAUGUAUGAAUCAAUAAUUAAACAAUACUGUGCAAUACCGUGUGCUACUGUGCAACCACGCGUAUUACUGUAUUUUAACCACCAGGUAUUCCAACAGUGUUAACGGUAACAAUUACGCUGUUAUUUAUAAAACUUAAACUUUAUCGUUUUCUUCAUCCGAUAGUUAUUCCUUUAUGGGGCCCAUAAAUGGUUGCGCCGUCGUACGAAUAUUCCUCGACAACAAGAAUAUUACACGACCAAAUGAAUAUUCCCUGACAGAAAUGAAUAUUCUAUAACCACUUGCUUAUUUUGCAAAAUUUGCACAUUUCACCCAUAACCAAAGCAUUAUAUCAAAUUAACACCUUAUUAAUUUAGAAUAAUGAAUAGAAAAAAUUUAAUUUAAUUUAUAAUAAGUUGGGGUCUUACAACCUCCCCUCCUUAUAAAAUUUUGUCCUCGAAAUUGACAUACGUACCUGGUGUUUCGAAAAGGUGAGGGUACCUCGCUUUCAUUUUCGAUUCCAACUCCUAGGUCAUUUCUUCAAUAGCAUGGUUCCUCCACAAAACCUUAACUUGUGGUAUAACCUUGGUGCGUAGGACAUGCUCUUUCCUAUCCAAGAUCUUAACAGGUACCUCCUCGUACGUUAAAUCUUCGGCUAUCUCGUCUGGUUCUAACUCAAUAAUGUGGUUCGAGUCUUUCACAUAUUUACGAAGCAUAGAUAUGUGAAAAACAUUAUGAACACGAGACAUGUUUAGAGGUAAUACGAGUCUAUAGGCCACAUUUCCUAUUCGGUCAAGAAUCUUAAAUGGACCAACAAACCUUUGAUUGAGCUUUCCUCUCUUUCCAAAUCUUGUAACUCCCUUCCAUGGAGCAAUACAUAACAAUACAUGAUCUGUAAGACCCCAACUUAUUAUUAAUGAAAUUGAAUUUCCUCUAUUUAUUAUUUUGAAAUAGUAAGGGUUGAUUUGAUUAAUGUGGUUAGUUAUGGGUAAAAUGAGCAAAUAUUUCAAAUAAGCAAGUGGGUAUAAAAUAUUCAUUGUUGUCGGGAAAUAUUAGUUUGGUUCUGGAAUAUUCUUACUGUCGGGGAAUAUUUAUACGACGGCGCAGCCUUGUGUGGGCCCCAUAACGGAAAGCGAUUGGAUGAAGAAAAUGACAAAUAUAAGUUGUUUAUAAAUAACGGCGUAGUUGUUACCGUUAAUACUGUUGGAAUACCCGGUGGUUAAAACACAGUAGAACACGGUAUUGCAACAAUUAUUGAUUCUUACGUAAGAAGGCACUACUCAAUAAUUAUUACAGUAAUUACUGUUCAAUAUUUUAUUUUAUUGAUUCAAUAAUUGCUGCNNNNNNNNNNNNNNNNNNNNNNNNNNNNNNNNNNNNNNNNNNNNNNNNNNNNNNNNNNNNNNNNNNNNNNNNNNNNNNNNNNNNNNNNNNNNNNNNNNNNNNNNNNNNNNNNNNNNNNNNNNNNNNNNNNNNNNNNNNNNNNNNNNNNNNNNNNNNNNNNNNNNNNNNNNNNNNNNNNNNNNNNNNNNNNNNNNNNNNNNNNNNNNNNNNNNNNNNNNNNNNNNNNNNNNNNNNNNNNNNNNNNNNNNNNNNNNNNNNNNNNNNNNNNNNNNNNNNNNNNNNNNNNNNNNNNNNNNNNNNNNNNNNNNNNNNNNNNNNNNNNNNNNNNNNNNNNNNNNNNNNNNNNNNNNNNNGACUAUUUAUUGUGAAUUAUUGAAGUUCCGGUGUAUCGGGUCUGAAUUGAUUUUUGGAGUUUUAAAUGUUUUUGUUUAGAAAAACGUUUUUUGCACAUGUGUGGCUGAUGUUUUGGUCAAAAAGGUGGGCUAAGGAAAAUUUAUAUAAAUAUAUUUAUAUUUUAUUAAAUUUUCUGCUUUGGUGUUCUAAGCAUUUUCCUAUAAAUAGGGUGCUUAGGUUAGAAUUGAAAAUCACACCAGAAACUGAAGUUUUCUCUCUCUUUCUCUAUCUAUAUUAUCGAGCGUAUUCUUGAGAGUAUUUUUAUACUUUGAGUGUUGCUAUACGGUACAAGUUCCCUUCAGCACUAUAUCCGGUAUUCCAGCUAGAAGUAUUGUCUUUUCCAGGUAAGGGAUACUAUUUUUUUUAAAAAUGAUAUAAUUUUUUUCUAUUAUCAUAAUGCCGGAUUAUUAGUAAGAUUUUUCUUGUGAAAUUCUUGUCUUUUAGUGUCGGGAUUACUAUUCACGUAUACGACACUAUUCACGUAUACGAUACUAUUCACGAAUACGACACUAUUCACAGAAAAAUUAAAUUCUUAUUUUUUUUGUCCAAAAUAUCUAUUAUGGAUACUAGCUUUGAUUGUAUCCUUGUUUUGAUCAUUCUUGAAUUUUACUUCACUACGGUUAUUUAUGAAGUAUUUUUGAACUUGGAUUGUUUGAAAUACGAAUCCUUAAUAUUUGUUCUUUUGUUUCACUGGAUUCGUUUUUUUUAAAAUAUUUUUCAUCAUCCUCAGUCCUAAAUGAUGAUAUUACUGAAUAUCUUUGGCAUGUAGUGCAAAGAUGUUUGAUUUUCUUAUGAAUAUCUUUGGCCUGUAGUGCAAAGAUGUACAGGUGUUGAGAUGAACAUGACCGAUUGAUGAAUAUCUUUGGCCUAUAGUGCAAAGAUUAAUAUUUGAUUCCAGAUGAAUAUUGAUUGAUGUUUCAGGGAUAAAAUAUUGAUGAUGGACUUUUAAAUUCAUAGAUUAUAGUAGAAUUCAUUCUCUACGUAACUCAUCCAUGAAUUAUUAUUUUCGCUUCGAAUAUUGAUCUGAAACUUGUUAUUUAUUGUAUUUUAUCAUAUUUUUUCCUGUUGAAGACUAACGAUAAUUUGUUCUAUAUUAUCUUAGUCAUAAUAUUCUUUACUGGGCUAGUUGAGCUCACCCUUUUCCUUUUUAUUCCAUUUUUCUUCUUAGGAGGCGAGAAUGUAGCGAGUACUAGUCGGGGUAUGGAAUGGAGGUUCUAGAAAGUUAUUUUAGUAGUCCUCACCAUUUUUGUAAAAUAAUGUACCAAUAAUUGUAAUGAGGACUUAUUUGGGUGUAAAUAUUGUCUAGAUGGCAAUAUUUGUAUUUAAACUCACAGUUUUUAUGUUGUAUUAAUAAAGUUGUAGUUGUUUCUGUACCAUGUUAUUAACGACUUAAAAUAGGUGAUGGAUACCUAUUUUGGGGGCGUCACAGUUGGUAUCAGAGCUUAGGGAUAUGAUCGCUGGCAGAGAUCGGGGAAUAGAACUAGGAGGGGAGAGACGAGUAAAACCUUCUCUAGUGUGUCUUACCUAAGCUUAUUUGUUGGUUGGUCAGUAUAUAGGGAUAUUAUGUGUUAUGUUAAUUUCUUUAAUUAACCCUUGUUUUAUGGUAGUAUUUGAGAAUGUCAACUGAGAAUGUUAACAGUGGAGU
rnacentral:lncRNA from 1 species